AAAAAAAAAAAAAAAAAACUUAUCUAAAUUUCGUUUUGUUUCCAUGUUUAGAACGUACUUUUACUGCUCCGCGUAAGUGGAAGAGAGGCAAAGGACGAGUUACUAUUCAAUUUGGAUGCUGUUAUAACUAUGCAAUAGUAAGUGACUGUUUCUUCUUCUUGUUUUCUUUCUUUCUUUGACAUUUGAUCACUUUUUGUGAAUGUGAAGAGAGUUUUUUUUGGGUUUGUGAUUUGGUUAAGGACAAAGCAGGAAACCCACCAGGAAUCCUUCAACGCGUAGAGGUUGAUCCAAUACCUUCUCUUUUCAAAGUAAUAAUAAGAAGGUUGAUUGGGUGGCAUGUACUUCCUCCAACUUGUGUACCUGAUAGUUGUAUCGUUAACAUAUACGACGAAGGAGAUUGCAUACCUCCACAUAUCGAUAACCAUGACUUCCUCCGCCCUUUCUGCACAAUCUCAUUCCUCAGUGAAUGCGAUAUACUCUUUGGUUCAAAUCUCAAAAGCGUAGGAGAUGGUGAAUUCUCCGGUUCAUACUCUAUACCACUUCCCGUCGGGUAAAAGCUAGCACUCUAUACGUUUGCAUAGUUUACUCUCCUUUUGAUUUUUUCCUUCGUUCGCUUGCUUAAGAGUGUUUUCACUUUUCUCUUUUCAGAUCAGUUCUAGUGCUAAAGGGAAAUGGUGCAGAUGUAGCUAAGCAUUGUGUACCUGCGGUUCCCACAAAGAGGUAAUUUUUAGCAAAUGUAAGUUUUGCAUAUACAUAAAAAUGGCGUUUUUUUGAAACUUGAUAUAUCGGUUAUGUUUUCAGGAUAUCGAUCACGUUUAGGAAAAUGGACGAGUCGAAACGACCAGUUGGAUUCAUCCCGGAGCCUGAUUUGCAGGGAAUUAAGCCGUUGCCAUACGAACAGACAGCUCCGAGUACUCCUGUUUCUGCAACCAUUAGCUCUUCAAGAUCGAGUGAUGAUCAAAAUGGUAAUAAUAACAGCAAUAGAGGUGCACGUAGAGAAGGAAGCAGGCAUCAUCAUUCUGAGAGUCGAGAGUGGUCAUCAUCAAGCCAAAGAAGACGAAACUCAAGACACACUCCUAACACUGUUUUUAGACACAAGGUUGAUAGUUAUACCAGCUCGGACAAUGUCUGAAGAUUUGUGUUCUGUUUUUUUUUUCUUUUCUCUUUUGUAAUAAUACAAAAGGAGUAUUUUGAUUUCUCCACAUAAUGAAAUAGAGAAAUUGCUCCUGGUUAAAAAAAAUACAAAGAUCUUUCCGCUAUUCUAUUCUUAAAAAGUGCUGAAAUUUGAUCAAUUGGAACUUUAAAUAAAAAAGUUGGACCUUGUAAUAAAAAAAAAGAAAUGGGACCUUAUAUAAAGAAAAUUGCUGCGGCAAUUUCUUUGCACUGGUACGCUCGCCUUCCGAAGGUUCUCUCUCGCUUCGAGCCUCGCAGAGAGUCUCAAAAAAAAAAGAAAAAAAUGAGAGGGAAAAUUGCAUAGAGAAUUGUAAUCUUCCAUCGUUUUCCUCGAGGUCGUCGGUUUUCACUCAGAGAACCAACGAAACCUCCUGAAGUUUCUCUUUUGAAUUAGUGAAUUUGAUAAACCCUCGCUACUUCCUGACCUAGUCGACCACCUUCAGCUUUGGCGUUUAGGGAUCGUCGCUGUAAUCGACUGGAACAAGAAAUACUCUCGGGCGUCAGAAAGGAGUGAAAUUGAGGAGACGUAUAUAAUUUCUACCGCGACGGAACCCUAAGACAGCCUUGCGCUUCUCUGGGUCAGCUUAUUUUGUUUAGCCAUGAGUCCAAUUCAGAAUUUUGAGCAACACUCUCGUCGUCUCGUGGAGCCUGACCUACGUAACAUCACUCACUCUCUUCUCUUCUUUAUUUCGUGGUUGAGAAAAGCUAUCACUUUGGAUUUUUUAAAUUUGUCAGCGAAGUUUUACCUUUAUGAUUCUGAGGAAUUUUCGUUUGACUUCGAGUUCGUGUUAAGUUUUGUUGUGGGCAUCAAAGUUUUGUUCAAUUAAAAAAAAUUAACUUGUUUUUGUUUUUCUUUGUUUGAUUGUCUUGUGUAGCUAUCCAGACGAGGCUUGAGAUGGUGGUGGAGGUCAGGGACAGUCUAGAGAUCACACAUACGGCUGAAUACUUGAAUUUUCUGAAAUGUUACUUCCGGGCAUCUUCAGUGAUUCUUCUUCAGAUUACAAAGCCUCAAUUCUCUGAUAAUCUUGAGCACAAACUACGGAACAUCGUGGUUGAGAUACUCAAUCGUCUGCCACAUAGCGAGGUUCUUCGUCCCUUUGUUCAAGACCUCUUGAAAGUUGCAAUGCAGGUGCUCACUACAGAUAAUGAGGAGAAUGGGUUAAUAUGCAUUCGCAUAAUCUUUGACCUUCUUAGAAACUUUAGGCCAACAUUAGAAAAUGAGGUUCAACCAUUCUUGGACUUUGUCUGCAAGAUAUACCAGAACUUCAAAUUGACGGUCAGCCAUUUUUUUGAGAAUGUCAAAAUUGAAGAGGCGAAACCUAUGGAGAUAUCUACACCAUCUGAUCAGUCGCUGUCCCUUACCGCACAUUUCAGGAAUGGGCAGAUUAACCCGAGUACGCGUUCGUUCAAAAUAGUCACAGAGAGCCCCCUCGUCGUUAUGUUUCUUUUUCAGCUGUAUAGCAGGCUUGUUCAGACCAAUAUUCCUAACUUGUUGCCCCUGAUGGUUGCUGCUAUUUCUGUCUCUGGACCUGAGAUAGUUUCUUCACAUAUGAGGCCUCAUUUCAUCGAACUGAAGGGUGCUCAGGUUAAGGUGAGACAAUAGUUCUCUAUCAACAAGUAUACCAUAACUUAUUUGGACGGUGAAAAAAAAAAAGAUUUCUUUAAGACCUACAUUGCCUUCUCGUUUCACCUGAAUUAUUUUGUUUUAAAGGGAACAUGCCAUGGCAUAUUGACUUGCAGUGUUUGUCUUAUUCUUUUUGUUUAUUUGCAGACGGUUUCUUUUUUGACUUAUUUGUUAAAAAGUUGUGCCGAAUAUAUCAGGCCGCAUGAAGAAAGCAUAUGUAAGAGCAUUGUAAAUUUGCUUGUGACCUGUUCAGAUUCUGCAUCUAUCAGAAAGGUGGAGAACCGUCUGUUAUGUUUUUCUUCGGUAUGUUUUCGCCUCGUGACACAAUCAUUGGCUUACAGUUAAAGACUUGUUUUUUGGUCUAUGAAAUACAGGAACUAUUGGUCUCACUAAAGCAUGUACUGGGAACGGAUUUCAAGAGAGGUUUAUUUCCUCUUAUUGACACUCUUUUGGAAGAAAGGUACAAUGCCAUUUUCGCCGUUAUGAAUUCUAAACUUUUACAACUGUCUGGAAGCUGUUUUAAUUUAUCAAGUAAUCUUUACUGUUCUGCAUAGUUCACCGUGUCGUAUUAUCUAUUUACAAAUAGUGACUUAUCUAUUGACUGUUUUUCUGUGUGUCAGGGUUCUAGUUGGAACGGGGCGUGCAUGCUUUGAGUCUUUGAGACCUCUGGCUUACAGCCUACUGGCCGAGAUUGUUCACCAUGUUCGAGCAGAUCUGUCCCUUUCUCAGGUUCUUCUCGUUGUUUCUUACUUUGGCUUCUGUUUGUUUCUCUUUUGUUAUUUGUUAGUUCCUUCUUUAUAGAGUAGCUCUUUCUAGUUGAGAGUCUUAAGUUCUGGAACCUGUGCUAAGCAUUGAAUUGGAUUCUAUAGUAAGUAAUACUAAUUUGUUCCAAUACACAUAUUGCUAUGAAUCUGUGGGUUUUUUGGUUGGGUAUAAAAAAGGAUCCUCAUCUUUACGUUCUUAUCAAUUGUGAUAAGAAAGUGCUUGCGCUUGGGAAAUUUGUUAUUUCUUGCUAACAUAGAACCCCAAGUCUCCCAAUACAUUAUCACAGAAGAAAAUCUCAACAAACAAAUAAUUUUAGAAUACAACAUACUGAUCAAUCUUUCUUGCCAACAUCAGGCUUCCCAUUAUAAGAUUUUUCUCCCUGUCCAUUAUCUACUUUAUAGGUGAUCUAUCUCUUACAGUUCUUUUUAUUUGACUUGAAACCAUGUGUCAGUUAUCGCGGAUCAUCUACUUAUUUUCAAGGAACAUGCAUGACUCGACCCUCUCUCUUAACAUCCAUACGACUUGUGCACGGCUGAUGUUAAAUCUGGUAAGGCUAUAUACUUCAUUUUCUUUGCCUUAUUGAAAUUUGAUAUGCUACUUAACAUUUAUGUGGCAUAAUCUGUCCACGAAGUUUGAAUCAAGAUUUUUGGUAAAACUUAAUUCUUAUAUUGGGUUCAGGUAGAACCAAUAUUUGAGAAAGGUGUUGAUCAGCAGUCAAUGGAUGAAGCGCGGAUUUUGUUGGUAUAGCUCUUCCCUGAGAGCUCAGUUUAGAAUUGGUUGGCUGCUCUAAUCUUUAACUUACUUUACACGUCAUCUAUUUAUAGGGACGUAUCCUGGAUGCCUUUGUUGGGAAAUUCAAUACCUUCAAGCGUACUAUUCCUCAGGUAAAUUCUGGUUGCUUCCCAAGGGGCCAUGUAUUUUUAGCUUCUUGGCUUUGCUGUCUAUUUUUUUCGUAAAUGUUUGCUUGAUAUGCCAUUUUUUUAUAUGUUAGUGCUUUGUCUUUCGCUGCAACCCAUUACCGACUUUUUUCUGUUAUGUUUUUAUUUGAGAUAUCUUGAACCUUUAGCUGUCCCGGUUAUCAACUCUUUUUUUUCGUUGAUGUGUUACUUAGUCUUGCUUUUUGCUUCAUAGCUUUUAGAGGAGGGUGAGGGAAAGAAUCUUAUCACUUUGAGGUCGAAGCUUGAACUUCCUGUCCAGGUAAUUACAUAUUAUCUAUGAUGGCUGUUUUGUCUUAACAAGUAGCCAAAUUAUCAGCCAGUGUGAGAUCGUACUCCACUGUUUAUAUUCAAACGUGCUAGUUCCACAGCGUUCGUUAGUAUUCUACUAGUCUCAUAGAUAGGAAAUCUAAUUUCUUUCCGAAAUUGGAUUAUAAUUUAUGCGGAAAUAUAUGUAUAUAUAUAUGUAUAUAUUGUUUUUGUAGAUAUUUUCUGAUAUUUACUUUAGACCACGCUGGUUGCAGGCAGUUUUGAAUUUGCAGGUUCCUGUCGAACAUUCCAAAGAAGUGAAUGAUUGUAAAAAUCUGAUCAAGACACUGGUGAUGGGUAUAUAAUCUUGGGCACACUGACGUUUCACUUUAGUGGAUCAGUUAUAGAUGAUUUUUCUAUAUGUUAAUGACAUUUUUUUGUUAUUUGUGUUCAGGAAUGAAGACAAUCAUAUGGAGUAUAACCCAUGCACAUUCACCCCGACCUCAAGGAAUGCACCCACAAGCUCUUGCGUUACAAUCAUCAGUUACACAGGUUUUUAAAGGAAUGCGAGAAGAUGAGGUAUUGCAUGUUAGAUUGUUUAGUGUAGGCAUCAAUAGUGCAUGGCUGAUAGACCUCUAGUAACCUCUACCUUUAAGCAGGUGUGGAAAGCCUCUGGUGUUUUAAAGAGUGGUGUCCAUUGCUUAGCUCUCUUCAAAGAGAAGGACGAGGAGAAGGAAAUGCUAAACCUUUUCUCCCAAAUUUUGGCUAUAAUGGAACCUCGAGAUCUAAUGGAUAUGCUCUCUAUAUGUAUGCCUGAACUUUUUGAGUGCAUGAUUGACAAUACUCAACUGGUUCAAAUAUUUGCCACUCUCCUCCAAGCUCCCAAAGUAUACAAGCCAUUUGCAGAUGUUCUGAUUAAUUUCCUAGUAAGCAGCAAACUCGAUGUUCUGAAGAAUCCAGAUUCAGCUGCUACUAAAUUAGUUCUGCAUCUCUUCCGGUGUCUCUUUGGGGCUGUUUCUAAAGCACCAUCUGAUUUUGAACGAAUAUUGCAACCUCAAGUGUCUGUUAUUAUGGAAGUCUGCAUGAAGAAUGCGAUUGAAGUUGAAAAGCCCCUUGGUUAUAUGCAAUUGCUCCGAACUGUUUUCAGAGGACUUGCUGGAUGUAAAUUCGAGAUCCUUCUUAGAGAUUUAAUCCCCAUGCUGCUUCCUUGUCUUAAUAUGCUGCUGACAAUGCUUGAGGGCCCCGCCGGGGAAAACAUGAGAGAUCUUUUGUUGGAGCUUUCUUUGACGCUUCCUGCACGCUUAAGCUCAUUAUUACCAUACCUUCCCCGCCUCAUGAGGCCUCUUGUAUCCUGUUUGAGAGGAACUGAUGAACUUGUGAGCUUGGGGUUACGCACUCUUGAAUUCUGGGUGGAUAGUCUAAAUCCUGACUUUUUGGAGCCAAGUAUGGCAGAUGUAAUGUCUGAAAUGAUCUUAGCAUUAUGGUCUCACUUGAGGCCGGUGCCAUACCCUUGGGGUGGAAAAGCGUUACAAAUCGUGGGAAAGUUGGGUGGUCGCAACAGGCGAUUUCUUAAAGACCCACUUACACUUGAAUGCAAAGAUAAUCCAGAGCAUGGGCUUCGCUUAGUUCUGACAUUCGAGCCGUCCACUCCAUUUCUUGUGCCAAUGGACAAAUUCAUUAAUCUUGCUGUAGCAUCUGUUAUUCAGAAAAACUUCACUACAGAAAUCUACUACAGAAAGCAAGCUCUAAAAUUCCUCCGCGUUUGCUUAGUGUCUCAGCUUAAUUUGCCUGGGUGUGUCACUGACGAGGGUCAGACGACUAAGCAGUUAUCAACUUUGUUACUUUCCUCUGUUGAUUCAUCUUGCCACGGGACUGAAUUAACAGAAAUAGAGGUUGGUUUCCCUUAUGGCUGUACCCUUUACCUUUCUGGUCGAAUGUUAGAGUUACUACUCGCUUUGCUGAUUUUUACUUAAAGCAUUGCCCUAUGAUUAGACUUUGUAUUUGUUUUCUUGUUGCUAUGCGUUUGACCUCGCUGAAAAUCGAACUAGGACUGUUUUAUGUCAUCUCCCACGAGUGACCUACUUUUCUCCUUGGAUUUUCUAUAUUACUUGGUGUAAUAUGAUGUAAAAGGGUUUAUUUGUUAAGAAGAUUUUUUUUUUUGUUGCUGCAGGCUGACUUAGGGGUUAAAACAAAGACGCAAUUAAUCGCGGAGAAGUCAAUCUUUAAGAUGCUAUUGAUCACUAUAAUUGCUGCCAGUUCUGAUCCGGAUCUCAGCGACUCAGAUGAUGAAUUUGUUCUAAACAUAUGUCGGCAUUUUGCAAUUAUUUUGCACGGGGACUAUACCGCGUCGUAUGCUUCAACUAGUACUGGUCCACCUGGGGGUUCUGUGAUUUCAACAAGUUCCAGGCCCAAGAAUAAUUCGUCUACUAAUUUAAAACAGCUGGAUCCUUUGAUAUUUUUAGAUGCACUGGUUGAUGUGCUUGCAGAUGAAAACAGGAUCCAUGCCAAAGCUGCUCUGACUGCAUUAAAUGUGUUUGCUGAAACUCUGCUGUUACUUGCUCGUGUCAAACAUGCUGAUGUGCUGAUGGCUAGGGGUGGUCAUAGUGCCUCUAUGAUUGUCUCCAGUCCUUCUACAAAUCCGGUGUAUUCACCGCAUCCAAGUGUGCGAAUACCAGUGUUUGAACAACUUUUGCCUCGGUUGUUGCAUUGCUGUUAUGGGAGCACAUGGCAAGCGCAGAUGGGAGGAGUAAGUGGUUUAGGUGCACUGGUAGGGAAAGUGAAUGUUGAAACAUUAUGUCUUUUCCAAGUAAAAAUUGUACGUGGUCUGGUAUACGUUCAAAAGAGGCUUCCUGUUUAUGCUAGCAAUGAGCAAGAAGAGACAAGUCAGGUUCUUAUGCAGAUUCUAAGAGUGGUUAAUAAUGUUGACGAAGCAAACAGUGAGGCCCGGAGACAAAGCUUUAAAGGUGUCGUAGAAUAUCUUGCUACUGAAUUGUUCAAUCCUAAUGCAUCUAUCACAGUCAGAAAAAAUGUUCAGAACUGUCUUUCACUUUUGGCUAGCCGGACUGGUAGUGAGGUAUCUGAACUGCUUGAGCCUUUAUACCAACCGUUGCUGCAGCCACUUAUAAUGCGUCCACUUCGAUCAAAGACAAUUGAUCAACAGGUGCCUCAUUCUGCUAUUUUUCGGUUGUCGUAUCUCUUUUCCCGAAUUCUUUUUGACCUUCUUUAAUAUGCCUUAUAGGUUGGAACUGUGACAGCUCUGAAUUUUUGUUUAGCACUGAGGCCUCCCCUUCUAAAAGUGACUCCAGAGCUGGUUAGCUUCUUGCAAGAAGCGUUACAAAUAGCUGAGGCUGAUGAAGCUGUAUGGGCUGUAAAGUUGAUGAGUCCUAAAGUGCUUACAUCAUUGAACAAACUUCGAACAGCAUGUAUUGAGAUUCUGUGCACAACUAUGGCGUGGGCUGACUUUCGAACUCAAAGUUACAAUGAACUACGGGCAAAGAUAAUUUCCAUGUUUUUCAAGUCUUUAACCUGUAGAGCACCAGAAAUUGUGACCGUUGCCAAGGAGGGUUUAAGACAGGUUCUUAAUUAUUUACCUUUUGUUUCCAGUUCUUGCACACAUUCAAUUUGAGGAUUUUGGAGAAAUAGUUUUUACUCUACCUAAUAGCCAUUUUUUUCUGGGAUAGUCGAUUCUUCUUUUAUAAACCUUUUUCUGUCCUGAAACUCUGUUUUCUGCUUUAGGUUAUCAAUCAACAACGGAUGCCCAAAGAACUUCUUCAGAGUAGCCUCAGACCUAUACUAGUUAAUCUGGCACACACAAAGAAUCUCAAUAUGCCUUUACUGCAAGGUCUGGCACGUCUUCUUGAACUUCUAUCAAAUUGGUUCAAUGUGACAUUAGGAGGUAAGCUGCUGGAGCACCUCAAAAAAUGGUUAGAGCCAGAGAAACUUGCACAGUCCCAGAAAUCAUGGAAAACCGGCGAAGAGCCGAAAAUUGCAGCUGGUAAUCACAUUUUUGAAAAUAUAUAAAAACAGAUGUGAUUAUAUAUGAACACAAGUUUUUUGUUUUGUCUGUGGCAGCUAUUAUCGAGCUCUUCCAUUUACUUCCACUUGCUGCAUCAAAAUUUCUAGAUGAACUUGUAACAUUAACCAUCGACUUAGAAGCAGCUCUUCCUCCAGGGCAAGUGUACAGUGAGAUUAACAGCCCAUACCGCCUUCCGCUUACCAAGUUCUUGAAUCGAUAUGCCACCCUAGCUGUUGAUUAUUUUCUUUCCAGAUUAAGCGAACCAAAAUAUUUCCGAAGGUAAGAAUAACAUUGCAUGUUAGGUUGAGUGUGUGUGAGCAUGGGGUAAUGACUGUUUCCAUCUUUUCGUUAUAACCUCAGGUUUAUGUCCAUAAUUCGGUCAGAUGCAGGCCAACCAUUAAGAGAAGAACUUGCAAAAUCUCCACAUAAGAUACUUUCAUAUGCCUUUCCUGAAAUUUUACCAAAAUCUGAAGUCAUACUGAGUGCGGCAGCUUCAACUCCUCCAGCUGCACCAUCUGGAGAUGAAAAACCCGUCCCUAUGCAAAUAGAAAGUUCUAACACGCCAUCAACUAUCUCCAAUAUAGCAUCAGAUGCGUACUUUCAGGGACUCUAUCUGAUCAAAACAAUGGUGAAACUGAUACCCAGCUGGCUGCAGAGUAACCGUACUGUUUUUGAUGCCUUGGCUCUUCUUUGGAAAUCACAUGCAAGGACAGCUCGUUUGCAGAAUGAGCAAGAGCUAAAUUUAGUUCAGGUAGUUUCAUCUAUAUCUGAACUUUAUAAUUUCUGCAUUAGUUUUGUGUUUGAAAAUAAAUGCAUACAUGGUUCCUUAUCUAAAACUGAUGUGGGCAUCACAAACCAUCUCACAAUCGCUACGUGGAUUGCCUGCUGUAUAUAUAUGUGGCCUUAUGCAAAUUUGAUUCAAAUUGUCAAACUAGGUUUUCGUUUAUCUGCAGUCUUUCCGGUCUUGUAUGUUGGGGCCCUCCUGACUUGUUUCUGUACAAUUUUGUUUUUAAAUUCCUUCCAUAUAAUAAAUGUAUUCAGAAAAGUUGGCCAUAUCUUCAAAUCUUUUAUUUUUCAAACUCGCAGGUAAAAGAGAGCAAAUGGCUUGUCAAGUGCUUCCUCAAUUAUCUACGACAUGAAAAAUCUGAAGUGAACAUUCUUUUCGAUGUUCUCUCUAUUUUCUUGUUCCAUAGUCGUAUUGACUACACCUUUUUGAGAGAGUUUUACAUUAUUGAGGUAUCUUUCUCAAAAUUAGUUACAAUUUUAUAUCUCUCUUUUAUGCUUAUUUCUCAUAUUUUGCAGCUCUAGAAAAUAACUGGGUUCUUUCAUCAGGUUGCUGAAGAAUAUCCGCCCAACAUGAAAAGAGCACUUGUUUUGCAUUUUCUAAACCUUUUCCAUUCAAAACAACUCGCCCAUGAUCAUCUAGUUCAGGCAAUGCAAAUGCUCAUUCUUCCAAUGCUUGCCCAUGCCUUCCAAAACGGUCAAACGUGGGAAGUUAUUGAUCCUAAUAUAGUGAAGACCAUUGUUGAGAGGCUUCUUGAUCCACCUGAAGAGGUAGGUUUCUUUCUCCUCUAAGCAACUAAAAUUUUGGAUCAUACAGAAAUUAAUGUGGGGGAAGAUUGCUCUCUUGAUGUAAAUGGUAAUGCGAGUAAUCUGUCCAAGUUGUAUUUCUGAAAUGGUCCUAUUGUACUUCUGAUUUGUAUUUUACUAGAGUUUUGUUGUUAAUGACAUCUUAAAUAUUGCAGGUUUCUGCUGAAUAUGACGAAUCUUUGAGGAUCGAACUUUUGCAAUUAGCUACUUUGCUUCUGAAAUAUCUUCAGGGUGAUCUGGUUCAUCAUAGAAAAGAGCUCAUCAAGUUUGGAUGGAAUCAUCUCAAACGGGAAGAUAGUGUCAGUAAACAGUGGGCAUUUGUUAAUGUUUGCCAUUUCUUGGAUGCUUACCAGGCUCCGGAGAAAAUCAUUCUGCAGGUACCAUUUCAAUUUUUUUUUCUGGCAUUAUGUUGGUGAUGUUUAUUGUUUCUAUUGAAGAUUGAAAAAGGAAACUACUUGAAAUUUUUAUAUGAGUGUAUAACAUUUUUUCCAUUUAAAACCUGAAAGCAAGCAUGUGCGUAGUAAUACUCCUCAUCUAAUCCAGUGAUACAAAUGUUUUGUCAACUGGGUGUAGGUUUUUGUUGCGCUUCUUAGGACUUACCAGCCGGAGAAUAAGAUGCUAGUUAAGCAAGCCCUAGAUAUUCUAAUGCCUGCUUUGCCUAAAAGGCUUCCACUUGGAGAUUCAAGAAUGCCGAUUUGGAUAAGAUACACCAAAAAAAUUUUGGUGGAGGAGGGUCAUUCAAUUCCAAAUUUGAUCCACAUCUUCCAACUCAUUGUUCGGCACUCAGAUCUGUUUUACAGCUGUAGAGCACAGUUUGUACCUCAGAUGGUGAAUUCCUUAAGUCGUCUAGGUUUGCCAUAUAACACAACAGCAGAAAAUAGGCGUCUCGCAAUCGAACUUGCUGGAUUAGUUGUUAGCUGGGAAAGGCAAAGACAGAAUGAGAUUAAAACGGUUACUGAUGCCGAUGCUACCAAUGAUGUCAGUGAUGGGUUACAUUCUUCAUCCGGUGCAGACCCUAAGCGCUCAGCAGAUGGAUCUUCCAUAUCUGAAGACCCAAGUAAACGAGUUAAAAUUGAACCUGGUCUCCAAUCAUUGUGUGUUAUGUCACCUGGUGGUGCAUCGUCAAUCCCCAAUGUAGAAACUCCUGGAUCAGCUACCCAGCCUGAUGAGGAAUUCAAGCCAAAUGCUGCUAUGGAAGAACUAAUCAUCAACUUUCUUAUAAGAGUAAGGCAUUACAUCUCCCACCUUCUACCAUUGGGCAUUUUUAUAAGUUAAUGUUUUCGAUUUGAAAAAAUUUCUUUGGUGGGGAGUUCUAUAAUAACAGAGCCCCUUCCCUGAGCAAUUUUGCAUUCCAUAGAGAUGACGUUUGGCAGUAGCAGUCCUAAAGCAAUAUAGUAUUCUGUAUAGUAUUCUAUAAUGAGAUUUUGCAGAUCGUAGGUUUUCUAGAUUUUGGAUCUGCUUAAGUUCUAUACCUUAUUGACCACCUCUAGUUUCAAUUUAUGUUGUACAUGACAUUGUUUUAGGUAUACAAUUCAUAUAUUAAUUAAUUUCUGUGGAUGACUUUACUUGAAGUUUCCUUUCUCUUCCUUGAAUAGGUAGCAGUGGUAAUUGAGCCUAAGGACAGGGAAACCAAGACUAUGUACAAACAAGCUUUAGAUUUUCUUUCACAAGCUUUGGAAGUUUGGCCAAAUGCAAAUGUCAAGUUUAACUAUUUAGAAAAGCUGCUAAGCAGCAUGCCACCCUCCCAGUCAGAUCCAUCUACAGCACUUGCUCAGGGACUGGAUGUCAUGAACAAGGUUCUGGAGAAGCAGCCGCAUCUUUUCAUUACGAACAACAUCACCCAAAUCUCACAGGUAUAUUUGAGUCAGUAAGCUUUUACUUAAUAUAUGAAAUAUUUCUGUUUUCUGCCUCUUGUUGACUGUUGGUUUCUUUAUCAGUUUCUUGAGCUAUCGUUCAAACACAAGAUGUUGGAUGCUGGUAAAUCGUUGUGCUCUUUGUUGAAGAUGGUCAUCACUGCCUUCCCACAGGAUGGAGCUAAUACACCUCCUGACAUAAAGCUAUUGUAUCAGAAAGUCAAUGAGCAGAUACAGAAACAUGUACAUGCUGUUGCUGUUCCACAAGCUUCAGGAGAUGAUAACUCUCUCGGUUCAAUCAGCUUUGUAGUUAUUGUCCUUAAAACCUUGGCAGAGAUACAGAAAAACUUUGUUGAUCCAUAUGUACUGGUGCGUAUCCUUCAGCGUCUUUCGCGGGAUCUGGGAUUGGCAACGAGUGCUCAUCCUAGACAAGUAAGUUAUCUUCAUUUAAUAGCUACCUUUUGUCUAAGAGAUAAAAUCAUAUGCUUGUUUUCUUUUCUUAUUUUAACUCAAAUGGACUUUACAUGGCAUUCAGUCAUUCACCGCAUCUUAUCGACUGAGUAUUGGAAUAUCUAAUGCUUCUAAAUAACUAUGCAGCACGUUCAUUCAUGCCUUGUAAGAUUUUAGCUUUUAUAUUUGUUCCUCCCUUUCAUCAUCUUGCAGCUCUGACUCAUUUACUGACAUGUUUUGGUCGGUGCGUAUAUACUAUCAAAUUUUGUCUCUGUUGCCAGCUCCUGUAUAAUUCCUCGCCUUUUUUCUUGAAAGUAAUAACUCGGUAUCCAUUACAUGUUGCCCAAUUGUGGCUUACUCUGGUGGCCUUUUUGUGUCCCUUUCCAGAGCCAGCGGACAGAUUCAGAUUCUGCAGUAACUUCUUCUCGUCAAACUGCUGAUGUUGGGGCAGUCAUAUCUAAUAUAAAGUCGGUCUUAGAACUUAUUGAUGAAAGGGUUAUGCUUGUGGCUGAUUGCAAAAGACCCGUGACUCAAAUAUUGAGCACUUUGCUUUCAGAAAAGGGUACUGAUUCGAGCGUGCUUCUCUGCGUGCUAGACAUGUUAAAAAGAUGGGCUGAGGAUGAUUUCGGAAGAAUAGGUUCAUCUGGGUCCUCUGGUGCUUUCCUUACCCAGAAGGACAUAGUUUCUUUUCUUCAGAAGCUUUCACAGGUUGAUAAGCAGCACUUCUCAUCUUUUGCUUUGGAAGAGUGGGAUAAGGCGUAUCUUCAGCUAUUAUAUGGACUUUGUGCCGAUUCAACGAAGUAAGUUUUUGCUUUUUGUUCUUAUGUUCAACCUUGAGUUACGUCUAAGUUUUUUAUGAGAGGGAUGAUAUCUGUUUCACUAACAGGUAUCCGCUGGCCCUCCGACAAGAGAUCUCCCUGAAAGUUGAAAGACAUUCAAUGCUUGGUUUACGGGCAAGGGAUCCUGAGAUGCGAAGGAAGUUCUUCUUGUUAUACCACGAGUCUCUCGGAAAAAAUUUAUUCUCAAGGCUGCAGUACAUUAUUCAAAGCCAAGAUUGGGAAGCUAUGAGUGAUGUGUUUUGGCUCAAACAGGGUCUUGAUCUCCUCCUAGCCAUCUUAAUCGAGGAGAAGCCAAUUACUCUAGCACCGAAUUCUGCCAGGGUAGUACCACUUCUUCCUUCACAUAGUCCUGGAGUACACCACCAACCACCUGCUAUGCCGGAGGGACCUGAAGAAGUCGCUUCAAUGUUUGAAAACAUUGUUCAGAAGCAUGCACAAUUUCUUUGCGCGGCAAGCAAACUUCAGGUGAUUGCAAAUUAUUUUUAAAAAAUUGCUCAGUCUUUAUGGUUCUAUCUUAUGUCCUGUUAGAUAAAAAUAUAGUUAGUUAAUUAUUUCAAGCUUUGGUGUGUUAUCCACUUUGGAAGCUGGAUUGAUCUAAAUAAAUUGUAUGUACUCUUUUCCCCGCUAUAGGUGGCUGAUGUUGUUAUCCCUCUAAGGGAGCUGGCUCACACAGAUGCCAAUGUUGCUUAUCAUUUGUGGGUGCUAGUAUUUCCAAUCGUGUGGGCAACCCUACACAAGGAAGAGCAGAUAGCUUUGGCUAAACCUAUGAUUUCUCUCCUGUCAAAGGACUACCACAAGAAGCAGCAAGGACACAGGCCGAAUGUUGUGCAAGCACUUCUGGAAGGGCUUCAGUUGAGCCACCCUCAACCUAGGAUGCCUAGUGAGCUUAUCAAAUAUAUCGGAAAAACAUACAAUGCAUGGCACAUCGCAUUGUCUUUGCUAGAGACCCAUGUCAUGCUGUUCAUGAAUGACUCAAAAUGUGCCGAGUCUCUUGCUGAGCUAUAUCGUUUGUUAAAUGAAGAAGACAGGAGAUUUGGUUUGUGGAAGAAUAGGUCCAUCACUGCCGAAUCGAGAGCUGGGAUUUCAAUGGUUCAACAUGGUUUUUGGCAGCGUGCUCAGAGCCUUUUCUAUCAGGCGAUGGUUAAGGCAACCCAAGGCACUUACAAUAACACCGUACCGAAGGCUGAAAUGUGCCUGUGGGAGGAGCAAUGGCUCCACUGUGCCACUCAACUUGGUCAGUGGGAUGCCCUGGUAGAUUUUGGAAAAAGCACUGAGAAUUAUGAAAUUUUGCUUGAUAGUCUGUGGAAAGUACCAGAUUGGGCAUAUUUGAAGGAUCAUGUGAUACCCAAGGCACAAAUCGAAGAGACGCCGAAGCUUCGUUUGGUUCAAGCUUGUUUUUCCCUUCAUGACAAAAAUGCAAAUGGUGUCGGAGAUGCUGAAAACAUAGUUGGGAAAGGCGUUGAUCUUGCCUUGGAACAGUGGUGGCAGUUACCUGAAAUGUCUCUUCAGGCUAGAGUGCCUCUACUGCAGCAAUUCCAACAACUAGUGGAGGUGCAAGAGUCUUCUAGAAUUUAUGUUGACAUCGCAAAUGGGAGUAAAGUUCCAGGAAAUGCUGCUGUUGGUGUACAAAAUCAGUAUGCUGAUCUGAAGGACAUUCUUGAGACUUGGAGGCUGAGGACUCCAAAUGAAUGGGACAACAUGACUGUCUGGUAUGAUAUGCUGCAGUGGAGGAAUGAAAUGUAUAACAUUGUUAUUGAUGCAUUUAAGGACCUUAUAACGUCAAAUACUCCACUUCAUCACCUUGGUUAUCGUGACAAAGCAUGGAACGUCAAUAAGCUUGCUAGGAUAGCUCGGAAACAAGGGCUUAAUGAUGUUUGCGUUCAGAUACUUGACAAAAUGUAUGGACACUCACAAAUGGAAGUACAGGUACAGUCCUCAUAUCUUUAACAUUAAAAUUUGGGCAGAGUUCAUUCAAAAUCACAUCUUUGGAUUCAACCUGUAGUUUUCACAUUAAUAUACUUUCUUCCUUUUUUAUCUUUACCUAGUUUGAUUAAAUAUUUCCUGCCACAGCGGUAAAUCCACUCAUUAAUUAUUUCCUCACCCUUUCCACGAUCCUAUAAAAUAAGUUAUAUUUCGCUGAGUCUUUUUUUUUUUUUUUGUGGGGCUUGACAUAUCAUUUCUUUUGACUUGAUCACCUCUAUUCUGCGCCUGUGUAUGCAGGAAGCCUUUGUUAAAAUUAAAGAGCAGGCAAAAGCUUAUAUGGAAACAAAAGGAGAGCUUGCGACUGGUCUUAAUUUGGUUAAUAGCACAAAUUUGGAGUUCUUUCUAGCGAAGAACAAGGCAGAGAUAUUUCGUCUAAAGGGGGAUUUCCAUUUGAAGUUAAACGACACUGAAGGUGCUAAUAUUGCAUAUUCCAAUGCAAUCACCCUAUUCAAGAAUUUACCCAAGGGAUGGAUAAGCUGGGGAAAUUACUGUGACAUGGUAUUUCUUUUACUUAGAUGCUGCUUCUUUUUCUGGGCUAUUAACAUUUUCCCUCUUCUCGUAGUAGAUAUUAUAUUUUACUUUCGUUUUACAGGCAUACCAGGAAACAGAAGAUGAAAUUUGGCUAGAAUAUGCUGUCAGCUGCUUUCUUCAGGGUAUAAGAUUUGGAGUUUCCAAUUCCAGAAGUCACAUGGCUCGUGUUCUUUAUCUUCUUAGUUUCGAUUCAGCAAAUGAGCCUGUUGGUAGAAUAUUCGAUAAACACUUGGAACAAGUACCUCACUGGGUGUGGCUCUCUUGGAUCCCACAGCUGUUGCUUUCCCUGCAGCGAACAGAAGCACCCCAUUGCAAAUUGGUUCUACUGAAAAUUGCUGCAGUAUUCCCGCAGGUAAUUUCCUUUUAGUUUUUUAGAUGAACUCGUUUAUUUAUCAUUUCAUAUGAGCAUGAGACUGUUUUUCGUUGCAGGCUCUCUAUUACUGGCUCCGCACAUACUUACUGGAGCGCCGGGAUGCGGUAAAUAAAUCUGAACUUAGCAGAGUGGUUUUGGCUCAACGAAUGCAGCAAAAUGUUCCUGGUGUUAGUGCGGGUCAUGGUGGCGGUAAUAUAUCAUCGGAAACUCAAAUCCAUCAAGGUGCUCAAAGUAGUGGGGCUGUUGGAACCCAUGACGGUGGUAACCCACAUGCCCAAGAAAGUGAACGUUCCACUGUGGGUAACAAUGUGCAUCCAGGGAAUGAUCAACCUAUGAACCAAAGUAGUUCAGCUAUCAUUGAGAAUAGUCAAAACGCAGCAAUACGGAAUGGUGCUUCGUUGGCAAUCUCUGCUGCUGGUGCUUUUGAUGCGGCAAAGGAUAUUAUGGAAAAUCUUAGGAGUAAACAUAACAACUUGGCCAGUGAACUUGAGGUAGUAUUCUGUUUGUGAAUAUUCUCUGAUUCCUUUAUAUUCUCUGAUUCCUUUAUAUUCUCUCUAUAAAAGUUUUCAUUUUGAAAAUUAAUUUUGAAAAAGAAAAAAAAUAGAAAACUACUGUCUUAUACAAGUAGCUUGAUUUGACUCAACUGCACGUUCCCUGCUUCUUUACUUGAAUUAUUUAAUGAUGUAUUAUUUUCUCUCAGAUUCUUCUCACAGAAAUAGGUUCGAGGUUUGUUACUUUACCAGAAGAAAGACUUCUUGCUGUUGUGAAUGCUUUGUUGCAUCGAUGUUACAAAUAUCCAACUGCUACCACUGCUGAAGUUCCGCAACCGCUCAAGAAAGAACUCUCGGGUGUAUGCAGAGCUUGUUUUUCUGCAGAUGCUGUGACCAAGCAUGUCGAAUUUGUGAGAGAAUACAAACAGGAUUUCGAGCAUGGCCUGGAUCCAGAAAGUAAGUCAUUCCCUGGCACACUCGCAGAGCUGACAAAGAAACUGAAAGAAUGGAAACACAUUCUUCAGAGCAAUGUUGAAGACAGAUUCCCCGCUGUGCUGAGAUUGGAAGACGAGAGCAAGGUGCUGCGUGACUUCAAUGUUGUUGAUGUGGAGAUACCAGGACAGUACUUUGCUGACCAGGUAAAUUGGAUUGUGUUACUCGUCUCUUGUUUACCUACACUGUUUACGUUCUCCAGAGUUGGAAGUAAAUUAUAUAAGUUUAUUCCUUCCAUUAUAUUUCUUUCCCAUUUGCGCUGUGAGCUAAAUAAUGAUAUGUUUAACUGCCCAGGAAGUAGCACCUGAUCAUACAGUAAAGUUGGAUAGGGUUGGAGCAGACAUACAAAUUGUACGAAGGCAUGGGAGCAGCUGCAGACGUUUGACUCUUAUAGGCUCUGAUGGCUCGCAAAAGCAUUUUAUUGUUCAAACAUCACUAACUCCUAAUGCGAGAAGUGAUGAGCGAAUCUUGCAGCUUUUCCGUGUGAUGAACCAAAUGUUUGAUAAGCAUAAAGAGUCAAGAAGACGCCAUAUAGGAAUUCAUACUCCGAUCAUUAUCCCUGUCUGGUCUCAGGUAUGCCUUGAAAAAACUCAGCUUAGUUCCACUUUUGGUUAUUGAUAUAGUUGAUGUCUCAUUCAAUGAGUAUAUUUGCGGUUCAAGACUUUCCCUGAAACUUUACAAAUUCAAUGUAGUUCACUUUUGGUUGUCCAUAAUAAGAGUAGGGUAAAACUCUCUAGGAAUAUGCUAACAUUUGAGUUUCAGGUCCGAAUGGUUGAGGAUGAUCUCAUGUACAACACUUUCCUUGAGGUGUAUGAGAACCACUGUGGAAGGAAUGGUCGAGAAUCAGAUCUUCCUAUUACCUACUUCAAGGAGAAACUCAAUCAAGCUAUCUCGGGGCAAAUCUCACCAGAGGCAAUUGGAGAUCUUCGGCUACAGGCUUAUGGUGAGAUCACAAAGAACAUAGUCAGUGACAGUAUUUUCUCUCAGUACAUGUACAAGACAUCGAUGAGCGGAAGCCAUCUUUGGGCUUUCAAGAAGCAAUUCGCUGUCCAGCUAGCUGUCUCCAGUUUCAUGUCUUUUGUCCUACAAAUCGGUGGGAGAUCCCCAAACAAGAUCUUAUUCGCCAAAAACACUGGAAAAAUGCUCCAGACAGAUUUUCAUCCAACUUAUGACUCCAAUGGGAUGAUUGAGCUUAACGAACCCGUGCCUUUCCGCCUCACAAGGAACAUGCAAGCAUUUUUCUCACAAUUUGGUGUCGAAGGCCCUCUCAUGUCAAACAUGUGUUCUGCAUCUCAAGCAGUUUUCUCUUCCAAGGUAAGAAGAAUAUUUCUCAAAGCUUGAGCGGUGCAAGCAUAGAAAUCAUUUGGCCUCUUAACAUCUUCUUCUCUUUUCCAAUAUUUCAGCAAAAGGAACAUCUUCGGUAUCAAUUAGCCAUGUUCUUCCGCGAUGAGCUUCUGUCUUGGUUUGGAAGAAAACCUCUCGGAAUGCCUAUUCCUCCUGCUGCAGGAGUUGCUACUAUGAGCUCGGCCGAGCUCAAGCACAAAGUUAACUCAAACGUAGACGAAGUCAUUGGGCGAAUCAAAGGAAUAGCUCCACAGUAUUUCUCUGAAGAGGUACACUCAUCAUUUGACGUCUCCACCUUAGUUUUAAAUGCUACUAACACUCUCAUAAAACUCAGAUAGAGGGUUUUGUCCAUUUUCUGAACAGAUGAAUCUCAUGUUUUCCGGUUGUUUUUUACAGGAUGAGAACUCGGUGGAGCCGCCACAGUCUGUGCAAAGAGGUGUGAAUGAAUUGGUGGAAGCAGCUUUGUCGCCUCGCAACCUAUGUAUGAUGGAUCCAACAUGGCAUCCUUGGUUCUAACUUUUGCCUUCGAGGAAACUUGUAACCAUUUUGGGGUAGAAUUUGAGUUGAAGUGGUUAGGUUUGUAAAUAGUUAACCUUAUGUGUUCAACAAACUCUCUAGGUUUCUUUUUUGGGAAUUUUGUCUUCAAACAUUCACUCAUCUUCAAAGUAAAACUAAUAUACAUAUAUAUACAUAAAGUGGAAGUUUCCUCUACACAACAAUUCGCAAGCUUCACUGGUAAUUGUUUAAUAUAACAAAAGCUAAAAAUUUCAAAACUCUCUGAAAUCCUCUCGCCUCUGAGUUAUCUUCCACAAGCUACCAGCUUUUUGCCUUGGUCUUUGCAGUCUUUCGCUCAUGGUUUAUGUUUCUGUACAUUUCCUAAUUUUCAUAUUUCGAUCCCACGGCACCUUUUCAUCACUAAGAUUAGAUUGUCCCGGCGAAGGAGGAGCUUUCAAAAACCAGAGUAAGUAUAGAAGACAACAAUGCUAAUUACUGCAAAAACUUGUUUUUCCACUUCUAAUUUUCGUGCACCACAAGCUUUGAAGAUCGCUGUCUAUGAGAACUAAAUACUAGAUUAAUAAAUAUUUGCAGAGGCAAAAAAUAUAUUUUUAAAAAUCUUGUUUCUAAGUUAGAAAGAUAAAACGCUUUGUGCCAUGUAAAAUUUUUUGAAAGAUAUGUUUCUAAAAUGGAAAAGGAAACUAAAUUUGUUUUUGUUAUUGACCCAAACCAUCGUCGUCCUCUUCCUCCCAUGUCUCAAUCUCUCUCUCUCUUCUCAUCGUCUUGCUCAUUUUCAUUCCGGCAUAUCUGUGAUCGUCCCCUCUAUUAUAGACCUGAAACGGAAGCUCUAAGAGCACCACAUGGGUCUCUGUUUCUCUUCUCCUAAAGCCACCAGACAUGGUACCAGUCGCCGGAAACCUAAUCCGACGCCGGAGAUGCCUAAACCGCAACCACAGGGGAAGGCAAGAAAAAAGGUUAGUAAUAAAAACAAGAAGAAGACGAACAACAACAAGAUCCAAUGGAGACACGGAGGAGAGACCCCUUACGGUAAGGGCGUCGAUUUUGGGUACGCUAAGGAUUUCGAUAACCAUUACACCAUCGGGAAAUUACUCGGACACGGCCAAUUUGGUUUCACCUACGUCGCUACCGAUAACGUCAACGAAGAUCGCGUCGCCGUCAAGAGAAUCGAUAAGGCCAAGGUAAACAUUAUCUGACUUGAAUAAUUCUCUCUGAUUCAAAAGCUCCUUUCUCAAUGUUUGAAUUGGUAUUCUAUUGUUAAUGGGGUUUUAAACUUAAAAAUCCAACCUUUAAGGAAUGUGAUUGCUUGACACCGAAGUAAACUCUGCAUCUCAAGUUUUUGCCUUGUUCUAAGCUCUGUUUUCAUACCAAAUAUGGUGUGCAGAUGACUGUGCCGAUUGAAGUGGAAGAUGUGAAGCGAGAGGUUAAGAUACUACAAGCUUUAGGUGGGCAUGAGAAUGUGGUUGCGUUUCACAAUGUAUUCGAAGACAAAAACUAUGUUUAUAUAGUCAUGGAGUAAGCCUCAAAUUUGUCUCUGUUUUUAUUAUCAUUCUCUUUCUUGUGCGGCAAGAAAAAACUAAAACCAUCCCUGUUUGAUGGGUUUUUUCUUCUUUCAGGCUAUGUGAAGGUGGUGAAUUGCUAGAUCGAAUAUUAGCUAAGUAAGCGGAACAACAAUUUUUGUCAACAACAAUGCAAUAAAAGUCUCCGUAAACAAAAAAAAAAAAAAAAAUAGACAUUUUGGGAAGUUACCUCAAGUCAGCAACUUUCAGCAUUAUUUAUGUGUGUUUCCAGGAAAGACAGCCGUUACUCUGAGAAAGAUGCAGCGGUUGUGGUGAGACAGUACGCGGUUUGGUUCACCGUGAUAUGAAGCCAGAGGUAGGUACGGUUCGAUCUAAUGCCUAAAAGUUGCAGAUCCAUUGUGAAAUAAUCUUCCUUUAACCCUCUUCUUUCCCCCAACAGAACUUUCUGUUCAAGUCGACAGGAGAAGAUUCGUCUCUAAAGGCUACAGAUUUCGGAUUGUCUGACUUUAUAAAGCCAGGUAAGAUUUGCAAGUGUUUCACUCCUCAGGUCUUGUAUCAUCUCAGGAUGAUGAUAUAUAGAGACGAUUGUUAUGAAAAAAUGGCAGGAAUGAAGUUCCAGGACAUAGUAGGAAGCGCGUAUUACGUUGCCCCUGAAGUGUUGAAACGUAGGUCAGGACCCGAAUCAGACGUAUGGAGUAUCGGUGUCAUCACUUACAUUCUGCUCUGUGGAAGAAGACCCUUUUGGGAUAAGACACAAGACGGAAUAUUCAAUGAGGUGUAGUAAUAUUUUGUAAAGCAAUCCAAUCUGUGAUAUGCUUGUUCAUGGAGGUGUUUAUACUGACAUGAAAAACAAAACAGGUCAUGAGGAAAAAACCUGACUUUAAAACAAUCCCGUGGCCAACCAUUAGCAACAGUGCCAAAGAUUUCGUGAAGAAGUUGUUAGUAAAGGAGCCACUAGCUCGGUUGACAGCAGCUCAAGCGCUAUGUAUGUGAUUCAAAUUAAUUGACAUAAACUUCCAUUGUAUUUUGGUUAUGUUCACUGAUCUGAUCUUAUGGAUAUGCAUGGUGGUUGGGGUUUUGCAGCACAUCCAUGGGUGAGAGAAGGAGGCGAGGCCUCGGAGAUUCCAAUAGAUAUAUCUGUUCUCAACAAUAUGCGUCAGUUUGUGAAAUUCAGCCGCCUUAAGCAGAUUGCUCUGAGGGUAAUAAUCAAAUAAGAAACAGAGAAAAAGAUUGUAUUUCAUAUGAAAGUUCUUGAGUUCUUUCUUUACCUGUGUUGUGUUUUUGAAAAGGCUCUGGCGACGACAAUUGAUGAGGAUGAGCUGGAUGAUCUCAGAGACCAGUUUGAUGCGAUUGACAUUGACAAGAACGGUUCCAUUAGCCUCGAGGAGAUGAGGCAGGUAAGAAAUUAGAAAAAAACAAACACCGCAACACAAGUAAGCGAUUCAAGGCACAACUGCAUAUAAAUAAACUCAUCAAUCUUGUAUUGGAUCAAUUUUCACAGGCUCUUGCGAAAGAUGUUCCUUGGAAACUGAAGGAUGCAAGAGUUGCAGAGAUUCUUCAAGCAGUAAGUCACUGAGUCUUACUAGCCACCUCCACGGGUUAGCGUGUAUAAUCCAAGAUGCGUCUGUCUUUGCAGAUUGAUAGCAACACUGAUGGGUUGGUGGAUUUCACUGAGUUUGUAGUCGCUACUUUGCACGUGAAUCAAUUGGAGGAACAUGACUGUGAGAAGUGGCAACAGAGGUCAAGAGCAGCAUUUGACAAGUUCGACAUAGACAGAGAUGGGUAUAUAACACCCGAGGAACUUCGAUUGGUCAGUCUCAUACUUGUUACAUUCCCUCAGUUUUCUCCCCUUGUUUUACCAAAACCAAAGGGGUCUUUCUUUGUAUUUGUUUUGCUUGCAGCAAACGGGUUUGAAAGGCUCUAUCGAGCCACUUCUUGAAGAGGCUGAGGUCGACAAAGAUGGGAGAAUCAGCAUCCAUGAGUUUCGUAGACUCUUGAGAUCUGCAAGCCUCAAGUCAAUAAAAGUUAAAAGCCCUCCUGGUUACCAGCUUUCUUGAAAGAUGUAAAUAAUUUACUUACAAAAUUCACAACUUGAGAGAUGAAGCUAGUUUCAUUGCCCAAAUUAGCAAGUGCACAAACUCGCAUCUCUCAUAUACAGAAAAAAAUAUUUGUCACCAUCCGUUUUCUUUUUGCUGUCAGAUCAAGAAAAUGGUAUAGAUGCUAGGUGGGAUUUGUAUAAUGGACACUGAGUAUCAUCCCAUUUGCUUGGUGUCUUCUAACAUUGGUCAUAAAUAGUUACGUUGCAAAGAAAUAAGCAAACGAUAGUGUUUUCUUGCUAAAAGGGUGUAGCUCUCCUUCUAGAGUAGGAACUAGGAACCGAUCUGAGCAAAUGUUUUUGUGUUUUAUUUUCUUGUGAUGAUAAAUUACAUAGUUAAGCAUGGGGAUAUUCUACAACCAGUGAAUAUUUGGUGGCAUUAUUGAGUACCUUCUCAAUCAGGGUGCUAAACACAGGCUUCACAAGGUUUUACUUGACUGGCAUUAUUUGGCAGGGGAAUACAUUGUAUCGGUUUAGGAUUUCAAAAUGUUAUUAACAUUACCGGAGGAACUAUCUUGAACAGCUUCAGAUGAUAAGUAACUAUUCGAUGAGCUUGAAGCGGUUGUGGAGUUUCCUUUCUUGUCUUUUCCAGAAACAUCCUGCAUGGAAGGAUCAGUCCGUGAAAUAUACAUGUGAAAAAGCAAAGAAAGAGCUUGUUUGCAAAAUUUAUUGAAGAAGUCACUCACCUGUUUAGCUGAAGAAGAGGCAUUGAUUUUAAGCUCAAGCUCCAAACCAACAUCAUCUUUUGUAUCUGAAUGGUUACUGUUCCUCAUCGGAUUCAAAUCUAAAGACUUGGUUUUGGAAUCUUGUUUGUUUGAAGCAACACAAGAGGAAGAAAGUGAUACUUGUUCGGACGUUGAAGGAUUGACCGAGGCUGAAUACGGUAUAAAAGUGGAGCAGGGGUUUUGUGGAGAAGGCUGAACUGAGACUAGACCCUGAGUUAUUGCUACUAGAGGAAUAUGAUAAGUGUAAUGUGAAAUCCAUGGGACCAUAGUUCUGACUCUAUGCUGAUAUUGAGCAUUAAGAAUCUCGAUAUCGGACUUGAGAGAUGUUUUUUCCUCUCUCAGCUCGCUCUUCUCUUGAAUUAGCUGCUUAGCAUUGGUCAAAACAAAUUGGAAGAUGGUGAAAACUUCAUAUCAUUCAAGCAGAAUCUAAUUAAGAAGAGUAUUAAGUUAAAUCAAUCAUCACCUCACGAGACUCUUGAGAUAGUGUGGCAUACUCAGCUUUUAGUCUAUCGACAUGAGUCAUUAGAUCCUUCAGAAUCUGGAUUGUAUCAGUGAGAACUGAAGCUUUGUCACUCUUAGGCCUAUUGGGAUCUGCAGCAAACAUUAUAAGCUCAAUUUAAAAGAAAAACUUUCAUAAAGUGAAACUGAAAAUUCUCUGUGAGAUAGAUAGAUAUACCUAGUGCAUUUCCUAGCUCAAGAAACUGUUCGUUGAGCUUAUCUCUACGGAUUUUCUCCCGGUCUGCCUUUUGAAUUUUCCGGGAAGAAACUGGUUCCUUCUUCUCUUCCACCAUCUUCUCAGGCCUCCUGAGAUAGACAGACAAAAAAAAAACAACAAACGAAAGUAAGAAAAGACAUGAUUCUUUACAUUUCCAAACCCAUAUUCAAGCCUCGAAACCUAAGAUUAUGUCCUGAGGAAAAAGAAGAAGAAGAAGCAGAGGAUUCAUCAGAAAAAGAGAAUUCAGAGGAAGUUUUCGGCUUCUUCGACUGAUCCAUUGCAGCGUCCCAAAAUCAGCACAAACUAGCCCGAGAAAGAUAUAGAGAGUGCGCGAGAGUGAAAGAGAUCAAAUUUGAGUUGGUUUCUUCUUCUUCUUCUUCUUCGUCGUGAGUAUAUAAUAAAAUCCGGCGAUAAUGGUGGUGGACGCCGACGAGGCAAAUCAAUAACUUGUGCUCCCCACGCGCCACCAUUGAAUAGAUGUGAUACGCUACUCCUAGUUACAGACUACUAAUCUACGUGUAUAAUAUAUAAGCCGUCGAUUAUGCUGACUUUUAUUCUGUCAGAUCUCAACCGUCUAACGUUACAGUGUCCAAUUUUAAUGGAAACAUUUGUUUUAGUUUUUGGUUUUUCACCUUAAAGGGAGGAUCUUUGACGAACUUGGGUGGAAGAAGAGAGGAUGAAGUUAGUGACUUAUAACGUUAAUGGCCUAAGGCAACGAGUCUCGCAGUUUGAUUCUCUUCUCAAACUUCUCAAUUCGUUCGACGCCGAUAUCAUCUGCUUCCAGGUUUUACUUCAAUGUCCACUCGAUUUUGAAAAUUUCAAUCGUUCUCCUUUAUUUCCGAUGAAUCCGUAAUAGUUUUAUCCGGGUUUGAAUCUAGGAGACGAAACUUAGAAGGCAAGAAUUAUCAGCGGAUUUGACGAUAGCUGAUGGCUAUGAAUCGUUUUUCUCGUGCACUCGCACUAACGAGAAAGGUCGUACUGGCUAUUCUGGUAAGCAGCAUCAAGCUAUGUAUCUUGAGUGGAUUUAUAAGUGAAAUUUGAAGAAAGAGGAAAUGGCUGGAGUUUUUAUGCUGUCGAAUUCGCAGGUGUAGCAACUUUUUGCAGGGUAAAGUCAGCAUCUUCAAGCUGUGAAAUUGCUUUGCCUGUUGCUGCGGAAGAAGGCUUCACUGGUCUCGUAAACAGUAAUUCUCGAGGUGGGAAGAAUGAAACUUCUGCAAUUGCUGAAGGUCUUGAGGAGUAUGAGAAAGAAGAGCUUCUUAGGAUUGACCAAGAAGGACGGUGUGUUAUAACUGAUCACGGCCACUUUGGUAUAUGACUCAAAAUCUUUCUUUUUUUUGUUGUUUAAUUCCUUUAGGUGUACACGAAAGCUUCUUUGCAAUUUAUAUAUAUAUAUAUAUAUAUAUAUAUAUAUAUAUCUAUGGGUUUUUUCAGUUGUUUUCAAUGUCUAUGGGCCGCGAGCUGUAGCUGAUGAUGCUGAGAGGAUCGAGUUUAAGCAUCGGUUUUAUGAUAUUUUAGAGGUACAGUAAUUCCAUUGGUUUCUGAAUGUAGCGAUGAGUUACCUCGACUUUUUGGGGUUAAUUGUGUCUUAGUUUUGGGUUUAGAGAAGAUGGGAGUGUCUUCUGCGUCAGGGAAGAAGGGUAUUUGUUGUUGGUGAUCUCAACAUUGCUCCUUUUGCUAUGGAUCGAUGUGAAGCUGGCCCUGAUUUCGAGAAAAACGAGUACGUAUACACUGAUAUUCAUGAUCUGCUUAAAUCAUUUUGCUUUACUCAAUUCUUUCUUUUAUAUUAGAUUUACUCAUUUCAUGCCCAAAAAAAAAAAAAAAAAAAAAAAACAGGUUCAGGAAAUGGUUUAGAUCUCUGCUAGUUGAACAUGGAGGCUCAUUCUCUGAUGUUUUCAGAUCAAAACAUCCUGAAAGGUGGGAAUUUGUGAAUAACCUCUAGCCAUCCAUAUUUAGCUUUUUUUAAUAUUCGGUUACAUUCUUUGAAUUUUCUAUUUGUCAUUGAUUGGGAUUUCUUAACAGGAAAGAUGCAUUCACAUGUUGGUCCUCAAGUAGUGGAGCAGAACAAUUUAACUAUGGCUCGAGAAUUGAUCAUAUCUUAGUCGCUGGAUCAUGCUUGCAUGAAGACGGAGAUCAGCAGAGCCAUAGUUUUCUUGCUUGUCAUGUCAAGGAAUGUGACAUAUUAACAGAGUAUAAGCGUUUCAAGAAUGAAAAUAUGCCAACAAGGUAAGUGUUUCAGCUUUACACGUGAUUACUUCUUUCAUGUCCGUCUCACUUUUACAUUGAUCUCAAAUUUAGUUUGUGGAUCAAACUUACAGGUGGAAAGGUGGAUUGGGUAAAAAAUUAAAGGGAUCAGACCAUGUACCUGUAUUCACUAGUUUUGAUGAUUUGCCUGACAUCCCCGAACACAGCACACCACCAUUAGCUUCACGAUAUCUUCCCAUGAUUUACGGUUUCCAGCAAACUCUUGGUAAAAUUUAUACCACUGUGAUGGAUUUGAUGAACAUUAUUAACUUAUUUCUGUCUCUAUGUUUGUAUCUGACAUUUCAUCUUCUCCACUUGUUCUUUUUCUACUGUAACAGCGUCAAUGUUUAUGAAAAGGCAAGCCAAAGCCAUUGAGGUUUCAUGUUCAUCAUCGAGUCAAAGUAGAGCUACGCCAAGUUGCGGAGAGAUCUCAACAGAACCACUCCGAAACUGCGCUUUAACGAGUAUUUCACCCGAGAGAUCUUGUUCUUUUGAGAAGGAAUCCAUUUGUAGCGUUACAGAAACAGACACGGCAUUGAGAGGUUCCACUGAUAACCUUAAUGAUAGGAUGUGUGUAUCAUCAGUGAGAGCUGAGAAUAUCUCUAGAGAUGGAAACAGGAAAAAAGCAAGGAAGAUCCAAUCUUGUCAGCUUUCUCUCAAGUCCUUUUUCACCGCAAACUCAAAGGCAAACAGUGGCGGGGAGAAAUCUGCUUCAUAUGUUUCCUCAAGUCAGAGCUCCCAAGUCGAGAGCAUCACAGAACCGAUUGUUUCCAGCCAAGAAGACAAUGAACCAACUAAUUCAACGCAAGAACAAGAUCAAAGCGGCUCUUCAGCUAAACGAAAGAAUAAUGCAGCUUUAAUGGAGUGGCAAAGGAUACAGAACCUAAUGCAAAACAGCAUACCUCUCUGCAAAGGACAUAAAGAAGCUUGCGUUGCUCGGGUCGUAAAGAAACCAGGUCCCACAUUUGGUCGUAGAUUCUACGUCUGCUCUCGAGCUGAGGUAAAAAAAAAAUUACUAUAAAAAACAAGGCUUUUGAACCGUAGAUGUUAUACGCUAAUAUCUACAUUUCUUGCAGGGACCUUCCUCCAAUCCAGAGGCAAACUGUGGUUAUUUCAAAUGGGCUACAUCAAAAUUCAAAGACAAGUAAAACAGUGAUGAUGUCAUUAUUUGAAGACAUGAUGAGUAUACUAGGAUGUAUGUAUUUUUCAUUUGAAUUCUGGUUUUAAGCAUCUUUGUGAAUAUAAUUAUUUUUUGUAUUUUGGGAUAUAUUUUGAAAUUGAAAUUUAGUUAUAGUGAUAAACUUAUUCCAAACUAUUAGACAUGAAUCCAAAUUAGCAUAUUUAAAACAUCCUUCGUGUUUUUAUACUUUUAUUUUUUAUGAUAUCUCUUUUGGAUUAAUUUUAAUUAAUUAGAAGACACUUGGGACUCUAUAUAUGAAGUUUAUAAUCAUAAGUCAUUCUAAUAUACUAUUAAAAAAUCAAAACAAAGUGUUUUUUUUUAAUAAAUUCAAAAUGUUUUUUUAAAUAAAAAUUUUAAAUGUCGUAUCGAUUGAGCAAUGUGUAUAGACGUUGGGUUAAGCUUAUUUCCACAUUGACGUCUCUAUCAUUUUAUCCCUCUUGUCCUCGUUUUAUUAUAAUGUAUUGAUUCUUUUAAUGUGUUUAAGUUUUAGCUUUGUAACGUAGCUAAGUAUCUAUAGUAAUAUACUAAUGUUACAAGUUGGCAGAAAUAUAAUUAUAAGGUAUGUUACUACACAUGGAUACGUAUACGAGUAUACGUGUAUAUGCUUUGUGUAAUUAUGCGUAUUCAUUCAUAUUUAAAUGGAAGAUGACGAGAAGGCACAAAAUGCUUAUGGAAGGGAAUGUGUCACCCACGAAUUGGUGGUGUCAAUCUUCGACGUCACUUACGAUUGUUUUAUCCAAUUUUAUACAGGUGAAAAAUUAUGUUACUUGGCUUUUGAAGAUGUCAAAAGUCUUGAAGAUAAACUCUUUGAUAAACAAUCUGUUUUUUUUAUCACAAAUCUUCCUUUUGAACGUAUUUGACAAGAUUGUAUAUUGCUCUCAAUCGUUAUGUUUUCAUUCCAAAGAAGUCAUUACAAUAUAUAAUGAUUGUGUAUCUUAACUUCCAAGUAACAAUAACAUCUAUUUAGGAAAUAUUCCUAUAUCUCCUAAGAUUCGUAUAUAUCUCGUCCAAUACUCCCCCUCAAGAUGGUGAGUGGAGGUCACGAACUCCCAUCUUACGAAGAAGAUAAGAGAAUUGAACACGUCCAAGAGCUUUAGUCAAAAGAUCCGCCAACUGUUCAGUUGUUCGAACAUAAGCAGGUACAAGUAAACCAUCCUGAAAUGCAUCCUAAAUGAUAUGGCAAUCAUUCUCAAUAUGUUUAGUCCGUUCGUGAAAAACUGGAUUGCGAAGAAUGUCAAGAGCGGACUUGUUAUCACAGAAAAAUGACACUGGUUCCGGAUGAGGGACGCCAAACACAGGAAGUAGUUCCAAUAGCCAUUGCAGCUCUGAAUAUGUGUACGACAUCGCUCUAUAUUCGGCUUCGGAAGAAGAACGCGAAACAACCUUCUGUUUUUUCGUCUUCCAUGAAAUGAUAGAGUCACCAAGAAGAACAACAUAACCAGUCAAGGAACGCCGAGAGAUAGGACAAGACGACCAAUCGGAAUCACAGUAAGCUUUGACAUGAAGGUUCGGAUUGGAGUUGAAGAAAAGGCCUUGACCAAGCGUCCCCUUGAGAUAACGAACAACCCGAAGAGCAGCAUCCCAAUGUUUCUUUCGCGGCUGAGCAAGAAACUGAGGCAAGAGAUGUACAGCGUAACUUAAGUCAGGUCGAGUAAUCGACAAAUAAACCAAACGACCGAUGAGACGUCUAUAGCGCUUUGGAUCGUCAUAAUAGUCGCCUUCAUCACGUGCCAAAGUGUGAUUUUGUUCCAUAGGAGUGUCAUACGGUCGUCCACCAGUUAAGCCACAUUCCGUAAUGAUGUCCAAAGUAUAUUUCCUUUAAGACACAUAAAUGCCUUCUUUCCCACGUGAAAUUUCGAGGCCGAGAAAAUAUUUCAAGACGCCAAGAUCUUUCAUAUGAAUACAGUGACACAUGUAGGCUUUAAACUUGGUUAGAAGAUCAGGGUCGUUACCACCAAUAACAAGAUCAUCCACGUAGACAAGGACGUAUACACACGACGAGCCACGGCAAUAAGAGAACAAAGAAUAAUUUUUCUUGUUCUGAACAAAACCAAACCGCAGCAAGGACUCCGAGAGCUUAGCGAACCAGCAUCGAGGAGCCUGUCGAAGUCCAUAAAGAGAUUUCUUGAGACGACACACUUUGUUGGAAUCAGUUGCGUCAAACCCUGGUGGAAGCUUCAUAUAAACCUCCUCUUUGAGAUCUCCAUGUAAAAAUGCAUUGUGCACAUCCAUCUGAUACAAUUCCCAGUUUUUCGCAGCUGCAAUCUUCAAGAAAGCCCUGAUCGUAGUCAUUUUUAUGACGGGAGCAAAGGUCUCAUCAUAGUCUGUGCCUGCCUCUUGUCGAUUUCCUAAGACCACCAAACGAGCCUUAUAUCUUUCGAGUGUGCCAUCUGAGUUAAGCUUCACCUUGAAAACCCACUUGUUACCGAUGGCGUGUUUGCCUGGCGGAAGGUCUACGACAUCCCAAGUGUGGUUUUUUUCAAGUGAACGACCUCAUCUUUUGAUGCCAGUCUCCAAUGUUCGUGCUGCAUCGCUUCUUUGAAUGAUCGUGGUUCCGAAUAGGCAUCCACCGCAUUCAAGAAAAUCUGUUGUGGAAGAGAUAAACGAUGAAGUGAUACUAAGAUAGAGAGAGGAUAGAUACACUUACUUGAGGACAAGGGAGCAGAGUGAGCAGCGCGAGAGAGGGCUUUAUCAUUGACGUUGGCUGAAUGAGUGACGAACGGUUUGAGCAGCACAGAUCUUUGUUUGACAUGGUGUCCUCGGCCGAGUUCUUCGACCUCUGAUACAACCUCUUCUGCAGUCGGUAAGUCGUGCUCGGAAGAAUCUGGUGAAGAUUCCUUUGUAGCAGGUGGAGAAGAAUCAGCAUCAAGAGUCGGAGAAGGCGAAGUUUGAGCAGGCGAUGGUGCAGGUUCAAUCGCGACCGGUGCAGGAUUUAUGUCGUUCUGAUCAUCAGAUGGCUCCCCCUCAGUACUAGCGUCCGAAUCAUCUAGAGUUAUCUCAACUGGAGGUAAGAGAAAUGGGGUGCCAGUCAUGUCUGCGUGUGAGGAGUCAUUGAGAUCAGCAUAGGGAAAAACACCUUCAUGAAAAUGGACGUCACGAGAGACAAAUGUCUUCUCUGUUUUGAGAUCUAGUACCAGCCAACCCUUCUUUCCGAAUGGGUAACCAAGAAAGACGCAGCGAGAGCUUCGAUCCUCAAACUUGUCGCCAGCUCGAGGUGUGCGUGUGACGUAACAUAGACACCCAAACGUGCGAACUUCAUCAUAGGUUGGGGCUCGUUGAAAAACUAGCUCAUACGGUGUUUUCCCAUUUAAGAGUGCCGAUGGUGUGCGAUUUAUAAGAAAUGCUGCCGCUUGGAUACUCUCUCCCCAAAAACGAUUCGGAAGACGAGCUUGGAAGAGCAGAGAACGAGCGACAUUAAGUAUGUGCCUGUGCUUCCUCUCGACGCGUCCAUUCUGCUGAGGUGUAUAAACACAGGAGGUUUGGUGCGAGAUACCAAUAUCAGCAAAAAAUGUGCGAAGAGGAAGAAAUUCGGUGCCGUUAUCUGUACGUACUGUCUUUACUUUCUUUCCAAACUGUCGUUCAACCCAGCUUAUGAAAUUCUUUAAAACGAUCGCAACAGAGGAUUUUUCUAGAAGAAGAUGUGUCCAAACUGCCCGUGAGAAAUCAUCCACAAUAGUUAAGAAGUAUGUAGAACCACACGUAGAUUUUGUGCGAUAUGGUCCCUAUACGCCGCAGUGAAUCAAGGUAAAUAAAUCAUCUGCUUUAUUAGAACUUUCUGGAAAAAUAACACGGGAUUGUUUUGCGCGAAAACACACAUCACAACACUUUUCUAGAUCACUAAUGCUCCUACUAAAACCACCAAUGUUUGAAAGAAAAGACAGAACUUUGGAAGACGGAUGACCCAAUCUUCUAUGCCACAAUUCUCGGUUGUCCAACUUAGCUAUCUGAUUGACUUGAGGAAGAACCGCUCCAGCCAAAUGAUAAACCCCAUUGUGUGCCUCACCCGCUCCAAUCAAAGUCCUCGAAGCUUGAUCCUGUAUCAAACAAAAAUCGCGAGUGAAUGUCACAGAACUUGCAAUAUCACGAAGCAAUUGAGCGACAGAGAUGAGUGUCGUAUGUAAAUCAGGUGCAUAGAACACAUGAUGGAGAAUCAAUUUUCCACCGAGAUUGAGGGUUCCGUGACGAGUGCUCCAAGUAAGUUUGCCGUUUGGUAACUUAAUGGGACAGGCAUUGAUAUCACGAAGGUCCGUCAAAAGGUUAAUGUCUCCGGUCAUAUGGUGACUUGCUCCGGAGUCAAUUAGCAAGUCGUACCUACUGUUGGUACCAAACAGAAUGAGUUUGUCAAUCUUACCAGAGGAGCUGUCAGUCGCAGUAUUCUUCUUACUAUCGAUGAACUUAGCGAGAUUGCUCCAUUGCAUCGGUGUGAGAGAAGGGAUACCAGCCUGUGUCGUGUUGGAGGUAACAGCAACAGUUGCUUGAUUUGCAGAGGGCUGCGAUCCUUUGCCUUUACCACGUCCACGAGCAGAGUUCUUGGGCCACCACUCAGGAUAGCCGACUAUCUUGAAGCACUGCUGCUUCUCAUGCCCGACACGUCCGCAGUGAGUGCAAAGAAAUGUCUGUUUUGGAGUCGCAGCUACUGAAUCAGAGAACCCGACAUUGGUGCUCUGUUCUGAUAUGGUGCGAGUAGCAUUGAGAUGACGCUCCUCCUGCACUAUUUGCGAGUAGACUUGAUCAAGGUUAAGGUCCGAGAGUCUUGUCAAGAGAUUGGAACGAGUUGUCCCAAAUCGCUGACUGUCCAGACCCAUUAGGAACUGAUGCACUCGAAGUCCAUCUCUCUUCUUAUUGUACGCCACCAUUGACGCGCAACUCGACGUUUUGCAGCAGCAGUUAAAACCUUUUUCCAAGUCCGCCAAGGAAUCCCAAAGCACUGUUAAUUUGCCGUAAUAAUCCUCGGUUUGUCCAUCUUGUCUACACUUCUGAAUAUCUUCAUGAAGCUGAUGUUCUCGUGUACCAUCACUCACUGAGAACCGAUUUUUGAUACUAGUCCACAUGUCGGAGACGUUGUCGACGAGUGAGAUUACGGAUCAGAGUUUUGGUUCUACGCUGGAAUAGAUCCAUCCGAUCAUCAAUGAGUUCACUAUAUCCCACCGUUCGGCAUCGUCGGAGCCGUUAUCUGGUCGCUUUAGGCUUCCGUCGAGAAAGCCUAACUUUCUUUUCGUGCGAAAAGCAUUAACCAUGAGCUUUGACCAACGCUCAUAGUUUGCUCCAUCCAAGAGUAUUGGGGAUAACACUUGGCCGCUGUUUUCUCCUUGUUGAAUGGUGUAGGGAGACAUCAAGGGUUCGUCCUUCUUCUUGUCACCACCACCAGCCAUCGUUUGCAGUUUUUAGGGUUUUUUUUUUUCGAGAGCAAUUAUGGUUUACAGGCCAAAGGGAGGCUCUGAUACCAUGACAAGAUUGUAUAUUACUCUCAAUCAUUGUGUUCUCAUUCCAAAGAAGUCAUUACAAUAUAUAAUGAUUGUGUAUCUUAACUUCUAAGUAACAAUAAUAUCUAUUUAGGAAAUAUUCCUAUAUCUCCUAAGAUUCGUAUAUAUCUCGUCCAAUAGUAUUUGUCAUCUUGACAACUAAACGGACGGUAAAACUAAAAAUUAGUUUAAUAUGAUUCACAAGAUCUAGAUAAGUUUUAUCUUAAAAUAAUUGAAUCGACCGGCACUAAUACCACAACAUUUGGAUUGAGAAUUUGUGAUGGAAAACUGUAACAAUUUUUUAGGGGUAUCAAAGAUGAUCAAACACGUGGUUGGAGAAGAAGUAGAUCAGUAUAUGAUUGCAACAGUUUGCUUAAAACAAUCACUCAGUCACAGUCAUCUAGAACCGGAUUAUGGUCCAUUAAUUGGUCUCUACGUGAUCACUUGCAUAAGGAAUAAUGGAGAGUCGAACUAGAUUGUCAUGGCCCAUGGCCAUGGGCACGAGAUCUUUUCAUUGUUGGCCCUGUUUAAGAGACAUAUCAACGUAAUUGUUUGACAAUAACUUAAACUUGUAAUAAUCUCUGAACUUUUCGAUUCGAAAACACUUCUUUUGGAUCAUUUGGUUAAUAUGUCUAAAUCAUGUAUAAGUGAUGGGAAAAUCAAAAUUAUAAGUGAUGCAUUUACUGAAGAUUUUUUUUUUUUUUUGGUCCACUCUGAAGUUACCAUGCAUGCACAUCAUCAGGUAACAAUAAAACGAUCAAAUUUCAAAAGAUUAAUUAAGUCAAAAAUUAGAAUACCACUUAUUAAAAUGUGGCUAGAAAUCUCCAUCCGUGAUUCCGGUUCUUUUGAAUUACCUCCAGCAGAAGAAUCCACAAAUGAAAUGGAAUAAAAUAAUUGAGUCGACUUUUCUUCAAAGAAAAAUUAGAACGAACAAAAAAAAAAGCCGACUUUUCCUUGAUAAAGACAACCAUAAUCUCUCGUAAGAAGAUAAAUUUGAAAAUAUGUAUAUUAUUUGAUCAUAUUUUAUAGUAAUCUAGUACAGAGAUUCAGACACGGUUUGUUGAUAUAACUAAAUAAUAUGUGAGCUAAGAAAACAAAUGCUCCCACGAAUUAUAUUUCAGAUUUCCAGUGGCCUUGAUAUUUUCAUCUCUAUAAGAAAAUAAAUCAAGUAAAUAUUUAAUACUGUAUAUGCUUGUAUGGUAGUGGGAGGCAAUCUUUAAAUAUAUAGAGAGACUUUUCUCUAUCUUCGAAAAAUCUAUUUCUGUCUUCUCAGUAUCCAACAAACAAUGAAUGGUCGAAAUUACGUCUCCAUACAACUAUAACGGAAAUAUAAAAAUAAAUUUAAAAACUCCUCGUAUGAAGAAGAAUCCAAUUCGAAAUUUCCAUUUAAAAUAAAUAUCUACAAAAAAAAAAGAUGAAUGUAAAAAUCGAUUUCUGGGCAAUUAUUCCUUAAACCUUUGGCUUAAAAUUUAGAAUCAGUUUUUUGUAGUUUGUUAAUAUGACAAUUACAGCCACAGCGCAAUUUGCCCACUACGAAUUAAAUCUUACGUACAUUCUUAUCUCUACUGCAAUAAUUUCCAUCUGGAUAAGCUCCUUCAUCUGACUCAGCUCCACAGGAUCCGGCCCGAAUUUAUUCCACUUAACCCGACCCGUCUUUUAAUCCUACUUGCCUGGCUAUAUUAGUCGUAUUAACCUUUUUAUAUAAUGCAAUUAAAAACUAAUUGAUUCUUAAUCAAGCAAUCAAAUGACUAAUCGCAUCUUCCCCUAUAAAUAAAUCCCUCCAUUUCUUCUUCUUCUUCAGUCUUUCCCUCUCUCCAAGAACAAAAAAAAACGCAGAGAAAAUUAGAACUUAGCAAACGACACGACACCGUUUCAUAGCAAAAAUGCUUUCUUCUUCUCCAACGUCCUUCGCUCAUCCAUUCCUCUCCUCUUCUCCGCCUCUCUCCCCAAUAUCUCCUCCGUCUCGUUCUGCUCGGAUCUCUCCUCCUCUCGUCUCCGCAUCUUGCUCCUACACCUGCGCGGAGGACUCGCCGAGACUGCAUCAGAUCCCGCGGCGAUUGAAGACGGCGACCGCCUCGCUUUACGAUAUUCUGGAGGUUCCUCUCGGCGCCACGAGCCAAGAUAUCAAAUCGGCUUACCGGAGAUUGGCCAGGACCUGCCAUCCCGACGUGGCGGCAACCGAUCGGACGAAUUCGUCUUCUUCGGCUGAUGAAUUCAUGAAGAUCCACGCGGCGUACUGUACGCUCUCUGAUCCUGAGAAACGAUCUGUUUACGAUCGGAGGAUGCUGCGUCGGAGUCGUCCUUUGACCGUCGGUACCUCCGGGCUGGGCAGUUACGUCGGGCGGAACUGGGAAACAGAUCAGUGCUGGUAGCGAGUUGGCUCGGUCCCCGAGUUAGCCCGAGUUAAUUCCAAUAUUAAAACAAAAAAAAAGUAAAUCGAUUGUAAAUAGGAAAGCGAUAAGUGUCUGGGCUUUGACGUUGUAAUUAAUAUUAGUAAGCUAACACGGACGAUGAUUAGUGUGCUAACGUACGCUUCCUCACUCUCUCCCCACGAGCGAUCGGCACCGUUUGUUUCGUGUUACGUAGGAUCUACGCGUUUUUUACCUUGUGAAUCCUAUAAUAGAUUAUCAAUGAGAACCAAAAAAAAAAACAUAUAUAUAUCUACUUUCGUUCUUUUGAUUAUAUAGAGCUGUUUUAAAAUUUACCGAUUUUCAGUGAAAAUGUCAAAGUAACCAAGAAACAAAUCUAAUAUGAAUAUGUUUGGAACAGUUUCAUUUUAUAGGGUUUCUUACAAUUAGUUAUUCUCAAGUUCAGAUUAACUUUCUGUUUUUCGUAACAUUUUUGGCUUGUUUUCAUGGAUAUCGAAAAUAAGAAAUCUGCACGAUUGAUAUAUAUAUAUAUAUAUACGAUAUAGAACGCCUCCAAUUAAUUGACAAAAAAUAUAAUCAUUAGGAUACAUCCAUCCAUAAGUGAUUAUAUCUUCUGGUCCACAAGAUGAAUGAUAAUCAAGAACACGUGAACAUGGCCAAUGACAGAAGAUUUUUCCCAAAGUGAAACAAACAAACCCAUCACUUUUCGAGUUUUUUUUUUGUUUCAAGUGCUAAGUUGAGUGAUUUUGCGUUGUUAUAAUUAUGAUUGUGGAGUCCCAACUGAUUUUAUCAAAAGGAUGAUGUGCAUAUAUGUGUUGUAAUACAUUUAUGGUAUUUCCAGCCCUCUUUUUAUCAUUUCAUUUUUAGAUCAUUCUAAUUUAAGAUAUCACUACAAUAAUAUCUGUUCGGGUGUUGUAAACUGUGUGAUCACCAGGGAAAAAAAAUUUGAAAUCAAAAUUGAGAUAGUUGGAUAACAUAAGUUAAUUUUGUCUCCACCGCGUUGAUAUUAAGCAUGUGAUAUAUAACCACAUGUUACAAGAAGACUACUAAGAUUGAACCCUAGACAUGGUGAGAUGGAACUUGGAAGCAUUAUUGCGUUCCAUUAGCAUGACCUACUUCCCCCUCCCCCCCCCCCCCCCCAAGUUCAUUCACGGAAACUACAAUCACAGACGUAGCUAAAUCCUGUAAAAAAACAAAACCUAGACUAUGCAUAUUUUUCUAAAUAAUGACCAUAAUAAACUCAUACGUCAGCUUUAGGUUUAUUGGGACCUAGAGGUGACAAAAGUAUGGCCCCGCGAUAUUGUGGAAACUGGAAAGUAAACUCAUAUUGUUUAAGAGGUUAGAUCUUCUUCACUAUAAAUUAUUGCCGUAUAUUAUCUUAAUUUGUCGGGACUUAAUAUAAAAUAUUAGAUACUUUUAUUUAUUUAAGUUUAUGUAAUAAUAAUGUCCUUCUAGAAGCUUAAAGAUAGUGUCGUUCGUUUUUUCUGUGUCUAAGACAAAUAAAAAGCAAAAGGAGACAACAAUAUAAAAAAUAUCCCCAAACCAAACUCGUGGCUCUUCUUCCUCUUUUGUCUGUUACUGUUGAUAGAAUUUGUUUCAGCGACUUUUAUGUAUAAAUGUUUUCGACGUUUAACUGAAAGACGUGCUCCAGUGAAUUAUAUGAUUAAGAUUCGUUGUAACCACGAUGUCUUCGUUUGGAGGAUAAAUCAAGAAGUUGUAUUUUUAUUGAACAUAUAUCUAUUCACUUUUUCUAAUAAAACAUAAAACGGACGAGGCAGAAGUCGCAGAACACACUCGAUUCUUAAUCAUAUAUAUAAUCCCAAUAUAAUUUAAUCAUGUAGUCAGUGUACUUUAUUUCUCCUUUGGGACAAAUAUCUUGCUUGCAUUUCUGUGUAUAAAUUAAAUAUAAAAUCUUUUAGACCCACUUGUGUUGUAGUAUCUUUAAUACUAGUAAAAAAAAAGCCAUGUGAUGAGAACGAAAACUACUAAAUUUAUCCAAUGGAAUUAAUAUGUUUGGUGAAAAAUGAAACUAAACAAUAGCAGCUAGUAGAAGCCUAGAACCAUAGAGUUUAGUUUUAAGAGGACAACACAUUAUUUUAAAUCUUAUAUUACGUAAUAACACGGAUUGUUCUGUAAUAAUCCUUUUUUUAGAAUUUCAAAAUACAGCAUAAACAUGGAACAUGGCCCAGAAAUAAAUAUGGUUGGUUACUUGAUUUUAACACUCGAUGUAGCCACAUACGACUCGAAGAAAACCCCAGCUAGCCUUAACCAAUAAAUGCAAUGUCUCUUGGGCCCAAUCUAACUUAUCCAGUUCGCAUCUUUAACAAUAUUAUUUGUCAUAAACUUUUCAGUGUUCACAAAGCUUUCCAAUAAGCUGUUAAAUAGCUAAUUUCCCUACUUUUUAUUAUUUAUUUAUGCAAAUAGAAAUGAUCUAUCAUUUAAUGUUUGUAUCAUAAAACUACAGCAUCGAUUAUGUCUCUGUGUAUUAAUCGAUUAUCAUAUAUUAUAAGUUUUGUUUAUAUACAGAUUAAAUUCUGUGCUGAAAAUUUAUCAAAUCACUAUCCGAUAAUUAUAGAGUUGUUUUGUAUGAAGAAUAACUGAUUAUGUUAUUCAUCAUUCAGCAUGCCUAGCAGCCUAUGUUUUCUUUGCCAUUUUAUAAUUUAUGUUGUUUUCCAUUAUAAGAUAAGUAUAAUAUAUGUGUAUAUAAAUAAUAUUGCUCAAUGAGCUACGACGACUUGGUAAAAUGACAAAAGUAAUCAACUCUGAUUACGAAAGCCGGCGACGACCGGCGUGCUCUGUAAGAUAUACAUAGAAAUGACGAAACCGUGUUGCAGAGACCAAACCAAACCCACAAAACAUUUAUGAUCUUCUUCAUUAACUUUAAAACUAAGAUCAACCAAUUUCUGAUUACGUUGAUCUACCCCAAUUUUUUUUCCUAAUCAUCUAUGGGUGAUCUAGCGAAGCAGAUAUUGACUCGACCGAUUCAACUUGCAGACCAAGUGGUGAAAGCCGGAGAUGAAUCCACAAUCAACAAGCAAGAAUGCGCUGAGAUCAAAUCCAAGACGGAGAAACUCGCUGCUCUUCUCCGUCAAGCGGCGCGUGCGAGCUCCGACCUCUACGAACGUCCCACGCGCCGUAUCAUCGACGACACUGAAAACGUUCUCGAGAAAGCAUUGACCAUGGUCCAUAGAUGCCGUGACGAUGGCUACAUAAUGCGUCUCUUCAACAUAAUCCCCGCCGCAGCAUUCCGGAAAAUGAUUUCCCAGUUGGAAAACUCCGUCGGCGAUGUCUCUUGGCUCCUCCGUGUCUCAACUCCCGCCGGUAACGACGACGACGAAGGUUUUGGUUACUUAGGUCUCCCUCCGAUUGCAGCCAACGAGCCAAUCUUGUGUUUGAUUUGGGAGCAAAUUGCGGUUUUGAUGACCGGUUCGCCGGAAGAUAAAUCCGACGCCGCCGCGUCUUUGGCGUCGUUAGCGAGAGAUAACGACAGAUACGUGAAAUUGAUAGUGGAGGAAGGUGGAGUCAACCCUUUGUUGAAACUGUUGAAAGAAGGGAAAAUCGACGGUCAAGAAAACGCGGCGAGGACAAUCGGGUUACUGGGUCGAGACCCGGAAAGUGUGGAGCAGAUGAUUCAGGCUGGUGUUUGUUCAGUGCUUGCGAGUAUUCUCAAAGAAGGUUCGAUGAGGGUUCAAGCGGUUGUGGCUUGGGCGGUUUCGGAGCUUGUCGAUGGGAAUCACGCCAAAUGUCAAGAGCUGUUCGCGCAAAACAACGUGAUUCGGCUGCUCGUGAGCCAUCUAGCGUUUGAGACGGUUCAAGAACACAGCAAAUACGCGGUCGUUGCGGGUAGAGCCACGUCGAUGCAUCACGCCGUCGUGAUGGCGAGCAAAAUCACUAGUAAAGAGAAUUUGCCGGCGCUGCACGAGGAGGAAGAUAAUUUGAUCGGAGUCGAGAAUCCUUUGCCGAAUCAGAUGCAUAGCAUCGUUGCAACUACAAUGGCGAUGAAAGCGGUUGGAUCGGGAACGGGAUCUGGAUCGAAUGCGUCUGGUCGAUUUGAUAUCGGUGACGACGAGAAACCGCCGGUAAAGCUGCCGGAGAAGAGCUAUAGCUUGAAUUCACAUAAAAAUCUUAGUAAGCCUUACAGUACGGCACAUCAAUCGCGGAAUGCGUCGGUCUCGAGAGGGAGGGAACUCGAAGAUCCGGUGACGAAGACCUAUAUGAAAGCGAUGGCGGCGAGAGCGUUGUGGAAACUCGCUGUGGGAAACGCAACGAUCUGCCGAGUCAUCACCGAGUCACGAGCUUUGCUCUGCUUCGCGGUUCUACUGGAGAAGGGAGACGCAGAAACGAAAUACAACACAGCUAUGGCUAUAAUGGAGAUAACCGCCGUGGCGGAGGAAAACUCAGAUCUGAGACGAUCCGCGUUCAGACGCACUUCACCGGCGUGCAAAGCGGUUGUUGACCAAUUAUUCCGAAUCGUGGAAAACGCCGACGCCGGAUCCGAUUUGCUCAUCCCCUGCGUCAGAUCCAUCGGAAACCUAGCUCGAACCUUUAAAUCCGCGGAGACGCAUAUGAUCGUUCCUCUGGUUAAACUCCUCGACGACGGAGAACCAGAUUUAGCGGCGGAGGUAGCGAUCGCGCUUGCGAAAUUCGCGACGGAGGAUAACUUCUUAGGGAAAGAGCACUCGGGGACGAUAAUCGACGCCGGAGGAUCGAAGCUUCUGGUGCAGCUAGCGUACUUCGGAGAGAACGGAGCUCAGAUUCCGGCGUUGGUUUUGCUGAGCUACGUGUCGAUGAACAUCCCUGACAGUGAGCAAUUGGCCAAGGACGAAGUGUUGACGGUUUUGGAGUGGGCAUCGAAGCAAGCGAAUGUAACGCAGGAAGAAGAUAUGGAAGCUCUGUUGUAUGAAGCUAAGAGCAGGCUUGAGCUUUAUCAGUCCAGAGGUUCCAGAGGCUUUCACGUAUGAUUCCAUUAUUUGUUUCUGGAUCCGAUUUAGAAAAUACUACGAUUUGAUUUCACAUGUAUUCAAAUGAUUUUUCUUGUAGAUGACUCCCUAAUUUUACCUCCAUUAUUAUCAAAAAAGAUGUAUAAAGUUGAAUUUUUCAAUAUUUAAUUUUGCUAUAUUGGGUUGGCAAUGACAAAACAUUUUGGAAUCUGAAUUCAGGUUACUCACCGGUAAAAAAAAACUAAAAAUCUCGGUUAGGCCCAUCUGAGCGAUAAUUUUGGACCAUGUGCUAUAACUUCCAAAAAUUAGGCCCAGUAAAAAGUUCAAUCAAGGGCCCAAUCUUAUCAAUUCAUUAAAUGGAUUAGUAUUGCGACAGAUUAAAAAAUGCACGGUAAUCAUUAAAAAGCUAAGGUGGACGCGUGCACAGCUGAUAACCGACGCCGAUAGAGGAAAAAAAUGAAGUGGCAGAGUUUCCUAAAUUCCCCACUUGCGAAGAAUCCUCCACCAAAUAUUAACUUGGGCGGCUGUAUCUGUAUUUGAGUCAUUAGGGUUGGAUUAAAUUCCACUAAUUAGGGUUUUCUAUCUAACUGUGAAUUAAUCAACACUGCCUCUAUAUAUAUACAUACACACCGACGGAUUUACCUCCCAUAAGCCCUAAUUACUCAAAUUCUCGAUCUCUGCUCCAAAUUUUCUUUCUUUUUUGAUUGUUCUCCGAUGGCGUUAGAGGAUCAAUUCGCGGUGAGAUCUACAGGGAAGGUCAAUUGGUUCAACGAUUCUAAGGGAUAUGGUUUCAUCACCCCUGACGACGACGGUGAAGAGCUUUUCGUUCAUCAAUCCUCAAUCCUCUCCGAAGGUUUCCGGAGUUUAACCGUCGGUGAUUCGGUUGAGUUCGCCGUCACGCAGGGAACCGACGGCAAGACCAAAGCCGUCAAUGUCACGGCUCCCGGCGGUGCUCCUCUUCACAGGAAGGAGAUUAGCUCUCGCGGUAACGGUGCUAGGCGAGGAGGCAGUUGCUACCAUUGCGGCGAAGUAGGUCAUAUGGCUAAGGAUUGCAGUAGCAGCGACCGUGGUGAUCGUAGCUCCGGAGGGUGUUACACUUGCGGCGAUACUGGUCACUUCGCUAGGGAUUGCGUUCAGAAAUCAAGUGGAAACGGUGGAAGCGGCGGUGAACGCGGAGGAGCCGGAGGAGAAUGUUACAAUUGUGGUAACACUGGUCACUUUGCUAGGGAUUGCGUUCAGAAAUCGGUUGGAAACGUCGGUGACCGUGGAAGUGGCGGCGGUGGAGUUUGCUAUAAUUGUGGUGGAGCUGGUCACAUGGCUAGAGACUGUCCGACUAAGAGACAGCCUGGUGCUUGUUACGAGUGCGGUGGUACUGGUCACAUGGCUCGUGAUUGUGACCGGAGAGGAAGCGGUGGUGGCCGUGGAAACGCUGGUGGAGGUGGCGGCGGAAAUUGCUUCAAGUGCGGUCAAGGAGGUCACUUUGCGAGGGAAUGUUCUGUUGCUUGAUUGCUUCCUUAUCAUCAAACGAAAGGAAUGGAAAUGAAUUUGAGUGAUUUCCUCUUCGUUUUCAUUAUCUUUUGCUGAUGGGAAUGAUGAAAUUUGCCUGGUCCUUUUCGUGUUUUGAGUUUCUUUUAUACAAUCCUUUUUUGUGAUAACUAUAUAAGUUUAGCUAGAGUUGGGCUCCUCCUGAUAUGGAUGCUGUCCUUUUUUUAAGUUUUUUCUUUGGAAAUUUUGACCUCUAUAUUGUUUAUUAUGACUUGGUUCGUUUGCUUAUAUCAUUUGAGUAUUGGUCCUUUUAUUUAGGAAUUGCUCGUUUCAGUUUAUUAGCCUGCUUAUUGUUCAAACUUGAUAUACGACUAUUCCAUCAAACCAGCGAAAUUGAUAAUCCAUUGUCAUACUUUCUACAUCAAGAUCAAUCUAAUUCUUUGGUUGUUUUGGUGUGAUUCUUAGACAUGAUUUUUGGUCUAAGGGGUUAAUUGUUUCAUCAAUAUAUAAAAACAUUUUAGCAAGCAAAAAGAGAUUAAUUAUUGGAUAUUGAUAAGGUUCUUUAUCGUUCUUGUCUUGAACAGAAUCUCGUGGUCGAGGUUUAUAAGAUUUAAAGUAAUGACAUCACGCAGAUCUAUAGAUUGUUACCUGCUAUGCAGAGUCACGGCCAUCUAAGGCUUGUCUCAAUCGUUUAUUAUAUUAGUUAUUGAUUUUCUAAGUUGGAACCUAAUUACAGUCAUGAUUGGCAAAAUCCAAGACUGCUGAUGAUUUUUUCCAAUAGAAGAAACUGGAAAGCCAAGUUUGCGGUUCACCUUUUCCAAUUCAGAUAAAGCCACACAAUCGAAUUAUCAUUGGUUAAAUUAGUGUGUGUGUAUACAUAAACCAAAAAUGAGACAUCAGCCUAAGGUUAGACAUUAACCAAUGAUGUACAUAUAAACCUUAGGUUUGGCCAAAAGAAUAUAUUAAAAAACUUUAGGUUAGACAUCAGCCACAUCCAAUUGUGUUCAUGUCGUUGGGUGGGUGGAUUCAAUAAACCAAAACUUCCUAAUCCAUUUAUCAAUUCAAUUAUUAAAGGUUCCAUUGCCAUUUUAGAUGUCUCUUGGAAUCGUUGCUGUUUUAUAAAUGAAAAUUCAGUAAAUUUGUAGAGUAGAAAAACACACUUGAGACCUAUCCAAGAUGUACUAAUUGUUAAACAUAUAUGUNNNNNNNNNNNNNNNNNNNNNNNNNNNNNNNNNNNNNNNNNNNNNNNNNNNNNNNNNNNNNNNNNNNNNNNNNNNNNNNNNNNNNNNNNNCAACACCAAUUCUAUUUUCUUUAUAAAACAAACAAUUUUACAAAUUACAUUAGCCACUAUGUCUCUUUCCCAUAAUAACUUCGAAAAAAAAUCUCCUGAACCUUUUAUUCUUUAUUCUAGUUUGAAAACUGAAUAGAUUUUCGAGAGGCUCACGAAAUAUCAAACAUCAUUUAUUUUGUCAUCUUGUAAUAAUUAUAAUAAUUAACUAACAGUGACACAAGACAACUUGAUGGAUCGUAGGAGUAAAAAACUGUUAAUGAAGACCGUGUCCCUUGGAAGAGAGAAGAGGGCAGAAGAAUCUUAGGAUGCAUCACGCUCUUACGUCUUCUCUUUCAGCAUUUUUCUGAUCACCGACCCUCUCCAUUCAAUACAUUUAUAUUUUAAAUUCAUUUCGUUAAAUUAAUCAUUUAAGUUGAAGACAGUUGAAGACGGUCGUUUGAAUUAACAGUCUUCUUUGGGCUUCCAGUUGAAUAGUAUUUCCCGUAUUUUUAGAGUUUACAUAGAAAUUCUUUGACCCGCAGAAAAUAUCUCUUGUUAUUACGGUUAUAUUAGAAACCAAAAAUAUGUUUAACAGCAAAUUUGUGGCAUAAUAGUAUUUUAGGAUCCUCAGUUAUCCACUUUUUUCCAAAACUUCUGCUUAUGAUCAAAGUAAAUUUGCGUUGUCAUCAACUUUUUAGCUAUAAAAAGUAGAGCCACUCGUUGGGAGUGAUGAUUUUUUUUGUUGUUGUAUUUUUAACGUUUUACUACUAUCGAUCACGAGAAACUUCAUGAAACAAUGAUAUUUUUCAGAAAGAACGAUGUAUUCAUGUUCAUAUGUGGUGAUUAGUCUGCAUGCAGUAGUGAUCAACUGAUCAUAGUGAUCGGUAACCUACUAAACCAAAAAAAAGUUAUGGGUAUGCUCUCUUAGACUAUCACAUUCCAAUAAAUAAAAGUACAGACGUAAGUAAUGGAUCGUCGGAAAUUAAAAAAAAAACCAUUAAUAAUUUAUGAAUCUAGCGAGAUUGGGGACAAGUUCUAUUUAGAUCACCGACAUCAACACUGAUCAUAUCUAUACCAUAUGCAACCCAUAUUAUCUGUCAUAUUGCACGAAUCCUACAAAUAAACAAUUAAGAACACGAUAUAAUAUUGGUUUUUAUCAUUCAAAGAAAUAGUAUAAUAUGAACCAAAAAAAUAAUAAUAACGUGAACAUGUACGGCACAUUGGCCGACUUAACAUAGACAAAGGCGGCAUGGGUUCACGUGAAAGCCGACCUUUCAAAAAAAUCUUAAGCUCUUUAAAGAUUCAAUCCCCAAAACUAUAACCAAUCUCUUUCCAGUCUUCACCAUCUUUUUCUCUCUAAUUUCACUAUUCUCGUCGUCCCAUAUAAAUACAAAGCCUACACAUUUUCACUCUUCAAACAUCUCUUACAGAGCAGAAACAGAGUCGCCAGAAAAGUAAUCUCCGGCGACACAAAAACACAAUAAAAGUUUAUAAAUUUAGAUUCUGGUGACUCUCUGCUCUAAUGGGUCCAUCUCAAAUAUCUCUCUUUCUUCUUCUAAUUCUUGCUCUUAUCUAUGGCGUUUCCUCCACCACUUUCACCGUCCUUAAUCAGUGCAGCUACACCGUCUGGCCUGGCCUUCUCUCCGGCGCCGGAACCGCUCCUUUACCGACAACCGGAUUCCCCCUAAACCCGACCGAGACACGUGUCAUCCCAAUCCCGGCUGCUUGGUCCGGUCGUAUUUGGGGCCGUACGCUCUGCACACAAGACGCAACCACCGGGAAAUUCACUUGUGUUACCGGAGAUUGCGGUUCCUCCUCCGUCGAAUGCUCCGGUUCCGGCGCCGCACCUCCAGCUACGCUCGCCGAAUUCACCUUAAACGGAGCCGGUGGUCUCGAUUUCUACGACGUCAGUCUCGUCGACGGUUACAACAUUCCUAUGACAAUCGUUCCUCAGGGCGGCAAUGAUUCCGGUGGAGUCGCCGGGAACUGCACAGUCACCGGCUGCGUCGCGGAGCUCAACGGUCCAUGUCCCGCUCAGCUGAAAGUGGCGACGACGGGGACUGAAGGAGUGGCUUGCAAAAGCGCGUGUGAGGCGUUUGGGACGCCGGAGUAUUGCUGUAGCGGCGCGUUUGGAACGCCGGACACGUGUAAGCCGAGUGAGUACUCGCUGUUUUUCAAAAACGCGUGUCCGAGAGCUUAUAGCUACGCUUAUGACGACGGAACAAGUACUUUUACUUGCGCCGGAGCUGAUUACGUCAUCACUUUCUGUCCUUCUCCUAGCCCAAGGUAACAUUUCUUCUAUUUUCAUUAUUUUCUACAAAAAUAAAAAAAUUACUACUAAAAGUUAUGAUUGUCUUCAAGUGGAAACACGAAUUAGAAUAUUUGAAAGAUCAAAUUGGCAUUAUUUUUUUUUGCAAAUUAAAAGGUUUGAUUCCGACUUCGGAUGAUCCCAUCAAAUGAGUUAAAGAAAAAAAAAAAAGGAAAUGUUUGGUUCUGAUUCUCUUAGAAGAGGCCCGGUUUCGAUUUUUUUGUUCACAUUCAAGGUUCAAUUAUUGUGUUUAUGACUGGAGAUAUGAAUAGUUCACCUCUUUUUUGUUGUUGUGAGGUCAAAUUACCGAAUAAAAAUCAUGACACAAUGCUUUUCAGAAUGCACCGUGUUCCUUUGUCAACUUGUGAAAUCAUAAGACAAGACGACAUUUUCAUUUUUCACCCGUUGAUACUAUAAUAUAAACAUAACAAAUCUUAUUAUAUAAAAUAAAUUUAGAAUAUCUAAUAUUCUCUGUUGUAUCCUUAGAUUUUUUCUUUCAAACGUCGGUGUUCUGUGGCCAUGUGCGGUCCAACACGGCUCUUUUGUUCAUCUGACAAUGCUAAAUAUAUGUAUAUAUAUAUAGGCUUAUUGUAAUAUAUAUGUAUAUAUAUAUAUAUGCUAAUUGUGUAUGAAAGGGUUAUUUUUAUAAAGAAAAAUUGUUAAACAUAUAUUAAAUUGUUUUUCUUGUAAUUUGUCUCAGUGUGAAGAGUGCAUCGAAGGGAGCAGGACUUCAGCCCGAAGCCGUAAGCUACUCCGCGGCAUCUCCAAACGCAUCGCCAAUUCUCUCUGCCGUGUUUUUGAUGGGCGUUUUGGCCGUUGCAUCUUGGGUGGUGCAAAGCGUUUGGUGAUAGCUUUAUGGCGCCGUUUUUCAAGUUUUUAGAACAUCAUUCCAGAUUUUUCAGCUAGAGAAAGAAACAAGCCAAACGACCAUCAGAGGAAGACAAACAAAAAAAGGACCACAGAGUGUUUGAUUAGUCGAAGAGAAGAUUGUUCGAGGUGAUCAUUUUUGUAACAACUUUGUGGAUUCCCAAAGUGAUAAGAUGAUCAAUUUAGUUUAAGAUUUUAUAUUAGUUAUAAUUUAGUUAUUAGUUUCUUCCAGUUUUUUUAGACAAAUGCUGUCUUUAGCUUUAUAUAGGAAGCAUCUAUAACAAGUUUUACUUGGAGGAAUUGAUUGAUUGGUAAUGCGUUUUUUUUUUUUAACAAAAAAAAUUGACUCAUACUUUUUAAACUAGAAAAUGUAUGUUAAAAGAAUAGGUUCGUAAUAAGAAUCUGUAUUCUAUUUGUUAGAUAAAGAAACAACUGUGUAUUGAAUUCUUUAUUGGAUAUUUGGAUUGGUAUGGACGAUCUACAGUAAAAACAAACUAUCGUGUUUUAAAGAGAAAACAACGCUACAUUAAAAUAAAUUUUGGAGACUCAUAAGUUCGACAAUUUACGUCGAAAAUCUUUAAAAAUUGGCGGGUAAUCAUAGUUUUAGGUAUAUAUUUAAUAUGAAUAUAAUAAAAAAACACAGAAAAAGCAGAAUCAGUUGUAGAGGAAAACAAAUUACGACCUUAUGAUUGAAGACUCUCCUCUCUCUCUCUCUUUCACUCACUCACACGGUCACACCAAUUCACUUCUUUCUAGAUUCUGUGAUUUCUCAAUCUUCUUGUCUCCUCCCAUGGCUAUAUUCUGUCUCCAUCUCCAUCCUUACGCCUCUGUUCUUGGAUUUAUCAUCUCGUUGCUCCAUGAUGGUGAGCGAUUCUGCUUCCUGCAACAUUGAAUUUCUGUUGAAUUAGCAAUAGCAUGUACCUUUGGUUUCUGCGAAGAAUAUGGGGAAAAAAAAAAGAGAACCAGAAACAGAGAGGGAACAAGAAAUUGAAAAACUUCUAAUUUACUCAAUAGUGAAGUUAAAGCUUGUAACUUUGAGGGAAAAAGUCAAUUGAAAUAUUUAGAUUCGCCUUCUUGUAUCAAUUCUGAUGAGCUACAUAAAUUCAAGAAAUUAAAAGUUCUGAAACCAAUGUGCACAAAAAACAUGUUUUUCAAAAAAAAGGUUUCAUAAUGGCUCCAAUCAUACUGAGAAUCGCAUUUAGACACAUACACACAAACAAAAGAUUCUUCUUGAUAAAAAGACCGAUCAGGGUCCAUUCCAUUUCAAAUGAUUCCUGUGUCAUCUCUAUUGUUUCCCAAACGGUUAUUAUUAAUUAAAUCAUUCGUGUGAAAAAGUCUAUUUUCAACACAAGAAAAAACAGAGAAGACAACUAGAAAUCAGAUUCAAAAAGCCGGAUAUAGAAUAAAGAUUAGGUCGAUGUAUUUCAUCGAUGGCAGCACACUUGAUCAAGAAUCUUAUAGCUUUUCUUAUUUAUAUUGUUCUAUAUCUUCCCUUUAGAUUAACGGCUUUGCCUAACUCGUGUGUAUUUGUGGUGUGGACCUCUGUUUUUCUAAAAGGGAAGAUAAGAGUAUCUUACAGAGAGUCAAAAGGUUUCAACUUUCAAGUCCACCCACUGAAUAUUAUAUCCAUAAAAGCAAACACAGAGAAUGUUAAACAAAGCUUGAGAGAUUGGGUAUACCUGCGUUUACUUAUUCGCCGUCCAUAGCCGUAAAGGUGAAAUAGUCUUGACUAAUUAUGAUUAGUAAUUUGAAUAAGUAAAGGAUAGCAGUGGUUCUUGUCAUAGUUAGGCCAAGAUUCGUCUCCUUUCACAAGCGUCUCGUGGCACCUCCAAACUUGUGCAUCGUAGUUCUCGGUUAAGAUGUAAUGUAAACCAAUGUCUUCAACCUCCUUCAGAAACUUGUCUAAAGAGCCACCUCUCUUAGGACUGAAGAAUAAUGCCUCAGAGGGUUCGUUGGCUUUAAGCAGCACCUUGAUGAUACUUGCGAGGUGCUUAUGAAAUUCCUUGAAAAAGGUACUGUUGAAUCAAAACACAAAAGAGUAGUGACAAGGGAUGAGAAAUCGAUAUAGCGGAAGACUGAAAUAGAGAGCAAGGAAUGAGAAAGCUACCAAUCGCUCGCAACUAUGAUGUCAAAAGUGUUGGUUAACUCUGAAAGUUCAUGCUGAUUCCAGUGCAACUCCAUGGCUUUUACACUUGUGUUGCCAAAUGCCAUGGAGUUUGAUUCUAUGUUACGCUUAAUAUCUGGAUUUUAAAGGGCAUCAAUGAAUCCAAAAAAAAAAAAAAAACUAUUCCGGUCAUCUCAAAGCUUCAACCAAAGAAGACAACUCUAAUGCAAACAGUGUAUAUACACAACAAAACAAGAAGGAUACAAUUGACUACUUGGGGAUUUCCAUCUGAGAUUACCACUUCUGAUGCCUCAGUGACAGCUGCGAUAACUAAACCGGCUAAUCCAUACCCAGAUCCAAGCUCAAUUACUCUUUUAUCUCUGCAACAUUCCAAUGAGGCAAGUACAAUGUAAGAGGAAGAGGUUAUAAGAAAAGAAACAUAGAUCAGUCUUAAAACUGAGAAUAGAAACCUGAAACGAUCUGGAUGAGACUUGCAAAAGUAUGCUAGAGCUUCUUCUGAGGGCCAUUGACCUGGAAGAAUGACAGUAGCAAAACUUAUGAAUUCAGAGAAUCACGAUCCAAAUAACAUUUGAGAUCCGCAGGCAACUCAAUGUGUUUGGUACAUAACGAUUCAAAGCUUGGUUAAAAUAUGAAAUAUGUCAUUUAAGUUUCUACUCAGCCAGAAUUCGAACCAAAUGUGCAAAUCUGAUCACAUAGCAGAGAUGGGUUGUCUUCAAACCAACAAAGACAAUGAGAUCGAGAGCUUACAGACAAGUCCUGUAUUAUCAAUGUUGUAUCGAUUAGAUAUCUCAAAGUCAUUGAGAUCACUGCAAUUAUCCACUCUUUGUCUGCAGAAAUUUAUAUAUAAAAAAAAAAGAGAGCUCUUUUAGAAGUGGGAAGAUAAGAAUAAGCAGUGACAGUGUUAAAUCCGUUGAAAUGUGCUUGAUAGCGAGAUUACUAACGUUAGAUAGAGUUUCGGAGAAGCAGGGAUGGGAAUUGUGUAGCAAACGCGUGCUUCCCGAGAAUUUCCCGAUGCCGGAGAAGAAUCCACCACCUGACACGGAAUCAAGUUGAAUCCUUGAGUUGGUUUCCUUGAAAUCCGCUUGAUCCCAGAUUGAGAUUGAGAAUCUGAGGAAAAUUGAGAGAUGAUAUAUUAGCUAUAAGGUGUGAAGUCGAGGAAGAAGAAGAAGAAGAAGAAAAGGGGAAUUUCCACCAGAUCUACGGAGAAGCGCUUGGCGAAGAAUUCGCCAUCUAAGCGAGGAAGAAGAAGAAGAAGAAGAAGAAGAAGAAGAAGUGGGAUUCAUGGAAGAAGUCCUCCGCUCAGCAAACAAGCGACGACUGUUUCCCUUCGGAAUCCGCUAACGAGGAGAGAGUCUUUUACACAAAUUUGCGAUGUUUUUUAGUUUUCCGGCGAAAUUAAUUUUGCUUUGUUAGCAUUUUUUUUUACAUCAAGUAGUGUAACAUUUUCUAAAACAGAUUUUCAGGAUCCAUAAUCAAUCAGUACACAGGUUAUGAUCAGUACACAUGUUAAUAAUAUCGCAAUUUGAUGACUUUUUGUGAAUUAAUAUUCAAAUUGACAGGGUUUAAUUGAGCCGGACCGAAUUGAACCCGACCGAUUAAGCCAACCACAACAUCUUCAAACAAAACCAUGCUCUAAUUUCGGAUACAAAAGGUUUCGGAUAGAAAGUCUUAUAGGGACAAUUGUUUGCAAAAUGUGUCCUAAAUUUACAAUUUUCCCAUAAAUUAUUGUACGCUAACUUCAAUAAUUAAUUUUAUAAGUUGAAAACUAAGCAUUUUAUAUUCUUUUGCAACUGAAAUAUAGGAGAACAUAUGAAUUUAAUUAAUCGAUGAUGCAGGCGAAGGAGUUGGAGCAUUGGUUUUGCAUUUACAGGUUCCACUAUCGCAUAUGCAAUUGUAAAAGCUACAAUGCUUACACGCAAUAUAGUUUAAACAGUCCAUAUUCACUCUGCAUGUGAAUGCUGCAUCGUUCGUCUUGGGUUCCUCCGCAGAAUCUGAAUCUUCCAAAAGCAAACAAAAAAAAUGAAAUCGUGUAAAGAACCAACAUACCAAAAAUUGUGUGAAAAAAGUGUAGUGAGACUGAGUACCAGCUGUUGCAGUGAUGACAAGAACGACCAAGAACACAGCAAUGGUUACACUAAGAUUGUUCAUUUUUGUCUCUUGAGCUUUGAAAUUGAUUCUUUCUAAUGAACUUGAACGAAAAGAUGUGAGUGAUUUGUAGGUAUAUGAAUUAUGAUGGUGUGAAGGAAGUCGAUAGAGACACAGGUAUAUAUAUAGGAGCAAUAUAAGAUCUAAAUUGGCUACUUAGGGGGCGAUUAUUAAUUUUUCUUUUUCUUUUACGCAUACAUGUUAAAACACUGUGUUUAAUUAUUGCUCAUUAAUGUAAAAAAAAAAAGUAUUGCUCAUUAAUAUCUUUUACAUAGAUUAAGAAAUUAUUUAAAAUUAUCAAUCUGGUCUUAUUUAAUAUAUUACUAAUUAAACUGUAUUGACCUAAAUAUAAAAUUGAUUAAUUUUGACUAAAUGAUAAUUUAAAAAUUUAUUCUAUUGCUCACUCAUUGGUGAAAAACAUUACUCUGUCAUGAAUCUUCUACUUUAAUUUUUAAUUACUACAUAUAUCAUCAUUAAAUUAUAACCGGAUUUACAAAUUAAAUUGCUAAGUACUAUAUAUAUCCUAUUUGUUAAAGGCCAUACUAUGUAUUAACUAAUUUGCCAGUUUUAUGGUUCAAGACACACUAGCUCAAAAGAUAAAACCUUUACAUGUCAAAAGAAAAUUGUCAAGUGAUGAAAGGUAUUAGACAUCUUUUCGAAACUAAUCUUACUUACUUUGUAUAAAUUUUCUUCUAGUAGUUAUUUUUUACAGCUAUUACUUUUUGAUAAAAUGAAAACGUCUACAUUUAUACACUCGUCAAAAUGAUGAUUUGGAUAUUGAUAAUGAGAUAAUUUUGUGGAUAAGCGCGGGAAAAUGUCCCUAGAAUAGUUAAAGUUUUAAACCGGCCGGGUUUAGUCAAAGUACGCGCUGUUUAAAGUUUAAACACGCAACCCCCACGUCUUCUUGCUGCAGACAGCAAAUUACUUAAUAGCUAAUCCAAAAAAUACUUGCGCUAAUCUUUUUCACUUUUUUUUUUUUUUUUGGGCCCAAAUCUUUUCACAUUCAUAUAAAUAACCCAACAAUUCAUUUUCAAUUCCCUUCGUCUUCCUCCUCUCUAAUUUCCGGCGAGAAUGGAAUCCUCUGCAAGACCCAAGCUUUACCCGAUCGUCGACACUUCAACCACCAAUGCUCCUCUCCCAAGUUCCUCCUCUUCUUCUUCUUCUACUACUAAUAAUCUAUAUCCUUCCCUCGAUGUUAAUGAUCUCGUCAACAAUAUCUUCCCGGAGCAAUCCUCUGUCUCAGCCUCGGCUCCUCCCGUGGCGACGGAGGAAGUGAUUCUGACAGUAAAAGGCGCGAUUCUCCACCUCAUCGACAAAUCAUACAGCGUGGAGCUCGCUGUCGGCGAUCUCGAGAUCAUCCGUCUUGUUCAGGGCGAAAUCACCGUCGCCGUGUUCGCUCGCGUCGCCGAUGAGAUCCAGUGGCCGUUGACCAGAGACGAACCCGCCGUGAAAGUCGACGAGUCGCAUUACUUCUUCUCGCUCCGACCCGUGAAAGAAUCCGGGUCGGAAGAGAACAACGAUAUGUUGAAUUACGGGUUAACAAUCGCUUCCAAAGGGCAAGAGCAGUUGCUCGAGAAGCUGGACAUGAUCUUGUCGGAUUACAGCAGUUUCACGGCGGAGAAACACAAGGAGGAGGAUGUUAAUAACGUGUUGGAUUUGACGGCGGCGAAGGAGACGUCGCCGGAGGAGCUGAAGGGAAAGAGGAAGAAGAUGGUGGAGAAGCAAUGUACGGCGUAUUGGACGACACUGGCUCCGAAUGUUGAGGAUUACAGUGGAGUUGCUGCGAAACUGAUCGCUGCAGGUUCUGGACAGUUGAUCAAAGGGAUCUUAUGGUGUGGAGAUUUGACAAUGGAUCGGCUCAUGUGGGGAAAUGAUUUCAUGAAGAAGAACUUGUCCAAAGCAGAGAAAGAGAGAGAAGUUGGCCCUAAAACUCUGAAACGUCUCAAGAGGUAUGUAUAAGAAAUCUUGAGAUUGUGUUUUCUCUUUAUCAACUCAGUAAAUUUGAAACAUUUUCUGUAUAUUUUAUAACAGAGUGAAGAAGAUGACGAAAAUGACAGAGAAAGUGGCGAAUGGUGUGCUCUCUGGUGUUAUAAAAGUUUCUGGAUUCUUCUCGAGUUCAGUGGUGAAUAGCACAGCUGGGAAGAAACUCUUUGGUCUUCUUCCUGGAGAAAUGGUUCUUGCAACACUUGAUGGAUUCAGUAAGUUGCUUAGUUCUUGUUUAUGCGUAUUGGAGCUUCCUUCUUCUGAUAGAUAACAUUUUAAUUGUUCUCUUUUUGUUUGACAGACAAGGUUUGUGAUGCUGUUGAAGUAGCUGGAAGAAACGUUAUGAAAACAUCUUCCACUGUCACUACUGAAAUCGUCGACCACAAGUAAGUAACAGAAGCGGAUGUGUUCAUGCCAAAACAAAUAUUGGUUGGUCUCAGUCUUAUGCUGUUUGGAUAAUAAUGUUUUGAUGUUAUUUGAUUUGCAGGUAUGGAGCAAAGACAGCACAAGCGACAAAUGAAGGGCUUGGAGCAGCAGGGCAUGCUAUUGGAACGGCGUGGACGGUUUUCAAGAUCAGACAAGCUCUCAACCCCAAGAGUGCGAUAAAGCCAUCAUCACUGGCUAAAACCGCAAUCAAAACGGCAGCUAAAGAAAAAAAGAAGGGGGAAAAAGUUCUUUUAACUAGGAAAGAAGCUUUCAAGUUAUGAGAUUUAUGCAAACAUGGAUAGAAUUUUAGAUAUGAUUUGAUUAAUAACCGCAAAAUAUCAUAAAGUGAGAAUUAUGAUGUUCUUUUUUUGGCUUGGUUUCUUCUAAAUAGGAAGAAAGCUUUCUCUCUAAUGCAAUUUGUAUUGCUUGUUCUUCAGUCUCAUUGCCUUGGCACAGAAGCUAUGAAUAGACAGUAAUAGUUAAAAAGAUUAGUAUUUGUUGUUGUUGGUGCUAAUGUUUUGCUCCCUCAAGAAUCAUGAGAUUUAUACAAACAUGAAUAGAAUUUUAGAUAUGGUUUGAUUGGUAACCGCAAAAUAUUAUAAAGGGAGAAUUAUGAUGUUCUUUUUUUGGCUUGGUUUUUAUCUGGAGCAGAAAAGGAACAAAUUGAGUCAUGAAUUUCAGAUAUAGACUAGUGACUUUCAUUUCUUGGUGAAUAAUGUGUUCUCUUGGCGACAAAAAAAAAAAGUGUUCUCUUUGUCACAUGCUCUGCCGUUUUUAUGCUCACGUCGUUUUUAGAGUAAGCAAAACAGUACGGUGUUUUUAUUUAUCAAUUUGAUAUUUCAGUUCAGCCCCACAAGUUGAGAGAAAUAAAAAUUCUAUAUAACAACAACAGAGUUCGAACCUGCGAGCUCCCUCUUAUAAAUUCAAAGCUCUGACCAACAUAGCAAAAAGUAGGUUGCUGUCUUCAACAUAAGAUCAGAGAGCUGGAACGCGAAACAGAGGAACCCGCUUUUUCACCAUGAAAGAUGACUACGAGGUGCGACUUCUGAUGUCUCAAUUCGGGUUUGAUCGGAUUUUUUUUUUUAUAUUCUGGGGUUUCUUGAGUAUUUUCAAAAUCAGAUAAUCAGGGAUCAGAAUUUGGGAUUCGUUUUUCCAGAAAAUAUAGGUACCUAAUUUGGGAUUCGCUUUUACUGAAAGUUCAGAUUAUUAAGGAUUCGCUUCCAAAGCAACGUCUUUUAAUCUGCGCCAUGAAGUUCAAGAUGUUGAUUCAUAGUUUUCAGUAUUCAAACUAUGAUUUAGACUGUUUUAUCAUCUGUACAGACAGUGUUAAUGGAAUUGGGGAAAAUGUUUCUAAAAAUCCAAGCUUUAGGAUCAUCUUCUAUUCUUAAACCGGAAUCAGGACAUUGUGUCGCAUCUUUGUUCUUUCUUUCUGAUGCUUGACCAAAGUUUGGGACUUGUUGCUUAUUGUCUUUUUUUUUUUUUAAGUUGAGCUUAUGAUGUCUUAAUAGGCUGAUGAGAAGAAGCAAGCUGCUGCUGAUGUAUUGUUUAGUUAUUCCAAGUUUGCAAUGGCCUGCAUCGGAAAUCAGACUCGUCCUAGUGACAUGAGAUUGCAUUUGAUGAAGGUAGUUAAUUGAAUUCGAUUGUUUCAGCCAUUUUGGGUUUGCGUCUUGUGAUUUGAGUAUGAACGUUUCAAAGUUAAUAUAGAGUUUAAAAUUUAUAGGAGAUAUCGGGACUGCCAACUUCUCUGAAAAGAAGAGAAGCUUCUAGAGCAGCAACUUCGCCUGAUCCACUCGGAGAAUCAUCGAGCUCUGGCACCGCCAGGCUAGAUAAAGUGGAUAGUUUCAGGGUACUUUAAUGUCAGUUUUCAAUAUCUCAGCCUAAGUAUCUGUCGCCGAGAAACCUAUUUAUCAAAAUUUGAACGGUUGAUUUUAGCCCAUGAUAGUGUUACGAUGUAUUCCCACUGUGUGACUCUGAGAAAUCAAAAUUUGAACGGUUGAUUUGUAUGUUUUUCUUCCAUUUCUUGAACAUAUUGUCUGUCUUCUUAUGGUCUAGUUUCUACGUUAUUCCCAAGCACAGAAGAUGGUUUCUUGAGUCCAGAAUGUUUGUUAGGGAAAUUAUGAAUCAUUGACAAUCGAAUCCUGAAGCUUAAAAGUAACAAGGCAUGAAUCUUUCUAUUUAUUGCAUUCAUUCAAUUAACAUUAGUAAAUCUAUCUCUUAACCCUUUUCGUAUCCUCCUCAUUUUUUGCCUCCUCCUCUGGUUGCUUCGUAGCAUAUGGUAAAGAUCACAACAGCUGCAGCAACAGCGAUUCCAAGCGUCUGCUGCGUCACUGCUGAAGGAAUUUUUCUCGGCGGAUUAAAUCCUAGUUCUGAGAGUUUCUUGUGUGAAUUUGCAUAGUCUUUGAAGAACACAUUUUCUUCCUGUCAUACACAUCGUUAUCACCUUUUUUUUACUGAUUAAGCCAGAGAAUUCCUAGAUUUUUUAUAAUUGUCCCGAAAUCAAAAUUAAUAUACCUUUGCAUACAACUCAACAUAGGGGUGGAACUUGGAAUCACCAAGUAGAGCCUUGUCGGUUUUCAGUUGUAGCAAUCCUGGCGUCUCCCCUUUCAGGAGCUCUCUGAAACAUCAAUCAGAAACCAAUGUAAUUAAGUUUCAGGACUCUUUCCCUAGCUUUGUGAUGAUUUUGUUGUUGGCUUACACGAAAUAUGAGUUAUCAAACUUGAGAGGAUCUUGUGUCCAAGCACCUUCAAAGUCUGAUCUAUCCUUAUGUGCACGUCCCUAUAUACAAAAGCAUCAACCACGUUGGUGUCAACUAAAAGACGUUUAGAGACGAUAUCUUCAGAAGAGUUAGUUAGUUACCAAAGUGUGGCCUCCAGAGAGAGCUACAAUGUCUCUAUCCGAUAAACCCAUGCGAGAGAAGAGAGUUCUUAGAUGUGAGGCACCUGCAGUAAUCCAAAAGAAUGGUUUAAUCAGUUUGUGAAAUAGGAUUCCAUUGCAUUGCACAGGAGCUACAAGCUGCGGGAGGAACCUUGAUUUGGAUCAGGAAGUUCUCCUUCGUCUGGGGAAUCAGCAUCCUGCAAUCAUUUUCCCAAUGAUUAUAAGAUUCUCUCUUUUUUUCUAGAAACACACUUAGCAAAUACUAUGGUUCUAACGCGCGAUAAAAGGCAAGUACCUUACGGCCUGGAGAAAAUUGGAUUGCAGGGCCACCGGUAACCUCCACUGCAACAACUCCAGCGAGCUGAAAUGAAAACAAAGAAUCUCUGUCAACGAGGAAGAAAGGUUUGUAUGAGUUAAAUGGCUUAGAAAUACCAUAGAUAUAUCAAUGUUAACCUGAUAAAGGUCUGCAUAAGAGACUCGCGGAUGCUUAGCCUUUACUUCCUCUGAAACCAGAAACCAAAAAUUCAAACAUCAAAGGAAACAGCAAGCAACCAAAGAUUGUCCUGAACAAUAGAUAAAAAGCAUCAAAAGAAACUAACCGCAGAAGGCGACAGCUUUCUCCAAACCAUUGUUGUGCGAGCGGUUUAGCUCGUCCUUGAACCUAAUAGAACCAUUGGGGCCUCCGGUUUUCUUCUUGGCAUCAUAAGUUCCUGCAUCAUGCCAUCUACACGCGGACAAGAAUUUUUGCAUUUGGAAACGUUAAGACAAGAAAGAAAGAAAAAUAGAGAGUGAUUCUGAAUCUUACGCAAGACGGAGCAUUAUAGGAGCACAGUUUCUAGAAGAGAUAAGAGCUCGAAGGUCACGACGAGUCUUCUCUAUCUCUUUGAGGUACUCUGCAUCAACGUUCACUGCCAUUGCCGGACUUUCAAAGAGCAAGCAAAAAUAACUCAAAAACGAUAUAUGAAUAUGAUUUGAAUAGGAGAAUGACUCUGGACGGUGAAUAGAACUGAGCAAUCUUAUAUAUAAACUUUAAGCAGGGUGUGUCCAUGGGACAAGUAUGUUUUGUCAUCUGGAGAAAGCAAAGUACAUAUACUUUUUUUAAUCUAUGAUCCCUUUUGCUAAUCUUCGCAUAUAUUCAAGUUUUCAUUUAUGCAAGUAUAUCUUCACAUGUUUGUAUGUAUUAUACUAUUUGGUGUACAUGUAUUUGUUUGUGAUUUUCUCAUUUUCUGCAAGUAGUCUGCCUUAACUUAUAAUAUACAUAUUCAACGUUCAACCUUUUAUCUUCUCAUGUAAACGGAGUCAAAGAUUACAUGUAGUUAUUUUUGAGACAACCAAUCAAUAUAUUGGAAAUGCUUAGGUACAUAUAUAACGAAGGGAAAAAACCAUAAAAGUACCUGAUGUUAAUAACAUUUGCUAAAAAAAUACCCAAAUUAUUUAUGCUCUUUAAAAAAUACCUAAAUUUUUUAUGAGUUCCAAUUUAAUAUCCAAAUAUUCAAAAAGUAAAAGUUUGACACCUUCCAUUUCACAGAGGUUAACAGAGCUAACAGAAUCGGUAACUGUGUUAAUUUUUUAUAAAAUGUAAAAAUUAAUCUUUGCAAAUUUACGUUUUUAUCCUCAAAAAUCUUCAAAAUCAAUUUGGGGAAGAACAAACCCUAAUUUUCCCCUUAUAUCGACAUUCAUCUUCUCUUAUUGAUUUAAGGGAAAUCUCAAAGCUCUAGUGUUGAAUAUUCUUCUGCGAAACACAUAUGCUUUUGCGUAUUCCUUCUCUUUUGUUACUGUUGCGAGUUCUAAGAUGAACGAAAAGGAAGAGUUUUAUAACUCGCUGAAUCGAUUUCAAUGAAAGCUAGUUUCAAAGAGAAAGGAAACUCAGAUUCGGGGCUCGUCAAUGUAUAUGGCUUACAUCUCAUGGUACCUAAAAUUAAAAAGAGGAGAUGAAUGUCGAUGAAGGAGGAGGGAAAAUUAGGGAUUGUUCUUCUCCUUAGAAGAUUUUAAGGAUAAAAAAUGUAAUUUUAGAAUGAUUAAUUAGCACAUGUUAAUAAAAUUAACGCAGUGGAUCGAUUCCGUUUACUCUGUUAACGUCUGUGAAAUCGAGGGUGUCAAACUUUUACAUUUUGAAUGUUUGGAUAUUAAAUCAAUACUUAUUACUAAUCUAGGUAUUUUUUAGGGAGCAUAAAUAGUUUAAGUUUUUUUAUAGCAAAUGUUGUUAACAUCAGGUAUUUUUAAAGUUUUUUCCCUAUAACGAAAUAACAGAAAAGGUUAAUUUACUAAUCGAACAGAAAAACAAACAGAAGAAUAACGAGCGAAAGUAAAAAAAAAAUGGUAAAAAAGUGAAAAGUCGGAAGCAAAACAAUCGGGAGGUUCAUGGCGGAGAUUAUUCCAUUAGCGAACGCUUCAAUGGCAAUUAUUUCCGGCCAUCAUUUUCUACCUCUCUCUUUCUCUCUCUAGCUUCUCUCGAUCCAAUUCAUCGUCCUCACGUUUUGUUUUCACAAACAUUCAUCUUCCUCGAUCACCUCUCACAUUUUUUUUUCUGAUUUCCUUUUUUAGUAAGGUUUCCACAUUUACAAUUUCUAGGGUUUUGGUUGUGCCGGAGAUGGUAAUUUGAAAGGUAAUGGUGGAGGAUUCAGAGGAAUUGGCUUCGUAUUGUGGGGUUUUCUGGGUUCCUCAGGUGUAGAUCUGAGGUUGAUUUUCUCUUCUUUCUUUCUUUCUUUUUUUUUGUUGGUAUUGUGUCUGGGUAAUUGUGGAGUCGAUGAGCGCUUCAAGGUUUAUAAAGUGCGUCACCGUUGGUGACGGAGCUGUCGGCAAAACAUGUUUGCUGAUUUCUUACACCAGCAACACCUUUCCCACGGUAAUUGUGAUUGGUUUGAUUCUGUUUUUUUGUCUGAUUCAAAAAAAAAUCUGGCUUUUUGGGCGAUCUAUGUUAAUGAUGUGAAUAUUCCAUGGAACAGGAUUAUGUGCCGACUGUGUUCGAUAACUUUAGUGCAAAUGUGGUUGUUAACGGGAGCACGGUGAAUCUUGGAUUGUGGGAUACUGCAGGUAAAAUGACGCAAAACUCAUCAACCUUGCGGAGAGCUUAGUGCAAAGGUCUGAAUUUUUUAUUUGAUUUUGAUUACAGGGCAGGAGGACUAUAACAGAUUAAGACCUUUGAGUUACCGUGGUGCUGAUGUUUUCAUCCUAGCCUUCUCUCUCAUUAGUAAGGCUAGUUAUGAGAAUGUUUCCAAGAAGGUGAGUUUUCAUCUUGCUGUUCGCCACUUUCUAAAUUUGAACAAGGGACUUUCCAAGUCUUUUUUUUUUUUGGUGUUGUAAAAUUUGGUGCUUGCGCUUCUGUUUUACAGUGGAUCCCAGAGUUGAAGCACUAUGCUCCUGGUGUCCCAAUUGUCCUUGUUGGUACCAAACUAGGUAAGUUACCCUCGCAUUUGCUUGGUUCUCUUUCAAAUUUGUACAUUUUCAAGAUGGGUCCAUUAGCUGAAACCGAGGCUAGUUUUCAGAGUAUAUAUAACAUUGGUCAACAGGAUUCUUCUUGUAUAUUGCAUUUCUUGUGAUAAGCAACCAUAUGCUAUAACCUUCUUGUGAUGACCUUUUAAAACUUUUAGUAACCUAUGGUUCGACUAUAGAUUCCUCUUAUUUUCUGCAUCUGGCUGAAUCUUUGGUGUCUGCAACUUGAUUCGUGGAUUUUUUAACCUUGGUUUGUGUCAGAUCUUCGGGAUGACAAACAGAUUUUUAUCGACCAUCCUGGUGCUGUCCCUAUUACCACUGCUCAGGUAAGAAUACUUCAUUUCCUCGGUGCAAUUCUCUCAGUUUUGAAAAAAAAAAAAAAUGUUAAAUCAUUUGCCCGCUCUGCAUUAAAGGGAGAGGAGCUCAAGAAGCUAAUUGGAGCGCCUGCUUACAUCGAGUGCAGUUCAAAAUCACAAGAGGUAAAGAGAAAACACGUCUUACGAAUCAAAUUUUGAAUGUUGCCUUUCAUCUUUUUGAUGAAAACUAUGUGGUUAAACUGCAGAACGUGAAGGGAGUCUUCGAUGCAGCGAUCAGAGUAGUCCUUCAACCUCCAAAGCAGAAGAAAAAGAAGAGCAAAGCACAAAAGGCCUGCUCCAUUUUGUAAUAGCUUUCAUGGAGGCCAAGAAGCUCUUUGAAAUGUCGAUGACAGGGUCGCUAAGAAAAUAUUGCGUUUUCAUUUUUUUGUCUUUUGUUUUCCGUAUUCAUUGUGAUUGCUCUCUCUCUCGUAGUUCCUUUAAAAACGAAUUGUGGGUUUCAUUUAGCUAAUAUUGCAGUUGGAGUGUCUCUCUUCCAUUCUAAAUGUAUGUACAACAUGAUGAUAUGUAAUCCCAAUUCUCAUGAAAAAUUCCAUCUUGUAGAAAAAAUUUCAAUUUUUCAGCAAGAGAGAUUAAGGCGUUAUACUGAUAUUACUAUAUAAGUAACCGCAAAAAACAACAAACAGUGGUCUCAUACAACCUUAUAAGGCUAAACCAAAAAAUGUCUGGUCCGAGUCCGGUACAUGGAUAUCUCGACCAGGUUCCUUGUUAAAAUCUCCCUGCUCUUUGACAUUAUCAGAAAGGGACGGUGUAAGGUAAGGCAUGAACAUCAGCUUCUAAUAAAAGGCGAGCACGUGGCCACGCCACUGAACUGCUUAUUACUUCCUUGGUCUCAUUGUUUCUACUAAGCUGUUUGCAUCUUUCUGUGCCGAAAUUGUGGCUACUUGGCUUAUUCAUGGACCACCAACAUUCUUCAUCUUCAGAGUUAAUGAGCUCUACUCUUCUCUCGAUCGUGCUAGGGACCCAAUUCUCAACUACAUUCAAGAAUUGCACAGCCAUGGAUGGAGGGCAAAUCCUGCACAGGCUUGAAGGUUGAAAAGUUUCUUGGCUAGUAGGUUUAAAUUUCUUCUCUUUAGCGAGUUUCGUUGUGAAAACGUGAUCUCUUCUUUUCUCUUCAAGUGGCUUUGAAGCAUGUCCUGGUGCAGAAGUGGAACAAGGUUGUUGCUGUUUCACCGGCUGCUCUCUAGUAUCACGCUGAGAGGUAUCUAACUUUGUUUCCCGGGAAGGACACAGUUUUUGUUGAUCGUUGUUGGUCAUCGUCAUCAACUCAGGAUCUUUAAGCCUUCGGAGAGGCAAUCGGAUCCGAAUGAUGCUUUCUUCAAAUUCAUACCAACAAUUUGAAGAAAUAAUGUCAUCAAUGUCCUGAAAAGGCAAAACAAGAAUAGUAGAUCCUUCCCGGGGAAGGAAGAAACACAAACAAACUCACCAGAGUCAUUGUUACGUCUACCAUCGAGAGGCUGCUUCUCCUUCUGCUUAGGUAACUCAUUGCUGUUAACAGUGCUGUCACAAGAGUUCUGAGACGUCGACGGAAGCAGCUCACGUUCUACAGUAAGGCUACUCUUCUCCAAACAGUCAUUUUCCCUUUCUUUUAGUUUGCGAAAAACAUCAACUUUCUGAUUCUGACUAUCUUUGGCACCUUCUUCUUUAUGCCGUCUCUUAUGUCUGUGCUUUUCGCUUUCACCAUCCCCUCUUUCCCUCUCCUUCCUCUUUUUCUCCUUCUUCUCCUUCUUAGCUUUCUUAUCUUUUUUAUCAUUUUUAUCCUUCUUCUCUCUUUUUCUCUCCUUCCUCCGUUGUUCUUUCUUAGCUUUUUCCUCUGCCCCCUGGAUUUUCAAAAGCAAUGGGACAACGAUUAGUUCGCAGAACCUGACGAAUUUAAAGAAUUUCGAAAACAUGCACUCAGAUAGAUAAACCCUUUGCGCACCACUAACUUACUCAAUGCACUUGAAUCGUAUUUUGAUAUUGUCAUCUCAAAACGGGACCCGGUUAAAAUUGUGACAUUGAAUCGUAUUCGUGCUUUGAAUUAUAAUAGUACAAUUUGUAUUAUCGUUUUCGAUAAGAAAAUUAUCACACUCUAUUUCCAUCUUUCAUGACGAAAAAUAUCCAUAGACUCAACAAACCCUCCUAGAACACAGACACCAGAGAACUGGAAAUGAGGUUCGAGAAACCAAACACACAAGGAAGCUGAGCAUUGGAAAUCCCGUGAACCCAAAAGCCAAACCCGAAACCACGUGAUUAAAUGCUCAAACAAACCUUGAUCGAUUCGAUCAGAGCCUCAUCGCGAAUUCCGUUCAGUAUAUAGCCAGGUGGCGGGAACGGGAAACACCGAGACAUCUUAAGAUUAAGGACAAAAUCCAAGCAACAAACAAAAUAUUGGAUGCUAAGAAGAUGACUCGGAAUCAAUACGGGACAAUGACGAAAUCUCAGAUCUCGCUAAGACCAGCGAAACCCUAAAUCGAUCACGAGGGACACCGAGUGGGUUUAAAGUAAGAUAUUGGGGCUUCUAAUAACGCGCCAAAAUCAAAUCUAAGAAGUUACAGUAGAUUAGCCAUGGAUCAGAGGUAUUAGUUGAGCGGAGAGGAACGAAGGAGCCGCGAGAUCUCAAAAUCCCUUCGAAGCUCUCUCCGAUGAAAAAAGUGUUUAUUCUCAAGACAUGUAAGCUAUAUUUAUAACCAAAAUAAGAUUGACCCUACACGGGACAAAAAGCGUGUUUGGCUACAGGCAUAGUUAGACAACGGCAUCGUAUGAUUACGUAGACAUUUCUUCUCCUUAUUAAUACCCGCUUUAGUGACGGUUGUUUGGCAAAUAAGCCCAUGAGACCAAAACUAGGCCCAAAUAUAUCGGAGGCCUUAGAAAAUAAAUUUGCGGCCUUACAUCCAUGGAGAGAUGUUUUAUGAAGUAGCUAAAAGAGGUUUACAUUAAGGUACAGAAUCCGGUUUUUGUUUCAAUAGUUUAAGAUUUUCAAAUACAUUUUACAAUUCAUCCCGUCUUUAAUUAUUUGUUGUCAUGAACUCGACGAGGCUACCGUCUUCAAUUUCGGUAGGGUUUAAUACUUUAAUUCACGGAAAAACUUAAUAGCCACCAUUAAUAUAAGAAGAACGCAAGCAAAAACAAUAAAGGGGGAAAGAAACCAAUGAUCCAGAGUUCCAGACAAAUGCAGAAAAUAUACACAAGACUCAACUGACCAAUUCAAAAAAAAAAAAACUUGCUUAUUUAUGACAAACUCAGAUGACUUAAAACUUAAAAACCUUAAGAUGAGACGACUACGCGCCAUGUAAACCUAAAACCCUGUACUAGCACUGCUACAAAACUUGCAUGCUACUUACUCUAUAGUCUAUAACUGAAGAAGAUGAUGACGAUGAUGAUGAUGAUGAAGAUGAUCAUGAACAAUGAUCAAGGCGAUAAAAACAAACAUAAUAUGAACAGAGAAGGAAAAGCAAUAUGAAGCGUCUGACUGCAGCAAGUGUAAUCAGCGAAGGUUGUUUUGAGCAACAGCUUGACAUAACUCAUCCUCGUAAAAAAGCACUCGAGGGUGCUUUGGAGCCAGUGGUUUGAACAAAGUCGGCCUUUGGAGAACAGAAGGAACCAUGCAUCUUGAAGGGAAUGUUGUCUGGUCUUGGAAAAGAACAGCAGUGAUUUGCUUCAUCUCUGUGAAUUUCGUUCGACAAGGCGGCCGAGGAGCAUGUUUUGGUGCUUUUGGGGUAUGUGGGCUAGGCAUGAUUGCUAGGUUUCCAUCUUCUUUGCUGUUUAUUAUAAUCAAUAAAGUUUUUGGUAAGAGCCAAACAAGUUGUUUGAUGCUCUCUUCGAAAGGGUAAAAACUGAAGCAAAACAUAUACCUAAGAAAUGGCCAACGAUUUAUUGGCAUUGGGGUAAUGACACUCAACAUUUCCUGUCUUGAGCGGUCUGGUGUUGUAUAGUUGAAAUGAUAUUGUCGUGCGAUCAAGGUCUGUUUCAAAAGGAAACUCAAAACAGAUUAAUACCCAACAAAGUAAAACAGCAAAAGGAUUAGAGACUUUUAUGGAUGCAAAGUAAACAAGUACAGAACACUUACAGCCUUCCUUAUUCUCUGAGAAACAUGGAAAACUGCCUUCAGCUGGUCAUGGUGCAGAUGACAAACUAUUUUAACCUGGAAGAUUUAGCAAGAUGAAAAUAAGCAUCGAGGCAAUCAGAUGACUACCAAAAGGAACAAGUGAAGCGAAGGAAGACGAAAAAAUACCAGUAAAUCCAUGGGUAGAGAUUCAAACUGAGAUUCUGAGUUGCAAGGAUCAGCUUGUGGUGUUUUUGGUGUCCUCACCAACGUGUUUUGCAUAACAAUACCCAUCGGAGAUAACAUCAGAGGAUUUUUCUUACAAACCUUGCUCUCCACCUCCAGAUCAUCAAACUUCAUUGGCCUCACCAGGUUACUCCGCUUAACGAUGUUGACUGGCGACAACAUCAGAGGGCUUUUCGGAGAAUUGUUAUGUUCAGCUGCAAUUUUAGUGUUCCUUGUGAGCUUGGUAUCAAACACAGGUACUCGUUUCUUCCCCAAAUCCAGGUCAUUGCAUGACUUAGCAGCAGCCGAAGCUUUGCUGUAACAUAGCUGAACAAGAGCCCCUGGCUUUAAAUAUUUGUUACUUGAACUUUUCAACUUCUUUUUUCUCGCUGAGAUUUUCGAAUCCGAGUCCUUUGGUGAUACCUUCCCCAUACGAGUUGAUCUUCUUGAUCCUCCCGAUUGUUUAAGAAGACACUGCUCUCUCUAUAGCCAGUGAGAGCUACUACAACUGUCUCCUAUAGAUUAACUACCAAUACGACUAUUGGAAACAACGGAAAUUAUCAAUCCAGACCUGAAACAUUCAGAUUAAGAUACAUUAGAUAUCGGAAAUCUGGUUCGCAUCGAUAGUCUCCAGAUAUUUGCUCACGCUAUAUCAAAACAGACUAAUUACGGAUAACGAAAUUGAAAAAUCAUAUCCAGCCAAUUUAUCAACCAAAUUAACUUGUUAAACUAAAAAUCAAAUCAAAAGGUGUAGGCGAAUCUCGAGAGAAUCGAGCGAGUUUAAACCCUCAAAAUCGAAAAGGAGAGAAGGAAAGGAGAAGGAAUUACCAUAGAUUAACAGAGACCUCCUACUUCGGAAAACUUUCAGAUCGAGAAAGAUUCAGCUUUAGAUUAGAAAAUCGGGAGAUUGGAGAGGGUGAGAGAGGAAGCUGAAUAUCCAGAGAGCGAAAAUGGAGGCAGAAGCCAGAAAUGGCGAUAGCGAGGGAAGCGAUUUGAGCGAGAGAGGGAGAGAGUGAAAAAAAAAAGAGGCGCUAGGGUUUUGUUUUAAUUUUGGCUCUGAUUUUGAAUUUUGUUAAUUACGCCCGCCAAAACAAUUUCUAAAGCACUACAAUUACCAAAGUAAUCUCGAAACGUGGUACGUUACUAGUGGCUAACCCUAAAUUAUCGGAGACGUGGGACCUAUUUUCACUAUCCACUAGCUGCUCUACCAAAUUUAACGGCGGAGAUUGCGCAGUCACGCUUUUUUGGCGAAAAAGAUACCGUAAUUAGCAUGAUUAAAUUGAUUGUUAUAAGGACACAUUAAUCUUUAUCACGCCUUAUUAAUUACAAAGGUGGCUCCUCUUGUGAUGUUUCUUUUUCGGAAAUUUUUCUCUCCUAUCAAGUGUACUAACUGAUUGAAUAAAUUCAAAAUUCGGAAAACUGUAUCUACACAAAACUUUUCGAUGAAUCACAUAACUGUAUAUGAAUUUCCAUUUUCCUCGUGAUUAUUUUAAUUUCCCUUUGUCGUUGAUUCACGCGCGUUGUAUUUUGGUAUCAUAUCUUUUUUUCUCGCUCUGAUUGACGAUGAUAAAUUAAACAGUUGUCUAGUAAAAGUCCAUAUCGAUUUGGGCUUACUAAUCUAUUAUUUCAGCCCAUUAUAAAAUGACAGUUUUUUGUUUCCGCUCAAGUUCAAACAAUCCAUUUGUAAUCAAACCAUAAAACGAAAAUAAAUUUUAAAUAAAAAACCUAUAACACAUCAGCUGUUAGCCUGUUACUAUGGAGAAACUACUAUAUAAGAUAAUAAGAAUAUGCAAAAUCAUUGAAAAAUUCACGGGGUAUCCUAGUUCGUAUGAUUCUUCAUCCUAGUUCGUAUGAUACUUCAUAAGUUAUAUAAUAUUUUGGUUCACGGGCUCUUAAAGCUCUAUGUUAGGGGUUGAUUAGCACAUGGGUUUUUAUUUAAUUCUUACAGAUACAGAUAUAUAUAUAGUAUAUAUAUUACUAUAUAUAUGUAUUUAUAGUGUGUGUAUGUGUGUAUUUAUACUGCAUCUAAGAUUUAGAUGUGUUUUUUGUCAACAUGCGAAUUAGUGUUUAUUACAUGUUUUAUAAAUCUCCUGUGAAAUUUUGAAUUGGAAGUUGACAAAGAUAAAAUUUAAAAUGUUGGUUUAAUAAAGAAUAUUUAUAUGUAUGUAAAUGUGUCAACAUACGAAUUAGGUUUUUUAAUAUAUAAUUUACCUUUUUAUUUCAUUUGGCCCUUAUCUACAAAGUAGGUUGAUGCUUGGUUGCACCCAAACAAAAAAGUGUGUUGAUGCUUAUAGUUUAAUAUUUAAAUUUAUUUGACCAGAAGUAAUGCAGAUUUUGAGGUGUGCGCUUCUUCGUUAUAUAAUUGUUAAUAAAUCGAUCCCGACAGAGUGUUAGACAUUCGAUGAUCAUUUUCACUAACAUAACCCCAGAAAAUUAGUCAAAGUACAGUAUAAACACCUUUGUUUAGUAGUGGUAUGUGUGGAAAAUUUAGCUGUCCCAUUUAUUGUUACAGAUAAGGACAUUUGAAGACAUUUAUUUAAUUAUUUUAGUAUAAAGUAAGAUGCACGAUUAUUCCCAACUAAAUUCAUGGACACUAUCGACCAAACAACUAAAGCAACAGUUUCUCUAUCUUAACUACCUCCUAUGAGAAGUAUAUUUCUUACUUUUACAAUUAUGACAUAUACAUUUACAUUGUAUAGUAAUGUCAAUUCGUUUGUCUUAGUUCGUUUGAAACGUUUAGUUAAAAAAUCAAUUCCGUUUCCUUAAUUUGUUCGCUGCUCAACCCAUUCAAUAGAGUAAAUCCGUUUCGCCGGCGUGCAAGUGGUAAUCGAAGAAUUGAAUGCACGCACAUACGUAAAAUAGUGGUAUUAAUUUUAAAUCACCAUGAAUUCUAAAUUUAGAAUUUGCACAGAACCUCUACCGAUUAAAAAUAUUAAUUUAAAUACUCUUGUAAAAUACAUCAAAAUAUUCAGCAAUUAGCUUGUAAUUUUGUAAAGCAAAGGCGUGUUACCAAAAUUUGUAGUAAAUUAGUAAUAAAGCAACCAUCGUCUAUCAAAAUAUUCCUUUGUUGUUUUCUUUAUGUCGUAUGUACACACGCACAUUCUCAAAUAAAAACGGGUUCUAUGAUACGGAACUUCCAUUGGACUUUCAUUUGCAGUUUUGGUUGUGACGUGUGGGUUGAAUACAAAGAAGAAACAACUGGACCAUUAACAAGAUUAUAUACAUUUAUUUUCAAUAUAUAUGUUGGUCAUUGUCAUGGAGCAACUGUAAUAUUAACAGUUUUACAGAAACUGCUACUUUGGCUAAAAUGAGUAAGAUACUUUUUGGGGGAAAAAUGGUUACAUUUAUGAUUUUUGUAUGGGAGAGUAAACGCAUGGUAUAUAGGCACUCUCAAAAAAGGAAGAGGGCGUAGCAGUCCUACUCCACCAGGACCACCACCACCACCAAUGUCCACCCUUUCCACACAUGCAUUUUGUAUACCUGCCAAUAUAUUUAUAAUUUCUUGUAGUUAUAGGUUAUAUAUAUAUAUUAUUACAUAUAAAAUUAAUAUAUGUAUAUAUGUUUUAGAUAAGCGUGCGAAAACUAACAAAAUAAUUUUUAGAAACAAAAUCUCAUUUAAUAAUUAGUUAAAAACACACUUCAAUUAAUUAUCAAAAACCUAGAGAAUAGUCAAAUAUGCUAAUCAUAAAAAUAACAUGAGAAUAACAUUAAAAAUAAAAAACUAUGUUGGGAUGAUCUUUGCAAUCACUUGCUUGUCGUAAAAUAGCAAAACAUAUUUGUUUCGUAAAAUAUAAAUAAAUUAUUUAAUGAAAAUAUUAUGUUAACAUUUUAGUUUUUCGAUGAUUAGCGGCUCAUGAAACAGAUGCUUGCUUUUUUUUUUUUAUAAGCAUAUCACUUGAUCAGCGUAAAAUGAUAACACUAGUUUACUGCAUUUUAGAAUUCAUAUUAUUUGUCAACGGAGAUGUGAAGACAAUAAGAUAUAAUCUGUGGGGUUUUUUGUCGACGUAGUUUUAAAAUUUGAAAGAUAGAUAGCAUGAUCUUUUUCGUCGUCUAAAAAUAAAAAUAGCAUUCUUUUCUUUGUUUUGUGUCUUGAAAUCUAGAUAUAAAUAUGUACAAAAAUAUUUUGGCCAAAAAGAAAUCCCAAAAGAAAUAUGUACAAAAUAUUUCAUCAAAAGACACCCAAUAGUAUUAGUUUACCGUCAGUUUCGCCAGCUGUCUAUAAUACAAUCAUGGUAAUCCACGUGCAGCAAGAUCGAUAUGUGGAGAAAUUAAUUAAAUCAAUGUAUAUACUAUAUAGAAUGAAGAGGGCAUGAUUAACAUAACUGCAUUUCAAAGACAAAUCAAUUUCAACCGAAAAAGGUCUAAAGGUGAAUUUGUUUGUGAUGGACGGACUACCCUUCCUAUCUUAACCACCAUCAUUACUACAAUGACUGUAAUUCAAAGACAAAUCAAGUUCAAGCGAUCACGUCUCACUUUGAUCUCUAUUUAAUUGUUUAAAAAAGAUGCUAUUGUUUACUAUAAAUUUUCUUAUAGUAUCACGAAAUGAAACCACAAGUAAACGGCCCACCUAUUGAACCUCUAAUAGAAAAAAGACUCAAAUUCGUUUAACGUGAUGUUGAAACACAAUUUUUAGUCUAAUUACAGUUACAUAUCAAGUUGGGUUAGUUAAUUUCCUCUGAAUUACUGAAAAGGGGAAAAAUGUUAAUAUGCCACCUAACAGUUUUUCCAAUCAUCGAUUUCUUCUUAGUGGUUUGGAUUUAAUCGCAAAGUACAUAUAAUAUAAAUUAUUGGUUCUAGUAAUUGGAAUUGUUGGUAUAAACAUUUACUACUUAAAAAUAAUAUGUUCACGCCGUUGUGCCUUAUAAUUCGUUUCAAACGAUGUCAACUGUAUGCCGACAUAAAAAAAAAAAAAAAAAGACAACAAGGUCAUAUACAUCUUAGCAAGCCAAUAGGACUUUAGCCAUUCUUAGGAUUUAACCGGACAGUAAUAUUUCAACGGUGCUUAUUUAUAGUAAAUCUCAUACUUCGAAAUAUUAUUAAGGUAUAAUUAGUAGUCUACACAUGGUCUCUUCUUUCUCUUGCACGAUAACGUAACGUGUAUCUAGCUCCCAUUAGGUACUGUAAGUCUGUAAUUACGUAACAAAACACGUUACAACCUAAUUAGGAUUUAUAAACUUCAUAAUUAGGAUGGUUAAAAAGGAAAAAUCACGGGUGGAUUAUUGGUAAAUAGAGAGAGUUGGGAAGGGCCUAUCGGUAAAUACAAGCAAAAGCAGGAUGGGUUGGGUUCUCUUCAGCUCCGACGAGUGGCAAAAUGAAGGUGUGGGGAAAGCUAAUGAAGAAAUACAUAAAUCGACAAAAACAAACCGUCUUCUCCAUAUGACUCAUCUCUGCCUCUGGAUACUCUCUUGACGCAGAGAAUCUUCUCUCUGCUCUUCUUUCGAAGACAACGACGAAGAAAUCUCCUGGUGAUUUGCUCUGCAUUUUUCCCGGAAAACUUAUAUUAUUCUCUGUAAAUGUUCUUCUUCCUCUUUUUCAAUCAAUAUUCUAACAUUUUUUUUCUUCUUUUUUUACUAAUUAAAAUAGGAAGUCGUGAAGAGGAAAAGUAUAACUGUUGCCUUCUUCAAUGCACUAAGUGAGCAUUCCAAUAUUGUUUCCUCUCUCUUAAUUUUUCUCUAUAUUUUUUUUUCUGUGAUUUUUUUUAUCUAUAGCAUCUUCCUUCUAAUUUGAACUCCGGCGGAGGAGUUUGGUCGCCGGCUAAUUGUUCUCUCACCUGACAUUCGUCAGAGGUUUUACUGUUCAUUGCUAACCUUCUUUUUCUUUCUGGUCUUCACAUUUUCUCGCUUUCGCUUUCGUCAGCUUCAAGUGUUCAAAUAGAAACCGUCUUUAGGGAUUUUUUAAUUUUCUUUUUGGCGUUGAAGAUCUUUGACGUAGAAAAGCCUAAGGACCUGGAGAAUCUCUUUGAAUUGGAAUCUUAUGGACUUUUCCUUUUCUUCUUUGUUGUCGCAGUCGAAGAAGCUGCUCCCUGUUUAGUCAAGUCACGCUUCACUCACUCAUGAUGCGAUUUCUCAACUGAUUAUUCCUCUGAAACAUCCGAAUCUCCGUGCGGUGACCUCUGAUUCGGCGUCGGAAUCUGGCUCCUCCUCGAUCUCAAUCAGCAAUGCCGGCGUUGGAUCGAAUUCUCUGAUUCCGGUAAUUUCCAAAAAUUUUAGCUCAGUCGAGGUAAAAUUUCGAACAAUCUCGAUAAUCCCAACUUUUGGAUCUUAGAAUCUGCUAAGACUUAACGCGAGUGAUGAUGAAUCGGUACCAACAGGAACUUUUCCAAUCGCUUUGAAGAGAGCCGAAGAAAAUGUCUCAUUCAUGGGAUGGUCUCGGGGAGAUUGCGUCAGUGGCUCAGCUCACUGGGCUAGAUGCCGUCAAGCUGAUAGGGCUUAUAGUUAAAGCUGCAAACACUGCUUGGAUGCACAAGAAGAAUUGUCGCCAAUUCGCUCAACAUCUCAAACUCAUCGGGAAUUUGCUUGAACAGCUCAAGAUCUCUGAGAUGAAGAAGUAUCCAGAGACUCGAGAGCCUCUCGAAGGGCUCGAGGACGCUUUGAGGAGGUCUUACAUUCUCGUCAACAGUUGUCGUGACCGGAGCUAUCUCUACUUGUUGGCUAUGGGAUGGAACAUUGUUUACCAGUUCAGGAAAGCUCAGGACGAGAUUGAUCGUUUUCUUAAGAUCAUACCGCUCAUCACUUUGGUGGAUAACGCUCGAGUUAGGGUAAGUUGUCUCAAGAUUCACUACUUGGUGCUUAAACAUGGAAUUAUGGUUUUUUGACUUUUGAAAUUUGGAUAAUUAUGUACAGGAGAGGUUAGAAUAUAUUGAUCGUGAUCAGUUCGAGUACACCCUUGAUGAAGAGGAUAGACAUGUGCAAGAUGUUAUUCUGAAGCAAGAAUCUACCAGAGAAGCAGCAUCAGUGCUGAAGAAGACUCUCUCUUGCUCAUACCCUAAUUUGCGUUUCUGUGAUGCUCUCAAAACAGAAAACGAGAAACUGCAGCUCGAACUUCAGCGUUCGCAGGAGCAUUAUGAUGUGGCUCAGUGUGAAGUCAUUCAGCGUUUAAUUGGUGUUACACAAACUGCUGCUGCUGUUGAUGACUCUGAGAAGCAGCUGUCUAAGAAAGCUUCGAAGAAAAAUGAGCGUAGCUCAAGCAAUAAGACAGAAUAUUCCUAUGACGAAGAUUCUCCCAAGAAAAGCAGUAGUCGUGCACCUUCGAGGUUAGAAUCUCCAAUUUGUUCCGCUUAUAAUAUCCAAACGUCAUGUGCUUUCUUUAAAUGCAACUUGUGUGUAUUGUCUAGUUACAAAAAUAUUAUAUUGUGAUUAUAAUCUCCAAUUCUUUGCUGUGACUGUAAUGCGUUCAGUUCUGUUUCAUGGUUGAAGAUUAACAUUGAUUACAUAAUUUGUUCCAUGCAGAUCUACUUCUUCUGUUACAUCAGGGCAUGAUCUGCUUUCACGAAGAGCAUCACAGCACCAUGAAGAAUGGCAUACCGACUUACUGGCUUGUUGCUCGGAACCUUCUCUUUGUAAGCCCCCUCUUCUUGUUUCCACUUUGUUUUCUCUGUUAUAUAGACAACUAGCGUUUUAUCAUUCCAUACAUUCUUGUUAUCUGUAAAGUAGUGAAUGAUUCAAUGAUGGAACCGCAGGCUUGAAGACAUUCUUUUUCCCGUGUGGUACUUUAGCCAAGAUUGCCACUGCAGCAACUAACAGGCACAUCUGUAAGGGAUAUAUGUAAUACCGUCUGCUUUAUUAUGAUUCAAUCCGUUACAUGUGACAAAGCUGACUUUUUUUUCUUCACUCUCCCAGCUUCAGCUGAAGCAUGUAAUGAGCUAAUGGCAUAUUCUUUGAUACUUUCCUGUUGCUGCUACACUUGUUGUGUAAGGAGGAAACUCCGGAAAACACUGAACAUCACGGUACAUUCUCUUCCACUCCCUUAAAUCUUUAUCGAUCUUAAUAAGCUUUGGUCCCCAAACAUUUAUAUGCUUCCAAGAAAAUUGUUAGCAUGCAAAACAAGAAAAAAGAAAUUUUUUAUGAAAUUAGUAACUAAAAUGGUAUGAUAAUGAAAGGCCUAUGUUUAUGUCACACGAUGUACAUUUUUGGAGGAAUGCUAAUGUUUUCUUCUUUUGCAGGGAGGGUUCAUUGACGAUUUUCUAUCUCAUUUGAUGUGUUGUUGCUGUGCUCUUGUCCAAGAACUUCGAGAAGUUGAGAUUCGUGGGGCUUAUGGUAUGAAUGAUAUAAAUACAUCUUAACAAAAUUUUGGUUAUAAACUUAAAGCACGAACAAAGAUCGUCUCUUGAUAUGCUCGCAGGUACGGAGAAGACGAGAGUAAGCCCGCCUUCGUCGCAGUUCAUGGAACAUUGAAUCAUAUCCAAUUAUACUAAAAGGUGAACAAAACAAAGCUAUGUUGUCUCUCUGAAUAUGACACGAUAUUCUUCGUCAUACUACUUACUGUCUUUUGUUCUUAAGGCGUUGUCGUAUGUAAAUUAGUUUGGGAUUGCUUUCAAUAUUUCUCUGCAAUUGUGUUGUGCAUCAUAGACAACAGACUAACUAAUUCUCUUCUUUAACUUCUAUCAUAUGAUAGGGGUAUUACGUUUACGGGUUCCCACUUGGACAAAAAGUUGACGUUUCGGGUCUAGAUAGUAAUUUUUUUUAUAUAAUUUGAGGAACAUGCUACAUAGUCAAUUUGCUUGUGGAUAAACAAUACAUAGAAGAACCUAAGGAAAUUCUUUGAUGAAGAAUACAUCAGAGUUAUCAACAGUAGCUAAAAGCCUAAAUAAACGGCAAAAACUGAUAUGACUUAUGAUAUAGCAAUCACUUGGACAAAACUUGUCGGGACUUUUUUUAGGGAUGCUUCCAAAAUGCACAUAUGUACCUAUCGAUACCAUUUACGUAACGUAUGUUGUUAACUGUUGUUAUCCAACGAAAAUUGGUUCUACUUUUUCAUUCCUCGGUCUGGAAAUAAGAACGCUUUUUUGUUUUUACCCUAAAUGUACAAUGUGUGAAAAGCAAUCUACUUUUAAUAACGAACAAUUGUAAAUGGUGGUAGUGGGCUAGUACUUGAGGCCUUGUUGGUUCCUGUGGGGGAAUCAAAUUCUCUGAAGAAUGGAAUUAUUUUGAUAUUUCAUGGCUUGGCCACGCCACCUGUAGACGUAAGUGGUAAGAAUACUGGAUUUCGGGGAUUAAAAUCUCGAUUAUCAAAAUACAAUAAUGAACAAAUUUUUUUAUUUUCAAUAUAGAUCAAUGACUUAUGCAGAUAAUCAUAUAAUUUUGAUUAUAAUAUUGAUGUUAUCUAUUUUUUUUUUAAUAUAUGUUUUUUUUUGUUAAAGAAUUUUAAUAUAUGUUUGAAAGAUAGUAUCUACUAAUAAACUAAUUAGACAGUUUAUGCAAGGUCACCGAUCAACGUUUUGUAAACUAUAAACAUUGUUCGAUGAAUCCUAUCAGUGACAAGACUCUAUUCCCCGAAGAAAGAGAGGCUUAUCUAUCUUUUAAUAUCUGAACAAAUUGCUGGCAUAGUUGUAAACAAUAAAGAUGGAAGGACUAAUCCGUAAUAAAAAUUUGAUGGGCUAAUCUAUGAAAUAUUAAGAAUUUAGGGGCAUUGUUGGAAACUUUCAAAUUGAUAGGGAGUCCUGCCAAAACGGCGUUUUGCGUUUUAUUCCGGUCAGGGACAAACACUCCCCUUUGGCUUUUUUUCAGAAAUCAAAACCAUCGCUCUCUUCAAGUUUGCCGGAGAUCGGGGAAAAUCCAAAAAUUCCGGAGAGAGCUAAAGCUCAAAGCUCAAAUAUGGUGAGAAUAAGCAGAGUGUUACUAAAAGACGCCGGAAUUGCAAUCGACAAGACUCUGUCCGAGAUUCUGGUGUGUCCUCUCUCCAAGCAACCCUUGAGGUUCGAUUUCUCUCCUUCAGUUUUAUACAUUUUCUCAUUAGUAGGCAGAUUCGAUGCGACUCCCAAGUUUCUGAAGAAAUCGUUUAAGCAGUUUUGACGAAUUGUUUUUUUUUUAAAAGGGUCUGCGAGAAGACGAAAUCAUUGGUCAGCGAUACAAUUGGUGUCUCUUUUCCUGUAAGCUCCAAAAAUUCAUGUUUUAGACAAGUCAAUUUCAAUCAAAAGCGUUUCCGAUUUUUUCGAUUCAGAUCAGUUUGAUUAUUGCUGAAAAAAGAGAGGUGCUUGUGUUGGUGUUGAGCUCCAUGAAAGUUAAGAUGUAUGGCUCGUACUAACUAAGGCUGGAAAAGUAUUGCAAUCCACUAUCAUAUAUGCUUUGAGAAUCAUAUUUCGGAUUAUAUGAACAUGUUCUGUUCCCAACUUUUGAUCUUUAUAGAAUUGUCAAAUCGGUGAUUGAGAUAGAUAUAUAGAGCUGGAUUCUUUUUUUAUUUCUCGUUUGCUUCAUAGUAAAUAAAGUUACAAAAAGAAUCUAUACUUUUUUUUUUGGUGUCGAUUUACACUGAUAGAAUAAUCAUAUGCUAAUGUGAUUGGUCAGCCGAUUUCUUCUUAAUCAUAUUCACUUCACCUGGCCACCACCAUGAUUCAGUGUUUAAGUCUUGGUUUUGCAUCUUAAUCAUAUUCUUCUUGUUCUUUUAGCUUUCACUUCAUGUUCACGAUUCAGACUUGAUUUUGCUUCUCUUAACACGCCAGGUAAAAGAUGGGAUUCCAUGCUUGGUUCCAAAGGAUGGAAAAAUACUUGAGGAGGCAUCAAAAGCUUAAUGAUUUUUUGCUUUUGCACCCAAAAAAAUAAAAUAAAAAUAGAUCAGAGUGAAGGUAGCAACUUUGUUGCACCGUAUCUGCAGUGACUUAUCCUCAUCAAUGGUUCGUUCUGUCCUUAUGUAAUAGUUCUCUCUGAAUUAAGCUUAAUUUUUUUUAUGGGAAAUAUUGAUGUAAGCAAUUGAAAGAUACUCGAGGUGUGGUUUCAGGUGAAUGUACCGACGUAUUCUUCUUAAGUUUCUGGGUACUUAAUUUUCUCGAAGUCUAGGAGCCUCAUUGACUGGAAUGAUGCUAAAAGCAUGAUUUAAAGUAAUGGAUUCAUAUUUGAGGGGCUCUAAGAAUUACCAUAUAAUGUGAGGAUAUAUAUUCUAGUCAUAGCCCCACUUUUGGUAACUAUUCUUCUCUAUCUUAAUCCCACACCAUAUUAGCUCUUGAUGUCCACUUUUGGUUGCUUAAAAGAAUACACAACAAAAUCUCAAAUGACCGUAAGUGGAUCAAGAAUCUUCUUGGACAUCAUCAACUUGACUUAUUAUCACUGACAGGUAACUGAUCUGGGACCAAAAGAGGAUAAAACAAUUCUCUUGAUAAACCAAAUGCACACAAACACACAUAGUGUUUGUGAUGAUAACUAGUGUAGCAAAAGAGGAUAAAACUAUUUUUUUUGAUAAACCAAAUGCGUAUAAAAACACCUAGCGUUUGAUGAUGACUAGUAUAGCAAAAGCUACAGUACAAUAAAAUAAGUAAAACGUGGGUGGUGACCAGAACAGGACUAAACCUACCAUGUUCUCUCUUGACCAAACCAAAAAAAGUGGGCUGACUUACUUCCCAUUGGCUUGGAGGUUUCAAUUUCAUAGUGCAAGUUGUUGGCCUGUAUGGUAGCCAGCCAAAGGAAUGGACAUUUUUGGUGAUAAUGGGGCAGGGAGAAACAUAAAUGCUCAGUGACAGGUCCCCUUCUCUCUUUUCUUUGGUAUUGUCAUCAUUUAAGUGGAGCACUGUUUUGUCUAUUGAAUCUUUGCUUCUUUUGAGAACCAAAUGCGUUAAAUCUUUGCUUCUUUUGAGAACCAAAUGCGUUAAACGGUAAAACAUAACUGGUUUUUUUUUUUUUUUUUUUUUUAAACUAGCAUUAGAAGAGGAAGAAGCCAUUACUACAAGAAUACAAGUAGAAGUUAGUACAGCAGUGAAAAAGGAUUGAAUAAGAAAAUGACAGAACAAAAGAAGAGAGGCCCAGGACAGGUGAUCCUGUGCCUUAGGAAAUGGAAAGAUCCUUUUCUCUUUUUACAUCUUUUUUCCCCUGCAAUAUUGUAGUUCUACAAAUUUAGCUUAGUUAUACUUAUAGCUAAUAAAAAAAGGUACAAACUUUUCCAUUUUUCACUUCUUCAAGAGAGACUCUCAAUCCCCAAAAGAGAAAGGAUUUGUAUAUUUCUCAAAAUGGAGCUGUGGAAGACCGUUGAAGUGUGUUCUUUUUGGGUUGCUGAUUUGCUGCCGCCGUUCUUAACUGCACACACACACACACAGAACUGAAGUAUCAGAAUCUUACCACUCAAAAUAUCACUGGACCAAAAAGUAUGCCAAACAAAGACACUGCAAGUAAUGCAGAGGAUGUCUAUUUCCUUAUAAGUUGGUGAAUAUUGGUGUUGAGCUAUACGGAUUUAAAAUUUUAAACUAUUGAUGUGAGUACUUCAAAAGGGUAAAAGAAUAAGUACUUGUCUCUAAUUGUUUACCUGAUCUUGUUGUCUCUUGAGUCUUGCAUUUUCUGCUUGCAGGUGAGCAACUUCAAGCUCUAACUCGUUUGUAUAAGCCUGCAAAUGAGAAUCAAACCCCAGAAAACCUUUUGUCAGAUCAAAAGCAUUUUGAUGGCAAAACCACAUUUCUUAUUUCUUCCCUAUGAGUGAAAGAAGUAGAAGGUUAGGAGAGUCACAUUCCUGUUUCCUAGCUCUGGAACGAGCCGCAGAUUCUCUGUUCUUGAUCAUUCGCUUAUGUCUUCUAUUCCCUGAACCUUCAUUGGACUCUUGGCCUCUUUUCUUACCAAAACAAGUGGAUGUAACUAGAGCAUCAAAAGGGGUGUUGAAUGAGGAAACAUUUGCGAGGUUAUGCAGAUUAGAGCUUGGGGUAACAAGAGGAUCUUGGCUAUCAAGAAACUCGAAGCCAGCGCCGGAAUUCAAGCUCAGAACAGUUGCAGGAGGUGCCAAAGGAGAGCUGCUGAAGAGAGCAGUGACAGUGGUGGUAUCGCCAUUAGAGGCAGAACCCAUGGUGAGGCUUGUGGGUAUUGUUGGUUCCUGGUUCAAAGGUCUGUUGAGAAAAUCUUGGAAGAUGGAGUUAGGGUUUUGGCUCUGGUGGUUGUGGCCCCUGAACCUUGGCUCUUGGCUGUGUUGUGGAUGUUGGCUGUGACGGUUAAGGUGGUGGAUGGAACCAAGGUUGAUGUCUUUCCAAACUUCUUCCAUGGUGACUAGAGAUCUCUUAUGGGCUUGAGAGUCUUGUGAGUGUAUAGGAGACGGUGAGAAUGAUGUUGAGAAUGAUGAUGAGGAUGAGGAUGAUGAUGAUGAUGAUGAUGAGGAUGGUGAUGAGGAUGAAAUGGAAGAAACUUGGUUGAGAGUCUUGUUCUUGUUUGUAGCAGAGACUCUAUGGUUUCUCUGAUGCUUUGCUGAUGACAACAUUGGAAAAGAGCCAAAACUCACAGCUUUAGGCUUUGGUGUCAAUUAUCUUGUAUCCUACACGGAGAGAGAGAGAGAGGGUGUGUAGAGAUGGAUGGGGAGAGAGAGUAGAGUAGAGUAGAGUAGAGAGAGAGAGAGCUCAGAGAACUUCUUGACUUUCGCCGGUCAUUUCUGGAAUGAUGGUUGAGGGUCCAGAAGUAGAGACAGAGGGAUUGAAACUAUUCCAAAAGAAAAAAAAAAAUAAAUGAAGAAAAAAACAUUCCAUAACUAUGUAAUUAAAGUUUUGAUGACUUCAAUUUCAAAGUUUUAGAAAGAUAAAAUUGGAUUCUCGCGUAACGCGCGGGGUAUCCCUAAUGAUAUUAGUGUUCAUAAUUUCAAAGUGAAGUUAGUGAAACUAUUGUAAUGAUCCUUAAAUGUAAAGAGUGGGUGGGGAAGAGAUGCUUGAGAAAAGGCAGGCAAAUAAUUAAACUUUGGUUUAAUCUCACUUUUUUUAGGAUCACACCCUUUUAUAUCACUUUCAACUGUCAAGUGUGUUUUUAUUUUUCUUGCUUAAAUUUGGAUAACUUUUUCCUUCAUUUUGUUUCUAAUCGUUUGUUGAAAAUACCUUUUAAUUCAUGAUAAUCUAUCUUGUCUUCCAUCUCCAAAGGAGAGACCAUUUUGCUUCUCAUCGUUAUUUUAAUUACCACUAUCAAUACUAAAGUGUAUUGGAAAAAAGAAUAGUGUAUAUGUUUUUAGAACGUCAAUUCCAUUAUAAUGUAUUUGUUAAUAACUAUGAGACUAUGCAUAUCACUAGAUACACAACAGUUUUAAUUAUUUUUACACGUCUUAGUUGACACUCAAUAAUGUGACAUCUUAAAUUACCCUGAAAUAUCUUUCUAGUUGAACUAUCCAUCUCUAAUAGUAUUAAAUAAAUGAAGAUCGAAAAAAAGUUAGUAAAUUUGUUGAUGAUCAUUUUUGCCUAGUUUUUCUUUAGUUAAAUUCUAAAAAGAUAUAUGUCUGGUUAUUAUCCUUGGAAUUCUUAGAAAGAGUUAUGCUAUGAUGAUUUAUAUAUGCUAUAAAGUGAUUUUAAUAAGUACAAGAUCCUGAGUUUUAGGACCGACCGAUCAUCAUGCACGUUACGAUUCCACAGAAUUUAAGUUAUUUAUUUCUCACACGAAACAUAUUUAAAUCUUGAUCAAUAGAAGUACAGAACGAUGCUAGGUUUAAAAACAAUUUAAACCAAGAUAUUUUGUUUGCUGGAUAUUAUCAUGUAAUUUAGAUGUUUAAAUGGAUUAUGUUUUGAUUCUUGAAUGAUGAUAAACCAGUUAAUAAGCCAAAUUAACAAAUGAUAUUUGUUACAUACACAUGAUGAUAUGAGUACAUCCAGAUAUCUAUCUAGAUAGUCGAAUAUAUAUAUAUACAUAUGCUUAAUUAUGUGUGUGUAUACGUAUGUGCCCGUAUCUUUGUUCAGUCUCCAAGUGCAUAUCUAGUCACGCUUUUCAUUUCUUUUCUUUUUUAUAUUCUGUACUGCAAGUUUUUAUUAUAAUUAAAUAGGAGAUUUUUCUUCUUUCUUUCUUCUCUUUCUACUCAACAAGAUAUAAACUAUUCAUUUCCGUACACAUAUGAUUAUAAUAUGCUACAUUUUUUGGCGUAGUUUUUUUUAUAAAAUGAAUAUAUUGCUCUGAAAGAAACGUCCCAUCUUUGAAAAUUUAAAGAGUACAUUUGAAGGUGUUUAUUAAAAAAAAUAACUCAAACAAAACGCAACCUCCUCCUCAAGUACUCAUAUUUGUUCGAAGAGGCAUUAUUCGAUGCUUAUAUCGCAUCGCUUGGUUUUAUGCCACAGUAAAUUUGGUGGUGCAUGUGCGUGUGCUCGAACCUCUUAACUGUGAAGAUAAAGAUUCUUAAUUAUCGUACCGUUUUUUUAAAUGCAUUGACCGUAUUAAAACGAAAAAACAAUUGUUGCACCUUCAUUAUAUAUUUUAUAUGCAAUUGACAUUAGGAUAACUUUAGCUCGUUUCUUUUCCAAAAUCGUGUCCCUUUUCUCGUUUUUUUGGUUCUUUGUCUAAAAAUAAGCUAAAUGGUAAAUUUGAUCCUUUGCUACUUUCUAGUCUCCUAAUAAUCUCCUCAGGGUUAGGGACUACGAGUUUGUUUACAUGUUCAAUACAUUGAAUCUUAAAAUACAAUCGAUGUUUAUUUAACGUUUAAGAUAAAACACCAAUAUUGUAGAUUUGUUUUAGCAAAAAAAAUUAUUAUAGAUUUGUUUUUGUCCACCACGGUCCACCAUUACUGGAUUUUUGGUUGUUUUUUUGUUUGUUUCUCUCUAGACUGAGCCAACAAUUUUGAAAACAUUUUAUAAAAAAAGGAAGUUCAAAGUGCUACGAUCAAUAGAUUUCAAAUCAUUUUUUGAAAAUUAAAGUUGGGGGUAUAAGGUAAUGAGUGAAUCCAAAUGUCCAUAGUAUCACGAAAUAUGUAGAACUUGUGACUUGUAUGAGUGACAGUGAGAGAGUGACAUGUCAUUUCUCAGGGGGAUUGGACAGGUGUCAGCACUGUAUUGCUCUGUCCCAAACUCCAUCAAAUCUUUUUCUCUGUCUUUGAUAUCCUAUUUAGUUUACUUUAAAACAAUGCAUAUAAACGGAAAAUUUGCUUGCCAGAUCCCAAAACAGUAAGUGUAAGCUAUUCCAAAGGUUUUAAUUUUUUUUAUUUAUAAGAAUUUUCACUAUUUAAAAUUUGAGGUGUAGUAUUCAUGCAACUGAAAUAAAAACGAAAUCUUAUAGAACAAAAAGAUUAAUCGUUCUUUCAAAAGGUAAUAUACCAUUGUAGUUAUCACCAAUUAGCUUUUGAAAUAAGAUAUUAAUAAAUUCAAAUAAAUAUUUUAUUUAACAUAUGCUUUAUUAUUGAGAUUCUGAGACCGUGAAAUGAUGAAAUUCAUAAUGUAAAAAUUUGGAAUAUUGCAUGAGGUACAUAAAAUUGAAAACAAAAAUGUAACCGUUUUGUUGGGAUUUCUUCUUAGCCAUUCAAAGUUUAAACUGAACGUUUAAGUAUAUAUAAUUCAAAUAUUUCCACAUGUUUGAUAUUAAUAUGUAAAAAGCUGGAUACCUCUCAAAUGAAAUUAGAAAUUUAGAAGCUUUCAUUGUAUAAAUUCAAAUUACAAAAACUAAAUAAGAAAAUCAGUGAAAACACACAAAACAGAAGAAAAAGGGUUUCUAAUAAAUAACCUGUUUGCAGGAAACGGGUUGAUAGAGUCGAAAUUGUUGACAAAAAAAAAGAAGACUCGAAAUCAACCAGGGCAAGUGAUUUGGUAAUCAAUAAAUAAGAGUAAACGGAAUUUAUUAUACUCGUAUUUAUUGAUUUUCGUUUACAUUCAAAUAAUUAAAAUUUAACAAAUAAUAUGAAUGACCCGGAGAGUUUAUGACCGUUGGAUUCUUUAGUUCCACUGGUCCGUACAAUAAUCGUCUGUCUUUAGGUUGUCUCUAGAGUAGACCAUACGGACACAAAGUAGUCGUAAUAAUUUACUACCAAAAGUAGCAAUAAAAUAAAUAAGCAAAAACUUGGAGUUGAAAGAGCCAAAAAAAUGCUAACCGUUGGAUAGUGAAAAUGGUGGGAUUGUGGUACUUGACAUCUCCAAAUGUUAAAGAAGAAUUGGACAACUUUCUGUAUUUUUUGGUGCGUUUUGUGAAUUAGGGUUCACUUGCACUGUCUUUUUAGUCUGUGAAUACUAAAUUCUGAUUUUUGGUUCAUAGAGAUUGUGACAUUGAACCUAUUCUUGGGUUGUUUCAGUUUAUUUUCCACAUUUAGGUGAACAUCUAGAAUAUUUUGAUAUAUGUGAUUGUUUGGUUUGUCUAAUUACAACAAAAUAUAAUGACUAGAUUGAGUAGAGUCUACAUGGCUUUGAAUAAUAAGUAGAUCGUAGUAUUAGGCUUCAGCUUAGUCGUGAGAGUGAGGGCUGAGUAAAGUCGUUUUUCAUUUAUUACGAAAUAUAGAUAUCUAGUUGUUAGUAUGUAAAACUUCUUAAUUCGCUUGAAUAAUCUACAACCUUUACCCGAAAAAGUACCCAACUUGUCUAAAUUAAAAGUGAACACUAAAACCAAAUAUCUUAAUAUGAAUCUGCACACAUGUGAAAAAGUUGGUCAUUCGCUACACUUAAAAAGUUAUGAGUAAUAACUUUUGAAUACACAUGAUUUUUUGUUGUUGUUUGGUUAAUUGCCCUUGAACUUUGUUUUGAAAGGACAUUAUUUCGAUAAUCUAAUCUAGUAACCUUUUUUUUAAAACGGAUGUAAGUUAAACUUAUAAGAAUGAAAUGUAGUGUUCUUAUCACAUUUGCAGAUGAAAUAUAAGAUUUAACAUCGCAAGAUAUAUAAUCAUAGAACGACUCGCCGAACAAUUUGCUAAAUUGUUUAAAAGUCCCAUUCAAAAAAACCAUACCCUAAGACAACAGUAGAACGUUAGCUGAGGCCUGAGCGUGAAGCACCACGUGUUUGUUCAUAUUCACAUCAAAGGCAAUAUACGCAAACGACAAUACAACACCGUUUGGUACAUGAUUUUGCGUUUUCUCUUUUGUUUUUUCGCUUUACCAUUUUUGCUUUUUGUCACACAUUUGAAUUUCGUCCUCUCAAAUUAUUCACGAGUCUUCUCUUAAGUUAAACUUUUCUCUUUACUUACACUCUUCUCAUAAAUAAACCCUUCUGCAAAUUGCAUAUAUAAUAAAUCUUUAACAUAUUUUCAUUUAUACUUUAGUAAUUCAAAAAACGCCCUUGAAUUCGGUUUUCACGUUUAACGUUUGAUCAUUUUUUAUUUUUAAUUAUUUCACACGUAAUUGCUUUUAUUUUGAGUUCGGUUUUCACUACUAAGGUACAACCUAAAAAUUUAAAGACGGUAGAGGGUUCGAGUCAUAGUUUCGAAAAGAACAAAAGUAAGGAUAUAGGGGUCAAGAGUAUACUAGCAAGCAAAACCGAAAAAUCCCGGACCACAACAAUGGUUACAAGCAACCAUCAAUGACCAUCGUAUGUAGCAAAGUAGAAUAAACAUAAAUAAAAAGUUAUUAGCAUCCACAAAAAAAAAACCCAAAAAACAUAAAAACCAUAAAUAUGCUAAAGUUUCCGCUAGCUAGAAGAAUCAUAAAUGUUUGAUCCUUUUUCUGUUUUCAUAUGGGUCUCUUCUUUUUUUGGUUUUAUGCCUUACCUUUAUCCUUCUCUCUCUUUUUUUUUUUUUUUUUUUUUUUGUUUCCCCUUCCUUAUUGUUUUUCCUGAUUUUGGGCAGGACAAAAUAAUAUAUUUCAUGUCCAACACUAACCACCACCUCCAAACAUGAUGGUUCAACGAUUUGCACCAUCUGAUUCUGAGCCAUUACGGUUGCUCAUCGGAUCAACACCAGAAGACUGUUGCUGAGCAUCUGAAACAGCUUUGUUUUCUGGUUCAGCAGGUUGCAACUGACUGCUCGAACCACCAACUCGAUCCGCCGAGCUCUGACCAAUAACCAAGUUUCCAACUUGGCUAGCUACUGCAUCGACAGAUCGGGGGCUCGAAACCGCAGGGCCGCUCCCUCUAGGAAGCAACCAAUGUUGCCAAUUAUGGCGCUUUCUUAUUCUGUCACCCUAAGCAGAAGAAAAACAAGCAAUAUGCAAUCAAAUAUAAGCAAAAGUUUUCGGAGCAGUGCACACAAGAAGGAAGCUUAAAUAUCAAUGGCGUAUUAUAUAUUCCUUCUCAACUGAUAAUGAUAAUUCCAUAUUUUCAGAAUCAAACAGUUAAGGUUGCACAUUAUCACAAAGUUCCGUAAGCUCCAUCUCUAAAUGAACCGAUGUCAAUAACACUUAGGAACACACAGACAAGACAUACCUGCACUUCAACAUAAGGUGAGCCAUGUAGAGCCUCCACUAUCUGCUGGAUACUAUCUGUAAGUUCUGCAACCUGAAGAAGGAGAAAAAAGAAGCAACACCGAUAGCUCAAAGUCACAGAGAAUUAUACAGUGGUAUUAAGCAACAAAGUGUUAUUGUAACUAGGAUUAAGAGAAGGAAAAACAAAAGCAAUGCAUUUUGAUGCGAUAUCGCCAAAUGAGCGAGCAAAGAAGUAUUCAUGCUCGAAUUUCUUAUUUUAUAAAUACAUCAGCUGGUAAUAUAUAUCAUCUGUCUUAAGAACAGAGCCCAUUUGCUGAAAGUAUGUACAUGCAUAGCACACCUUUAUAUAAUCCGUCACAAAAAAAGUUUCUAAUGUCCUAUUGGCACGUUCAGUCUAACCCUCAAUGUGAGUCAAAAAAAAAGUUUUUGUGGAAUUCUACAGGCGUGAAAGUAAUGACCUUUAGAAUGAAAUAAGAUAUACUGUUUUGAUAUUAUAAACUGAGAAAAGUGAUUGAGGCCAUCAUGCAAGACAGCACAUCCUCAGAAAAUAAUUUACCUUUUUGAAACCAGCAAUCACACGUAGCGGAGCAAAACCCUGAUCAUCCAUGUGCCCACGAAGGUAUGUGUCUCUAAUCAAAUUCUCUUCACUGAAACAAAAGAAACAUUUGCAUCUAAAUUACUUCUUCCCAACAGAGAACUGAGCAGUGGGAAGAAAAAAAAAUUCAAUAGUAAGGUACUACCUAAAAUAAUAAUGAAUUUGCUUCUGUAAUUUCAUGUUCAAGGGAGGAUCUUGGACAUGGUAGAAGACCGGAGGAGGUGCAAGAGGUGUGAUGAAAGGCAUACGGGGAUAAUAUGGCGACGCAAAUUCUGAAAUGAAGAAGACGCGUUAGAAGAAACAAAGGAAAUUCAAAGACCUAAUCUUCAAUGGGUCUCACCAGGGGGGAAGGGCACAGGACUGCCAAAAGGCUGAAUAGGCUGAGCAGCCAUCAACUGAGGAGGAAUUGGCUGAACAGGUGGAGGUGCAUGUCUUACAAAUGCUGGAUUGCCUCUUUGUGACUGUGCGUUUCCAUCUCUCCCAUUGAAGUUUCUCUGGAAAGACCAAUUUUGAUUACCGUGCUCUUGAUUGCGCCUCCCACCAUGACUUUGGUGAUGGUUACCAUUUUGGUUCCUGUACGAGUCUCGUUGUGAUGGGUUGUCAGAACCACCGUGGCUUUGUGAUGCAAAGCCAUUCUUCUGGUUUUGGCCUCUCGGAGAAGGGUUGUGCGAAGGCAAUUCGGCAAGUGAGCCCUGCGCUGAUGGUUGAGAAACAGUACCAUUAGCAGCGGAUCCAGAUGCGCCAUUCCGUUUAAAUGAUCUCUGGCGCGAGUGAUUUGGUGUUGGGUUAGGGUUUGUGCGGCCAAUUUGCUUUGGUGCAGGAGCAGAAGCAUUUGCGAUUCCCUAAAUCAAAGACAUAGAAGCAUUUUCAGCCUUCAAUCAGGAUAAGGAAAAUCAUCGACAGUAGAAUAACACAUGCACAAGCGAAGGCGUACGUCAAUACAAGCAUUUUGUUUCCGACAUUACAACUUCAAAAAAAAAGGAACUUUGAACUGAAGAAACAACUCAAGACUUUCAUAUCCGCGGGUAAAAGAUAGCUCAGUGGCUCAACAUGCAAUCGCAAUCCAACAGGAAGGCAUUAAGACCCAUAAUAUCCAGAUGCUGAAGUUAUAUGUUGAUACAUGGCUGUAUACACAAUCCAAAAGGGGAGACUUUGGCAAGCUAAAGAUUUGUUUCAACAAAGAGCAGUGAGAAACAAUGAAAGCUACAAAAGUUUCAAGAGACAACACCCAUCAAGCAACAACUAUGAUACACAGUUAUGUUCAUUCGUAACAAUAGAUCAUAUGAAGAAGCUAAAACUUCCAUCUACUUUCAUGAAGCUAAUUAGUAACCACAUAAACAAUAACAAGGUCAUGAUGAUAAUCAUUCAAACCUGAGAAAUGGGGACAGAUGGUGAUGAUACUGGUACAUCGCCGAGACUUUUUAAAGAGUCAGAAGAAGACUUGUUCGAAGGAGCUUUGGUAGCCUCAUUGAGAGCAGGCCAAGACGAAGCUCCCAUGACAGGUCCGACCUCAGAAGCCCCAUUAGACGGCCUUUUCCAAACUGGUUUCUUUCCGGCAUUGCUCUGACCACCAGAUUCCUCCGAUUUGUCGUCUCCAGCAGCCGCCUCCACCGUCAAAAGAGAAGCAGGUGGAGCCACGGAAACAGAAGCAAUCGGCUCGAUCGGGGCCUUGGGUUGAGGGGAGGAAGGAGCGGCGGCGAUCGUCGGCUCUGAUUCGCCGCGGACGACAUGGGACCACGGGGAGGAAACCUGCCGAGAGGGACGGCGCGAUUGUGCAGCGGCAGCGUUGGGGCUGCCGUGAUUCUCGCUCGUAUGACGAGGAGACAUAGAAGAAGAGGAAGAAGAACUGGAGUUAUUGGUAGUGGCGGACACCAUCAUUAGGGGACAAAAAUUAGGGUUUGUUAGAGAGUCGAUGAAGCUCCGAUCGACAGUAUCUAAAUAAACGAUUAUCGAUUAACCCCAAAAAAAAGUUAGCAGUGAAAUAAUCCGACGAAACCUCCGCGAUUCAGAAAAUUAGGGUUAGGGUUUGGGUAAUGCAAACAAAAAAAAAAGGAGACACACCGAUUUUUCCAAAAACAAUUCCCAGAAGGAGAAGACGAUGGAGCAGUGUAGUCUCCUCUCUCUCUCUUUACUUUUUUUUCCGUUCUCUUUUUUUAUAUGUUCUUUUUAAUCAAAUUAUUAUGUUAAUCACUUUUCCGUUCGGAUUUUCUUCGCUACCGAGUACCGUGGUACUUCGAAGUUACGAAAUUACCCUUGGGGUAAACACAAGAAAAAAAAACACAAACACACAUUGUUUCAUUCAACGAAUCUUAUUGGCUGUGAAGCUUUGUGGAGGAUUGUUGACGUUUACAUGUGAAAUUACCGAGUAGACUAAAUAUGACACGCGUCGUUUAGCGAUUAGUUAAAACAAUUCACUCGCUUAAUAUAGGUCAAACAGGUAAAUCAUUUUUUUUUUGUCUACCAAAUAGAUCUUCCUUACAUUAACUAGAAAUCGUGUUUUUAAUUCUAUACUUUAAAAUUAUAUUUUUUAUAAAUUUUGGAAAAUACUCCAGCAUAUGUUCUACUGUAGAUUUGUUUCUUAAAAUAUGGUUUUUUUUGGGGAGAGAAAGUCUGAUCAUCAGACGAUCGCUUAAAGAAUUACUGAUCAAAAAGUUACUUCAGAAUAUUUAGUUCCAAAAUCAUCUCGUUUUAUAUACGUAAAGGAUAUCUUAACUAUUAUAUUCUUGAAAGUUCUUAACUUAUUACAUUUAGAAUAGAGAUUCGUUGUAUCUACUAUAAUAUAUGCAGUUUUGGUAGUAAAUAUAUCCAUGGUUAAUGCUGAACUAAUAUAUCAAAGGAGUACAAUUUUAAUUAGUUCUUAAAAACUAUCUUUAAUUAUUCAUUAGUUUAAGAUAUUGGUAACAAGAGACUUUGUAUUAUUCAAAAUAUAAUUAAGUUGACUACUAAUUGGAUAAUAUUGAUCUCGUAAUGUUGUCAUCUUGAUUUUAAUGUACGUAUAUGGUUGUUGACAAUAACAAUGUCAAUGGUUACAAAUCUCUAGCUUCCAGUGCAUCAGUUUAUUAUAAAAAGAACAGAAAGUCUUGUGACAUGGUCAUGGACUCAUGUUGGUGUAACUAUGUUUACAUCUUGGACAAAUGCAUAUCUAAAAAUAUUUUAACUACCUUUCGGAAUACGAAUCUUUUAUCACAAUAUAAGUUACCAGUUCAUUAUCUUUUUGUUCAUUUACAUUCCAAGAAUGUAUAGAGAUAACUAAUAAGAAUAUAUCAUAUAAAGUUAUAAAUGGUCAUAUAUACAAUCCAAUGCUUAAAAUUCAUCUAAAACCAAUAUUACAUUAGACAAAUGAUGUUUAUGAUCUAGUUUUAGUUGAUUAAAGUUUUUUAACAUAAAAAAUAAACAUUAGAGAAAUGAUCAAAAUUGAAAAAAAAAACAUUUUUUCGGUCGUGACAGGCGUUGCCACUUGCCAAAUCAGGUCAUCAAUGUGGAAAGCAUUUUGUUUUUCUUUUGAAUAUUCAGCGUUCUACUCCAUAAACCACAUUAUCUUUAGGUUCGGUUUACCUCGAUUAAGGGGCAAAAAAUCGUCGAAAUUAGAGAUGUUAGUGAUGAGUGGAAAAACAUAUCAUAUAUUCUCUAUAGUCUCGUUAUGAUACAAACAAAAAAUGGCUCUUAUGUAUUGGAAUGGGCUUGAAGAAGCUUACUACAACUCUACAAAAGUGGAAGUAAUAUGAACACAAAUCUGAAGAAAGACCAGAGCUUUACUGUUUUAAAUCUUUGGUUGGAGGAAGAGCUACUUUUGGAGAUGGUUUUGUUUGUUUUGUGUGGCUCAGAGGAGUUAUUAUGAGUCGCUAUUCCGGCUGCCAUUGCCGGAGCUACUGCCUCUGUUUUGUUUGCUCCGCCAAGAGUUGUCUUUGUCUCUUCAAUAUCAUAGCCUGCGUUAUGAGUUAUAUCAUUAGUGAGAACACAACAGGGUUCAAGUGAUCUAACAAACGUAAGAGCACACUUACAGUCAAACUUUUUCCAAGCUAAGAUGAGUUUCUCUCUGUCGAAUACUACACGAUACCCGGUCAUGUAGUUUUCUGUUUCAUUAAGAGUAAACAAUGUGAGCUCAUAAUUUACAGGAUGUUCGACGAUCAAUAUAUAUAUAAAAAAAAAAACUGAUCUUACGUCCGAUUAUGUUGAGUUCAGAGCUUUUGACAAUGGCCAGGCAAUAUACAAGCUCACCCUGUGAAAAUGCAAUGCUACAGAAAGUAUUAAGGUUCCGUUGAGGAAGACAAGGAACGAUAAAGAAAGAAGUACGGAGAGAGAGACAGAGAUUACGAAUGACCUCGGUAGAGAUGACGAUUAUAGGAUCAUUGAUGGUGAAGUGGCUGUUUUCUUUCAUUGUGAGGCUUAAACUCGGUAUCAAACUGGCAUUCGCAUCAGUGCUGAUCACACCGUUUACAAGAAACAUGUUUAGAUUUGAAUGGCAGAGACAAAGAAACAUCUGAGUGUAGGUAGAUACAAAGACAUACCUCAUGUCAUAGCAAUAGUCGAAGGGAAUCCUUGGAUCCCGUGAAUGGCGCUUAUCUUGGGCCUGAGAAUGGAACUGGAGACAACAAUGUGAAUCUUAGAGUUAUCAAUAAUUGAGCAUCAAGAGUAACAGAAAAAGAUUUAUAAUGGUGUUUAGAUGCUUACACUCUCAGAGACUGUAGUAUACAUCGGAUCCACCAAAUAAGUAAAUGAUGUGCCAGUGUCAAAGAGAGCUGUAAAUUCAUCAUCUAUUAGAGUUGUCCCCACACGUACUCGAGUCACCGUGAUGUUGUAGUUUGGGCUGCAUUGAGUUUCCAAAACGGUUAAUAGGCACAUUCUUGGCAUAUACGAUUUUCAAAAACGAACGAAAUUUAGCUUAUAAGUGAAUUACCACUUACUGUGAAGGAUUCAGAUUAAACGGUGUCUCUUCCUGAUCAGGACUACCUUUAUCCCCAAAACUGAUCCUUCCGACUCCGUCAUGUCCAAAACACAUGGAGAAAGAAUCAGCAACUAGACCUUCCCUCGCCAAAACACUUGGUACCGAUAUCUUUUCCAUGCCAAGACCAAAUAAACCAUUUGGUGCCGCAAUGUCAAGAAAAGAACCGCUUUGCACCUGUCCACACCUGCACAGGUUUCACAUCUCAAUAACUUACUGCAUUGAACUGAACACCAAAGAAGCAACGUGAAGAUGUUAACUGCUACUAACCCGAAUGUGACAUAUGCCUCGACACGCUCUGGAUUCUUAUCUUCGGUUGUUAAGUGCAUAACAUCUUCCAUAAGAAUACCGGAUGUCGAAGUUUGAGCAGAGACAUAAGAAACCAUAUAAGGGCAAGUGCUGAAUGUUCCAAGGCAUUGAUUACGCUGCGCACAUAGACUGUUGUUGCAGGUGACCUUCUUGUUUGUGGUUGAAACUUUAGGGUUGUAAAUACUCAGUUCAAAUUCCUAAACUCAGCAAAUAGAAACCCAGAAUUAAGGAUUCAAUCAUGGAAACUUACAAUUCAACUGCUAAGAUCGGUAAACUCAACAACAAUUGUGAAUGCUAAAAAAGUGUUAACAUACAGAAGCGUAAGCAGCUCCUUCGGUUGGUGCGCAUUUGCCGCAAUCACAAGGGACCCAAAAGAGGUCGCUUCCUGUAUCGAGUGCCACCAUGAAUCUCAUUCCCGGAGUACCCAAUUUCACAGUCGUGUAGUGCAAACUGAAAUCAGAAGAUUGGAAAAUUCAGACUUAUCCUGAAAUUGGGAAUUGUUGAGUAACAAAAAUGCACUUACAAUCCGAGAGAGCUGAUACGAGAAGUUGAAUUUCCGUCGGAGAAAGUGAGUGACGACUCCGAUUCCGACUCCGAGAGGCGUCGUCCGCGGAUAAGUCGAUCACGGAGAGCAAGAGCGUUGUAGUAAUCAAAGCUUCCCUUAGGGGGGAAACUACCAAAUCUUCCGGUUAAAUCGGACCACCGCUUGACUUCAUCGGAGAAUCGGUGGUGCAUCUCGAAGGUGAAGAUUCGACCAUUGCAGCUCCCGAAGCUCAGUAACGUCAAAAUCGGGAUCAAGAACAGAGUACUCUUGAAGAAACAGGCCGACAUUGUGAACAAUUUUUCUCUCGAACUCGACACAGAUUAUCCUACUUUCCCGGAGGUUUUUCUCGGGAAAACAAAGAGGUUUUGAGAUACCAUUACACCAGAAACCCAAGAAAUAUUCGAAAAAAAUCAAAAUGCGUGAUUUAGAUCUUGGAAUAGUGAGAAAUUGGGGGAACAGAAAAACAAAAUUAGGUAUAUUUUGAGGAACGAGGAAAAAGAAAAGUGAAACUUUGAGAGGAAGAGAAAGAGAAGAUCUAUGUUCUUCUUCGUUAGGUGAGUGUUAACAACAGUCCAUGUGUUGAAAAGAAAACUGCGAUCCACUGGGUCCCACUCUCACUGCUAAUUUUCUGUUUUUUCUUCUGACUUCUUCUUAAUCCCAUUUUUUAGCAAAGAUUGUAUAUAUUAACUAAUGCUUAAUGAUAAAUGGCAAGAGAUAGUGACGAAACAAAAGUGAUACUGCUCUCAAAAGAUGGAUUAUACACAGAGAGAUAUACAACAACGGUUUAAUUGGUCAAAGAACAAAACUAAUAAGGGCUUAAAAGCCGUAGAAUCAUCUGUUGUUGUAAGUGUCCCAAUCGAAGUUGGGUUGAGAAUAAGCUUCGUAAUCCACUGCUCCAUCGACGAUGCUAUCGACGGUCUGGAUACUCCGGAGAAGAGCCGGGUGAAACCGGUCUGUAUCCGAAGGCAAAAGCUUGUACAUCACAAGCACCCCAAGUGUGAAAAUCGCUUGAAGCUUUGUCGAAUCUCCUUUGACAGAGAAGAAGAAGAGCAUCGAGACGAGGUACAGGUCAACGCAGAAGCGCAUGAUGCACAAAACCGUGUCCAUUAGCUUUCCUUCGUUGCCUGCGGGGAAGCCACGGACUCUGUACACGUAUAAGAAGUUGUAUUUGUCGACAAUGUAUCUGUAGCCAAAGUAAACCGCGCCUACAGGGACCACGAGUGGAGCGAAUGAAGAGUAUAUCAUUGUUAAGGCAAAGAUGGUAAGAUUGAAGGCGUAGUAUUGAGCAAAGUCGAAUUUUUGUUUAGGGAUUGGUGAGGUUCGGCUGAUUGGGUACUCAGAGAGGUUUUGGCUCAUAGGUUCGAUGUCGCCGAAUCUUGGAGAUUCAAACAUGUUUUCAGGGAGAAGUGGCGUCUCAAGGUUGCUGCUUGGGUCUUGAUUUUCCAAAGGGUACUCUUCGUUUUGCUCGGGGACUAGCUGAAGCAUGUCGUUCUUCCUGAAUUUCUGGAUUUUUUUCUUGAUCCACGGGAUUGGAGCGAGUAGAUCGAAGGAGAUUCCCAAGAACGUGCUUGUGAUGAGGAAAGCUAGAGCAGAAACGCAUGACCUUGAUAAGAAGGAAGGGCUCAUGUAUUCUUCAAUCCUCUUACAAUCCUCGCCGUCUAAAUAGCACCGGCUCAUUUUCAAGAGUGCGCUUUCCAGUGACGACUCGACAAGAGCCUUGAGCACGAUGAGGUUCACAAGGAAGAAGCAGACCAUCUUCAACAGAGCUGCUCUUUGUUCCCCUGACACUGUCAAGUGCCGCUCAAACUUGGAAAGAUACGAGAGAGCAGAAGGGAUCACAAUGUACAUGCUAACAAAUAUGAAGACGUUGGGCAUGAAUUGAAAAAUCAGAGAUCCAAUCCAGCCAGAAGUUUGCACCCAAGUGAGCCAAGACUGAGCACUAUCCAAUGCUUCAGCAUUGAAGAUUCGCCCGGCACUCACCAAGGCACUAAUCAAGGCCAAUGGGGAGCUGAAAAACACAAGGAUCAACAAUAGAAUCGUAUUCACAAUCACUCUCCGUACGAUAAGAGCGAUUUUUGUCAAUCCCAGAUGAUUCCAGUAAAUAUCAGUUGCCAAGGGUGCUCUCUCGACUUUCCACUGGUUUCUCUGUAGCCGCAGCUCUGUGACAGAGAAGAAUUUUCCAGUACGCCUCGAUCUCUCGUUUCUGAAAUCCUGAACAGCCUUAUUAGCCGUGUACACAUCCUUAAACAUCACAAAAGCAACCCCAGCGCCUUGUGCUCGUCCUUCUUUAUAAGCCGCUAACUGAGACUCCAAAUCAGCUCUCAAUUCUUGCAGCUUCCUUAGUUUUUCAUCAUCUGUAAAACCAAAUCGCGCUGUAAUCUGAGACCACAAUACCUUCACCCUAAUCCACAAAGCACCCACGCAAGACAGUAACCCUCCAUCUCUAGCAUUCUCAAACUCUUCCGGCAAAAGCCUAGAGUCCAUCUUGGCAACUAACCAAGUAAUCUCGUCUCGGACACGAACCAGCUCUGUAGCAAGAUCAUCCAGAGCACACAAAUCCAUGGGAACAAUAAUCUUGUAAACUUUCCCUGGAUACUUUUGCCUUAAGCACUCUUCAAACUCAACUCUAUCAGACCCUAAAUUCUUAGGCAAACCCUGCACCAUUAUAGUGAACACGGCAGUAGAAUUUGCAUUGGGGUCGCUGAUAUUCCCAUUCCCAUCUCUAAACCUGGUGAACUUGAGCCUAGCUUCAAUGGCAGAGAUUCCGAAAUGCGAGAUGAUAACAACAAUGACAACAAACACAAAAUGAAGCCAAAGCAGACCUGAACCUUUCUUAAUAUGGGUAAUCAUCGUUUUGGAGAGCUCGUCACUCAGAAGAGCAGUCCCAGCAUACAGAUUCAACGGAAGCAUAACCGAAACAGCCAAAAGAGCAAUGGAAAAAAGGAGCACGAAGCUACCACCUUCGAUUAAGAGGAACUGAGCAGCAUCGGCGCCACAGUGGCGAGCGAUCUCGCGACAAGUGGCUUUCCAUACGGCGAGGAGCUUAGAGAAGAGAGCAGAAGGACCAGGCAUACGACGGUGAUCGCUGCGUAGCUUCACGAAUAGGAAGAUGGAGACGCAGCAUAAGAGCCCAAUCACCGAGAUAUUAAGCAGGUACUGAAUGUUACCGUACCAAGCAUCGGGGAUCUCGGGCAAGUCGCCGGAAGAUGGAGGAGGAGAGAAUGAAUCAUCCAUGACAAUGGAUGAAAUCGGCGGCAUCGCGGCUGCCGAAGAACUGCGAUGCAUCGCGAAAUACUCCUACCAAAUUAAAGCAACCCAGAUCCUCAAUUUCUCUUUCGGUUCACGAUUUAUCAAAAAAUGGUUUAAUCACGAGAGAUUUGAGGAUUUAGGGUUUGAUUUCUGGAGUAAAUCGACAGAGAUGAUGGGGAAAGUCGAGGCAUAUAUGGUAGAAAGUAGUAUUUGAUGAUAAAAGGAGGACGAAGAUGAAACGCGAUCGCGGUUUGGAAUCAUUGUAAUUAUUAUUUUGCUCAAUAAUGUGUUUUUGGAUAUUUUUCGACAGGCCCCUCUAUUUUUAAUAAUUUAAUUAGAAGAUUUUAAAGAUGAGAGAAAUGAGAUAGCUUCGUCCAUCGAGAAACGUCGACAAUAAAAAGGGGCUAAAAGCGCGUCGGUGACUUGUACUCUCCAUCUCUUCUUCCUCUCUUUCACAUCUCUUUUCUCUCAAAUUCUCGACCCACAAGGAAAAUCAUCUCUACCUUGCGCAAAUUCAUCAGCCAUGUCGUACGAUUACCUCUUCAAAUACAUCAUCAUCGGAGACACAGGUCACCCACCACCGAUCAUCCUUUUCGUUUUGCCAGUUUCUAUUUUCCAAUUCCUAAUUUCGAUUUUUUCUGGGUUGUAUCGAUUUCGUGGCGAUUUUUCAUGGGUUUUCGUUGUAUUGUCCUUCAGGUGUGGGAAAAUCGUGCCUGCUUCUGCAAUUUACUGACAAGAGGUUCCAACCAGUCCACGAUCUCACCAUUGGUGUCGAGUUUGGUGCUCGGAUGGUCACCGUCGAUGGACGCCCCAUCAAACUCCAAAUUUGGGAUACCGUACGUUUCUGUCUCUGUCUCGCCUUUUCUCUUAUAUUGGUUUAAUCACGUUUUUAUUGAUUUAGAAUUGUUUUACUCCAAGGUAGAUGUGAUUAAGAAGAUUAAUUGUCAUAAUUAAUGCAUUUUAUAAGUAUUUAGAGAAACAAUGCCGAUUAGAAUUGAUGAUGCUAGUGUUUUUUUUUUUUUUUUUUUUUAAAAUCAUGCCCAAGGACGAAAAGUGGGAAGUUAAUUAAUCAAUUCACCGGCUCUUGAUCAAGUAUUGUAGGCGUAUCUAUAUGAUUAUUCACCAGUCCCCCUUUAAUUGAAAUUGAGAAGCUGAGUUCACCAGUGCAUUGGUGAUUUUUUCAGUCCUUGUAGUGUCUUCUUCUGGUGGAUAUGUCGUGAUUCUUUGAUUUCUUUUCUAAGUCGUUUGUGGUGUAGUUUUUGUUUUUAUGGGCUUGAGUUGUUUAUGUUUGGUUUAUGUGGCUUCUAGAGUUCAAGGUUGGUAUGAUGUGUUGUUUAUGAUUUAACCUAGCGUAUGAUGUUGUAGGCUGGACAAGAGUCUUUUCGAUCCAUCACCAGAUCGUACUACAGAGGAGCAGCCGGAGCUUUACUGGUUUACGACAUCACCAGGUUAGUAUACUUUUCAUGAAAUUAUACUUUAGCUCGAAGCCUGAAUGUCAAUGUCCGGCACGGUUUUGGAAAUGAUCAUUUCUAUAUAUGUUUUGGAAUUUUGAGAGGCAUAUACGACAACAGUUCUAUGAUCUUUCGGCUCUGAAAACUUAAAAAGUAUUGUUCUUUGCCUCCAGGAGAGAGACGUUUAACCAUCUUGCGAGCUGGUUGGAGGAUGCUCGGCAACAUGCAAAUCCUAACAUGAGUAUUAUGCUGAUCGGGAACAAAUGUGAUCUUGCUCACAAGAGAGCUGUUAGCAAAGAGGAAGGAGAACAGUUUGCCAAAGAACAUGGACUGUUGUUCUUAGAAGCAUCUGCAAGAACAGCUCAAAAUGUUGAGGAGGUGAUAGAUUCUUCCUUACAGUUCUUAUUCCCCCACCCUGUUAUCUGGUUGUUGUCACAGAAAAUUCUGAAGUAAUUGUCUCCUAGUUUCUGCAUUUAACACGUCGAAUAUAUCUAUCAACAGGCCUUCAUAAAGACUGCAGCAAAGAUCCUUCAGAACAUUCAGGAUGGUGUCUUUGAUGUAUCCAACGAGGUAUUUUCCCUACUGAAUUGAGAAGUAUCUUCUGGUUCUAAUGGUUAUAUUACUACACAUCAAUGGAAUCUAGUCCCUUAUGAUUAAUUGUGUUACUACUACGUGAUUCAAUUCCCUUAAUCUUUGUGGAUUUUGCAGUCAUCAGGCAUUAAGGUGGGCUACGGGCGUCCUCAAGGUGCAGCUGGAGGAAGAGAUGGUGCGAUCUCACAGGGAGGUGGCUGUUGUGGUUAAAGAUCUCUGAAGAUGUGUCAACGGUCACACACAUAUUCUGAUGUAAUCUGGUGAUUCAGAAACUACUCUUGCUUUUUAUUAAUCUCUGCAAUUGGAAACACCAGAAAUGUAUAGUUUCACUUUCUUUCUCUAUUUUCCUGUUUGUCUUUACCAAAAAAACUAAACUGGUGCAUUUGAGAGUGAACAGCCUGAUCUUUAUAAACCAAGCAGGCGUUGGCUUCUUUAAAUCAAUUUGUUGCUUUGCACGUAAAGUCAAAGCUCUUCAGGCUCUAAAGCAAUUUGAAAACAGAGUAAUGUCCAAUCCUAUAGUCGAACUUUCUCCUUAUUCAUCUAAACGAGUGAUUAAAAUAGCAUACCCGGAUGGUUUACAGAGAUCCUAAUAAGCAAAUAGAAGCAGAAAACUAAGAAGCCAUAAUUAGUCUCUCUGCUUUUACCGCCUAUUAGGCAGUGUCCCUCGCUGAGGCCCUCGCUGAAGCCGCAGGGUAUUGUAUGUACGCAUCACAAACAUCAGUCUCGGAUCAUCCUCUGGUAUUUCACAAUUCUGUGAUUCACACACCACAAAAACCAAAAAACCCAUUCACAAACUAAUACCAAGAAAGAUUUGAGUUUAUGCUCAAUUUUGAAGAUUGAGAAAAGGGAUUUUUUUUUUUUUUACUUUCAAUCCUUUGUAGUAAGCGUCAACAGCAUCUAUAGUGGGUGUAAUAUUCCGAGCUUGCAUCAGAUCCCAUAUCAUAUUGGCAACCGUGUACCCGCCAGUCUGCCAAACAAAAAAACAGAGUUUUAGUUUCACUAAGCCAACUCCUUGCAGUAAAAGAUAUUUUCAGAGUUUUUUUUUCCGGAAAUCGGAACUACAAAGAUUUUUUACCUCUUCCCCAGCGGCUUUGAGUAGCAGAUUGCUUCCAGUUCUUGGAUCUAAGAAGAAAUUACGAUCGUUCAUCUUGACCUGCAUUUACGAAAAUUGUCAUAUCAUUGGCCAGCGUCUAUAGAAACUUGGUUAGUUUAUAUCAUGGAUUCUUCUUUCAGAACAGCUCGAUCCAAUAAGCAUUACCAGAGUGUCUUGAGCAAUCUGCAUUCCUUCACUGGUGUAUUCUGUCAUGGCUCCCUCUAUAAGCGUCUGUAGCAGCAACAAUAAAUAAAAUGUAUAAAGGUCAUCCAAAGAUAUGCUGAACCAAGUAAGCGAAACAAGACAGAGAAGCGUAAUAAUAGUCUUUGAUUCUUUGUGAAUAUAGUUCCAACUCUAUAUUCAUAAGGUGGGUUUUAGGAUUGGGGAAUCGACAAAAUUUGUUUUAUAGAAGUUAUCAUUCCCGCACUAUGUAUAGAAAAAAAAAACAAGUUUGCUCUUCAAACAAAUGUUGAAACACCAAGGAUGAGGUCAGAUGAUAGUUACCGCGUAGAGUUCCAUGGCAGGGAUUUUGCCUGAGUUCAUGUAUUCCUCAAACCAUUUGAGACCACUUUUGAAGUCUUUCGAGUGUAGAUAGCACCUGUGUAGAUAUAAAAUUGGAUGCAGAUAUGAUAAUCAUGUUUUGAUUCUCAAGGAGAGUUAUAAUGUAAUAUAUUAGGGAAGUAACAAAAGUUAUGUUGGUAACCAAAGACUGUCUUUUAACUAUGACAAUCCCAAAUGUUCUAAACAUCUAAAUGCAAAUUUCAUAAUAGCAUACGUAUACUAGGCCAAUUCAUUUGUGGAUAAAGAUAUUGGGACAUAACAGCGACGUCUAAUAUUGUCAAUCGAAGAAUCACAGAGGAUGCUUUAUUGUACCUCAUAAUUUGUAGCACGCAGUAAGUGUCAGUGUCUUUUCCGUCUUUCUUAAGCAUCUCAAGAAGAGCUUCCGUUGCCUGCCAUGGAGAAUAGCUGGUCAGAUGCAAAAGUCAACUCCGAAACUGGCUUUUGUUACUCACAGAUUAGAACAUUCCCCUAUAAUUCAGGACAUUUUCGAAUAUACAGAAAUCAUAUUACUUUUACAUCCUUUAGAUCAGCGAGAGCACUGAAUGCUACGUGGUGCACGGUCAAAUUCCUCUGCAGAAACCUGCCCCUGUGGGCAUAUUCAGCGGUUGGAAUAUUGUACAGCUCUUCUUCACUGAUGCUAAACAUCAUAUCUUCUGCACUCUUCCUUGAUGAAUCAAUUGAUGACCAGCCUUUUGACUGCUCCACGAACUCGAGAAUCUUUUGAGAAAACAAGGAGGAUAUGAGAAACCCUACUUCAAGAAAAACAGAAAGUAGAGACCAACAGGAGAUCUUCAGAGGUUACCUUGGUAGAAAGAUUAUCUGGUCUAGGUUGCUUAUUUAAGUGAGCAGUUAUGAGUCCUGCAUAGCAGAACUGGUUCAAACCAACACCAGCAGCAGUCAUAUCUCUAACUAUCGCAUACCUAACCAUUAUUUGAAGUCAGAUAUGAAAGAAAAAUUAGAUCACUUCUUAAAUUGCGCAUAACUUACAUUAACGGAGAAAAGAAGCACAAAAACGUAUUUAAAGGAAAUCAAUUCCAUUUGUGACCUACACAAGAUCUAAUUGGCCAGAAACAGCGCAGGCAUUGAGCAGGCAAACAAAGGUCUGUCCAUUUGGUUUUACUUCAUAUCUCUUCAUCUCGUCGUACACCUUACAAUAAGAGACAAACCAAAAGGGUUCGUAUGUGAAUGAAGAUUAAGGAGUGUAAAGAAGAAAAAAUGUCUGCUACUAAAGCAAAUGGAAGAUAACAUUACUCGUAUCGCCUCCUUUCCAUUCUUGCAUUUACCACAGGUGGAAAUUAAAAAGUUGUACAAGUUCACCUACAAGAAUGAACACACGAUCAACAACACAAGCCACCGAUGAAGCGACUCAUACUAUAAAGCCAAAAUCUCUAAAACAAACAAGAAGAGUUUAUUUCAUGUAAGAGCAAAAAAAAAAAGGGAAAGAUCACAGGACAUACAUCUGGAGCAAUUCCCAUGGCCUUCAUCUCUUCACGGAAAAAGAAAGCAUCAUUUAACCGAGCACCCUUCAUCACUCCCACAACAAAUGAAUGGAAAAUAUCAGCUGUAGGUUGCACACCAUCUAGCUUCAUAUCGUCAUAAACAUCCCUCAACAGAUAGUGCCUACCGAACAGAAAAUAUAUACAUACACAAGGAUUAAUGAAGUAAUCAUGCAAACACAAACACAAGUAUCCAUUAUUAUAGCAACAAAAACAUCACAUUUAUAUUGGAUAUUUCUGUAUUAUGAACACCGGGAAGCUAUUAAAUAAAAACCUGCGCUGAGCUGUGACGGAGUUGACAGCUGUGUUGUAUUCCGACAGGUCGUUGGCGUAAUUUCUCUUUGCGAGUUCCUCCGGCGAUGAAGCGAAGUAACGCCGACUAACCAGAGCUCGAACCAAAGAUCGAUUCCUCCCUAAUUCCGCAAGAUCAAAAUAUCAAACGUAAGUAUUCGUGCGCGAUAUGUGAUGCGUAACUAAGAAAUGACGAACGCGCACUCGAUCGAACCCAAAAUGUAGUGAUGAAGAAAGAUCAGAUAGUUGACACUUGACAGAUGAAAAUGAGAUCUAUCUGGUUAGCCACAAGGAGAAAUGCAUACGACUAUGAAAAUCGGUAAUGUCUAUAGCAGCGUACCAGAAAUGGAUCGAAUGAGAAACGUCAUAGCUCACAAGCAAUCCUUACUUCCGCUAGCAACCAAAUUCAAGCUUUUCCGGCGAAGCUCCGUGAGUCUCACAGACCACGAGAUAAGAGGAAAGCUGUUUAAUCGAGUUCCGCCGUCGGUAAAGAGAUAUACAGCUCAGGCCUCAGGGUUUAGGGAUUAAACAUAAACCGGAAAAUAUAACCGGGUAUCAACCGGUUUGUUUCUAAAGCCUAGUAGAGUCAAUGCGGACUUUACAUGGGCCUCUUAAUGAGUUAUUGGACUUAAUCUGCGGACCGGUUGACGAUGAUCACGUGGCUGUUGCGUGAUCAUAUCUACUGCGAUGAUUCUGCCACGUGUACCACAGAGCGAAGAAGAGUGAUAUUUACGCUUGGGACCUCCCAACUGUAUAUCUUAACCUGUCGGAAGAUCACGUGAAGACAACUAAUAUAGGUUCAUGCGAUAAGUGAAAAUUAUUGACCAAGAAAAAACCUUUAUUUAAUCAAAGCUCGUGACAUUCGAAAUAACUCUGUUGAUAACGAAUUUCAAAAAUUUAUUUCAUCAAGUGUCGUGAAAUUCCAGAAAGAGUAACUUUUGUAUAACGAAUUUCAGAGACACUUUCCCCUAAAUGCUUCUAGGAUUUUCUAGUUACAUAAGAUAUGCUAGUUUACUCCCCGUGACUUUAAAACGGUGGUUCAUAUUCAAACAUCAACUAACUAUAUAAAGUUCUAGAUACAACGUUAAAUAAUCUCUAACUAAAGUAUUACUUUGUUGGGGAACAAACAUUUUUUACAUCUGUUCCACAAUUCAAAUCCUAAUCCUAGAAACACAGAGUUUUGUAAUCUUGGAUAAUUUGGGUAUACACUUUUUUCUGAAUCUUCAAGAAUCAUGAUUGACAAGGCAUAUGUAAGGAAAAAAAAAAGAACAACCAAAACAGAAUUGAACAACCAUAUCUUUAAUACUUUGUAAGGAAUAAAUAUAAUUAUUAAAAAUGAAAAAUAUGAAAUUCAAGAACAUCCUCGUACUCUCGUACAUGUAAUACCAUUUGUAAAUAGUGGACAGCUUAUCUCUAACAAAGUACCUUUGUGCUCGUGAAGCAUUAAAUAUAUUAUAAUUUUAACAACUUUAUCUUAUUUUUAGCUAUAAAACUUGUAUAUGUAUUUCAUAUAUUUAUAUAAGUUACUUUAAUGCUUUUGUAUCUCAGUACCAACAAAAAAUUGGGAAAAAGGAUCAUGAGAAAAGUACAGACUGAUCAAGAUUAUUUUGUUGUUUGCAAGUAGACAAGAUGUUGACAAAAAAAAAAGUCUCUCGUAAUAAUUGCGUUAGCCGAAAUUGACAUUGUACUUAAUUGAUUACGUGUUGGUGAGUAAAUAAACGUCUGGUUAAAUGUUAGAGCUAAUUAACAAACCAAAUCAAGAAUUAUGAUUUGGCACGAUUCCAUCUCCUGGAGGCCCACGACCCACAGAUUCAAACACAGAAUUUGAUUUCUUUUCGUCACGUCAUAAGUAAAGAAUAUUGUUAAAAUUCAACCAAUUCAACGUUAGGUGAGAUCAACACACAAUCUAUUAAUGGAUUUGGUUGAGUUUCUGGGUUUUCAUCGGAAAAUUCAAAACUUUUUUUCCAUUUCUUUGUACAUAUAGAGCCUAACCACAACAAGAUUACGACCAUAGAAGAAGAAGAAGAAGAAGAAGAAGAAGAAGAAGAAGAAGCUUAAGCUCAAGGAGAGAGAUAGACAGAGACUGUGCAAAUGGUAAGAAGGGAGAUUACAGAUCACGUCUACACAUUGGACAAGAUCCGUGCCUGAGUAGCCAAUUGUCUAUGCAAGGCAAGUGAAACAUGUGAUGACAAUGUGGCAAGCUUCUUACCGUUUCACCAAGCUGAAAAUCCUGCAAAAUUACACAGAACAAGAAAUUAAAACCUUUUGUGUUCCGAUCCGCGAAUCUGCGGUUUUCACAAGAGAUAAAAGCAACAAAAAAAAACCUGAAGACAAACAGAACAGGAGUCUUUGUUGCCAGAAGCAUCUAAGUUGUUUUUGCCAGUGAUUUUGAUUUUUGGUAUUUUAUCAACCAAGUCUCCUGUUAAUCCUUUUGAACCACCGGUAUCAAAGAUGCUCGAGAGCUCAUCGAAAGUCGUAUCUACAGCUCCCAUCUGAUCAGCGAGAAGAGAGAUGAAUCAGAUCACGAAAAUGAAGAGAGAUCUCGUUGCGGAAAUGGAACAAAAUACUGCAUAUCCAUGUACCUGACUUUGAACCGCGCUUAGCAUUGCCGGACCUAUGCGUUCACGCACAAGUCUGCCGCUUAUUAGACUAACAAUGACAUCAAUCUACACCAAAAAUUAACCAGAGACAAGAAUCAAUAUUGAAGCUUGAGUAGAAUCGAAACCCGGAUUUUUGGAUUACGCUGCUUGAAAACAGAGCAAAAAGAGAAGAUCAAAAAGGCUAAAUGACCAUAGCCUACCAAGUAGAGGAGGCAACCGAAACGUGACUCGUUAGAUUUCCAGAGAACAAGAGAUGAUUCGAAGACUUCGAUCGAGAAAACAGCUCCUGAAAUGGCUCCAACCGCCGCUCCUCGAAUGAAACCACUCUCUGUUUCUUGGCCUAUCAAAGCACCUGUAAGUGCCCCAAGCAAUGUGCCAACUGAAGAAGAGAAAGGAAACAACUUUCUUAGCUUUACAUAAACCCCAAGUUGCAGACUUUAUGCCAAUCACCCGAAUCACAGAUAAACAAGGACUAGAAAUGAUCACACCCCAACCCAAAAGAAAGAUACUUUAACUAGACAAUCUUCAUCAAAUUUUGGGUUUAGAUUGGGAUGCAAAUACGAAUUAGAGCAAGUUUCAAAUGCCGGUGGAGACAUUUUAAAACAGAAUCAAGAAACUCAUAGGGAACGAGAGAGGCCGACCUAGAGCGAAGAAGAAGGUUAAGAUCGCCGAGAGAAUCGUGCCCAGAACAGCGGAGACGAGGAAACGACAUGCGUCUUUGAUCCGUUCGACGAAAUUACCGAGAAAGGGACACGGCGAGGGAGGGCAAAACCCAGAUUGGAAUCUAUAAGAUGCCAUUUCUCGUUCAGAACCCCAGAGAUCAAGCGUAUUGAGUAUAAGAAAAAGAGACCUGAAACAAUCUCCAGAGAGGGAGAAAACAGAGUAGUGGAGCUUUUUUUAUUCAAGAGAGGAAGAGAGUCGAGAAAGAAGAUAGAAGAAGAAAGAGGAGAGGAAUGGGUUUUUGCUUAGACCUUAAGAUUUAGAGAGAAGAUCCGAUGUGUGGCCUACUUGCAAUUAACGCUUGGGUCCUCAUUUGCUUGAAAUUUAACCUCAAGUAGGUGAAGUAAAAGUCUAGGGUUUGCUGGUCAUGAUCGAUAGAUGUUGAAAUCUUGGCCAGAAAAAUCUCUCAUUUAGUCAUUUUCAAAGCACGAGAGAAGAAAGAAGAGAGAUGUGAAAGUGAAAGAGAUAAGCGCGCAAGCUCAGCGUAAAAAGAAGAAAAAAUUAAUUAAUUAAAUACUUAAAUAACUUCUUCUAAUAAUACUAAUAGACAAAGAGAAAUCUUGCAAAAUUUGAAACUCAAAACAAUUUUUAAUUAGCAAUUUUAUUACCAAAUUAGAAAAUAGUACAGACUUAUAUAUCGAUUUACUGUUCUCUUUAUUUUUAUCUUCUUAAAACAUAAUAUAUAUACAAUGUAGUUUGAUUAUACUACUCCUAACUUCCUAAGAGCAUCUCCAAUGUAUUCCCCUAUUUUUGUCUCCAAAAUGGGGGAACUGCAAAAUAGAGUUGGAUUUCUCUUUAAUAUAUUCCUCCAUUUUCAACUCCAAAAAGAAUAUUCUGAGUAUAUUCUUUAUUUUUAUUUUAUUGUUAAUUACUAAUAAUGCACUCUAUUUAUAAAAAUUACAAAUGAAUUCAUUUAUUUGUUUUCCUCUUAAAAUUUUUAUAAAUUAUAAUAUUAUUCUAAAUUCAACCACUAUAAUAUAAAAAUAACAUUACAUACCAUUUAAAAUAAGAAAACAAAGUAUAUUUUAAUUUAAAUAUCACCAUUUUAAUUUAAAUAUCACCAAGUGGCAUAAAAAAACUAAAAUGAAAAGAAAAAUCGAUGAUGGAACAUCAGCUGUUAUCAACUCAGCAAAAUCCGCCUCAAUCUGGUUCAUGUGGACAAUAUUUUAUUGAUCUUGGUGGAUCUGGAAGCAGUUUGCCAGAUUUUUAUUAAUCAGUUGUUGUAAUAAAUUUAUUUUAUGUUAUUUGUAAUUUCAGUAUUUCUUAUGUAUUUUUAAUUUUAUAUUAUUUCGAGUUUCAGUUAAUUUUCUUAUAUUUUUUAUUUUUUAUUCUCAAAUUUUAAAUCUAUCUAUCUUUAAUUUUAAAUUAAAUAUAUAUAAUAUAAAAUAUUAAAUUAUAAUUUAAAAAUAUAGUUUUAAGAAUUAAUAAAAAGUAAAGGACAAAAACCUUUAAAAUACUUCAAAUAUAUAACAUUUGCUAAAAAAAAUACCUGAACUAUUUUCACUCCCCAAAAAAUAUCCAAUGUAUUAUAAGUGUCAAUUUAAUACCUAAACAUUUAAAAAAUGCAAGUUUCAAACUCUGAUUUUUAUUCUGUUAUCCCGUUAACGGAAACUUUAAAAUAGCGUUAAAAUUUAAACACCACAUGUAUAUAUUAUAUAUGAAAAGACCAGUUUUACCCCUAAAUCUUUUUCUUCCCAAAAUGAAGAAUCCUAAUUUUCUCCUUCCCUUCGUGAUGACCCAUUUUGCUUAUUCCCAUUAAAUGCAUCGUUAUUCUUGCAAUCUCCCUUCGAUUGACAGUGAGAAACGAUGAGGAACUGAGCAAAUUGUUUGGUGAUGUGACCAUUCCCAAUGGGGGUGUGAGGCCGAACAUCCACAAUCUUCUUCUUCCCAAGAUAGCUGAUGCUGCAUCUAAACUAGAGACGGCGAUGAGAAUCAAUUCUGUGUUGUGGGUUUGUAGCUAAUUAAAUGUAUAGCUUGAUUUAGAUGAAGAUUAUCUCUCUCUUUUUUUCUUGACGAUAUAGAGUCUCUUUGUUUCAAACUAAAUUUUGAGAUAUUAAUGUAUGUAUGUUAUUGUUUGAUUCUGAAUGCUUACACUAUUUUUUGUGCCACUGAUUCGAACCUAAUUUUUCCGAAUGUCCUCUAGUUCGUCUUCUAUUCUCAAAUGGUAGUCAAAGAGAAGAAAGAGAAAUUAGGGUUCUUCAUUUGGGGGAAAAUUAAUUUAAGGGUAACAAUGGUUUUUCACAUAUAACAUAUAUAUGUGGUGUUAAAAUUUAAACGCUGUUUUAGAGUUUUCGUCUAACGGGAUAACGGAAUCAAAAUCGGGGCGUGAAACUUGCAAUUUUUAAGUGUUUGGAUAUUAAACUGACAUUCUAUAAUAAGUUGGGUAUUUUUUGGAGAACGAAAAAGUUUAAGUAUUUUUUAGCAAAUGUUAUAUAAUUGAAGUGUUUUUAAAGUUUUUUCUUUUAGAAGUAAAAGAUUAUGUUGUAAAUAAAAAAUUUCACAUGCAAAAUGGAGUUGAAAAUGAGGUUCCUUCAUAUUUGGAGAAAAAAAUGGCAUUCAUUCAUUUUACAGGUGAAAAUAUAGGGUUGGAGAAAAAUUUCCUCCAAAAUAACAUUUAGAGAAAAAAAUAAGGUAGGAUUGGAGAUGUCUAAGUAGUCUAAAGUGUGUAAAAUAUAUAAAUUAAUGUUUAUUGACAUAGUAAAGUGUGUCAUUUUGUCCAAAAGCUCCUUGGCACCUGAUGCCAUAUAAAAUGCUCUACAAGACAAUAAUUACUCGUUAGUUUUUUUUUUUUUGGUGACUAAGCAAUUACUCGUUAGCUUAGUUAUACUUCUUUUCAGUUAACAUGCGAACAAAAUGAAAAAAAAGACUUUAAUUGAGGCAAAAAACAUACCAUUAAAUAGUAGAGCGCAAUUAAAUCGGGUCAAAGUGGUUGUUAGCAUUAACUCUACAGUACAAUUCUUGUAUUACAAUGCUUAUAAGAAUGCGACAUAUUAUUUAGAAUAGAAAAUUAUUCGGAAGAUAUUUACCAAAAUACGGUAGGGUCCUUUCCGUCGUUGCCGAUCUUACAAGCAAUCAAGAAACCCUUAGAUACGAAACAGAAAUAAUUUUCUACAUUAUAUGUAAAUUGUUUGAGAAAACUUAAAUAUCUUAUUUGAUUCUGCCUUUCCUUUUAUGGGAAGUCUUCCUGUGUGAGCAAUAGUUUAUUGUUAUACCAAACAAAAAUGGGUCCGGUAAGACUUGUUAAUUGUUAUUAUACGUGCGAGAAGUUAGCUUAGGUUUAUGAGCGUAGAUUCCAUAUACUUGAUAGCCUACAUACGCGUAUUUAUUAGCGUUCGUAACAGAAUUCUGAAACAAAUUGAAAAAUUUCCUCUCUUACAGUUUCCCUGAAUAAUAAAUAAAUAACAGGUCUGAAACAACGAAUUGAUAAUUUGAUACAUACAUACAUGUGGCAUCAUUUUGAUUACAAAACAUACCACUAAAAUGAUGAUACUUAUUCUUGGACCUACUCAAAAUGGAUAUAAAAACAAUCUUGACUCUUGAGUACCCAAAUAUAGAUCAAAUUUAAUAUUUCCCACAAUUUGUAACUACUUUUCAUAUACAAAAAAAUUAUAAAAUGAGAUACAAGUAAAAAAAAUUAUUUUAUUUAUGUUAUUCGGGUUCAGAUUUAGUGGAGACAAAACGAUAACGAUAUAACAUACCAUUAGUUUUUCACGUUAUGGUUGUAAAAAAGUUGGUUUUAGUUAGUAUUCGUUCUUAUACCAUAUUUGAAGAUUAUAAAUAAAAACAUUUAUCGCGCGCUAUUGUUUCAAAAUUUGGACUUUAAAAGAUUUAAAACAAACUCUAGUUAAAGAUUAGAAACCACUGUUUGCAGAUAUUGUAUUCCACAAAACUUACAAAUAACUUAUCGCAAUUAGUCGUCGGUAACAACUAGAUUCAUAUAUAUUAUGAUAUUUUCUGUCUCUUCCAUGCAUAAGAGUAAAACAUUAAAUACACCUAAGUUAAUGAAUUUAUAUGUCAGGAGAUGGGCAUAGAUCAUAAAAUUGUAUUUAUUUUUGACUGAAGUUAUCAGAUAAAGGUUGCCGCUUGCUACUCCAUCAUUUCCUAUAUUAUUAUGUGACUGCCAUUUAAUAGCCACAGCAUGGGCCAGUGGUCCAGAAGCUGGUCCCAUGAGUAUCGCAGUGAUCAAAUUCAUAUUUAAGCAUAUGCAUGAGCAGGGCUGCAUGAGAUACAUGAUGGUUGAUGGUUGCGUCUCAUAUAAGUAUCUUGAAUUGUUAGUUUUAAUACUGAGAGUGCCAGAGUGGCUUCUAUAUAUAUGUCUUGAACUUGCCGAUUUGUUUUACUUAUAAUAUAUUUUAUCGUAUCACUAAUACUUCUGAUAAACUACACUGAUCUCCUGCAUAUAUGUAAACAUUUUAUAGAGGGUUAAUUUCUAUUGAAUCUAACAACGAAAAACAGUUUUUUACGACCACUGGUUAUAUUUGAGAUUGAGAGGGUGUGAAAUUGCUAGUACAUGAAAAAGAAAGAAAGAAAAAAGGCUAAAAUAAACAAAGAAUAUGAUUGGUAGGUUAUCUACAUGGUGACCCUCGUCACGACUCACGUUUUACCGGUGCGUCUUUGUAUUGACGUGAAUGAUAAUUUACCCUGGCCAUCACUUGCAUAUCUACUCCUUACUUUAUUUCUAUGCAAUCAUCAUCAACCCAAAACUCCGUAAAUCUAAGAUAUACUUAUAUAUGGUUUUGUCCAUAUCAAUCAAACAAGGGAGACGAAAACUGAAAGAAAGAACAACAGUACAUAGUAUACAAAGAAGGUGAGUCUCUUUCAAGUCCGGUAAAGAAAAGUAACCAACCAAUUACACAAAGAUAUUCGAAGUAAACACGUGAAGCUCCACGAUUUGUAUGAAAAAAUAGAUGUGUAACCGUGAGCUAAAAAUGUAGAAUAGUCGAGAUUUUUUCUUAUUUGAGUUUCGGUUGUUCAAUUGGUUGGGUUGGGUACGCUUUCAUUUUAUGCGGCCGAGGAAAUGUUUGCAUUUUACUUCCUUUCAUUUUUCAGUUAGAGGACAAGUACAAUUUAUAUAAAAUCACUAAAACGACGACGUAAUAUUAAUUAAGCCGGACUAGGCCCAACGGAUUAACAACAAAGAUGGGUUGGGCCCAAAUUUACAAGACCAUAACAUUCGAGUGGAGCGGCUCAUAUUAAUUUCCUUUUUGGUUGUCAUAUUUAUUGUCACAAAAUCUGUGGUUGAAGGUGGUGGUGAAUUGGUGAUGAAUUGGAUUAUUGAUCAAUUUAUUAGUGGUGGGAAAAGAAACCGAACCGAACUAAACCAACCGAACCAAUCGAACUUAAACCAAACUAAACCGAUCCAUUUUUAAUAUAUAACCCAUUUGGUUGAAGUUUUUCACAACCCGAACGGUUCGGUUCGGUUUGGUUUUAAACCGAACCAAACCAAAAACUAAUAUACUUAUUUUAUUUAAUUUUUUAGUUAGAUCAUAAUAUUAGUUUUUUGAAAUAUGGUGGAAUGUUAAAUUUCACCUAAACCAACACAUAAUUUCUUUUCUUCAAACUGUUUUUUUUGAAUUAAAAUUAAACCAAACUAAAACAAAACCGAACUAAACCAAACCGAAUUCAAACCGAACCAAACUUAUUUCAGUUGAGUUUGGUUAGAAUUUUAUUGAACCCAAAUUAACCAAACCAAACCAAACUCAAACCGAACCCAAAAAUAAACCAAAGUGCCCACCCCUACCAUUUAUAAUCCAUUCAGGAAAUAGGGUCUCUCAGCUGUUAUUACCUGUUGAAAUUGAGGAACCAUGAACGAAUUUGAUUGUUCCAACCGGUAGGAUGGAAGGAUUUUGAUUUUGAGAAAAAAAUAAAAUUGAGGAUGAUGAUACAGAAAAAUCAAACUAAUAUAGGAGUAUAUAAUUUACGACAAAAAAGGAAUAUAAUUCACUUGACAAAAACAGCAAUGAAUAUUCACAAAAAAAGUUAGAAUUACGUAUAAGAAAACUAAGAAAAAAAAAAAAAUCAAGCAGCCAUCACUUCUGACGAGAAGAGCCCACACGGAUCAUUCAGAUUUUUUUUUAUUCUCACUUAUAAAAAUCUGUAUCGGCUCCGACUCACAGGCCUCACCAACUCCGCUAACUCCUCUCUCUCUCUCUCUCUCUCUCUCUCUCGAAACAGAUCUCUGCUUUGCUUCUGUACUCGAGCUGUAUCAUCCAUGGGUACCGAUCCCAUCUGCUUUCUCCAUUUUGAUUUUGAUCGAUAAAUGAUUCAUGAUUUUCGAACUUGUUGUCGUCGUCGAUGCUGAUUUCCGAACUAUUUUCGCCUUUUUUGAAAUCUGGUUUUGUGUUUGAUUUCCUGUGUCGAUCUCUGUUUCUUAUGCGUUUUCAGCUUCCGAGAAUCCAUUCCGUUGCAUAUUGAAGACGCUACAAAAGCCCGGUGGUGGCGAAUUCGGGAACUACUACAGCUUGGCUGCUCUCAACGAUCCAAGGAUCGGUGAGUUAUCUUCAAAUGAUCCCAUGAAAAAAUGUUGUUGUAUUUUGUUUUUUUUUUAAUCUGAGAGUGUUGUUGUGGAUGCAGAUAAACUGCCUUAUUCCAUUAGGAUACUUCUCGAAUCGGCCAUACGUAACUGUGAUGAGUUUCAAGUUAAGAGCAAAGAUGUCGAGAAGAUACUUGACUGGGAGAAUACUUCUCCCAAACAAGUUGAGAUUCCGUUCAAACCUGCUCGGGUGCUUCUUCAGGUAGACACAGCCUUAGAAAUGAGAUCUAUAGAAUAUCUUGACGAGAUAUAGUUUGUCAUUUCCUGCAAAAUUCUCGAUUGCAAUGACAUUUUCUGUUCGUUUUUCAGGACUUUACUGGUGUCCCUGCAGUUGUUGAUCUUGCAUGCAUGAGAGAUGCCAUGAACAAUCUUGGUGGGGAUUCUAAUAAGAUUAAUCCGCUGGUCAGUUUCCCUGACAACUGAGAUUGGUUAAUAUCACGUGUUCUUUUGGUAUGAUACAAGUUUUGCUAAUACUUGCAGGUCCCCGUAGAUCUUGUCAUUGAUCACUCCGUUCAGGUGGACGUGGCGAGAUCAGAGAACGCAGUGCAGGCAAACAUGGAGCUUGAAUUCCAGCGUAACAAAGAAAGAUUUGCUUUUCUUAAGUGGGGCUCCAAUGCCUUUCACAACAUGCUUGUCGUACCUCCUGGUUCUGGAAUUGUUCAUCAAGUAAGUAAAAGAUUCAGGAACAACUGUAUUCGAUUGGACGCUGGAAGUCUUUUUGAUGCUGAUUCAAGAUAUACUAAGUUCUAUGAUUUGCAUUUGACAGGUCAACCUAGAAUACCUUGCCAGAGUUGUUUUCAACACAAAUGGACUUCUUUACCCAGACAGUGUUGUUGGCACAGACUCUCACACCACUAUGAUUGAUGGACUGGGUGUUGCUGGAUGGGGAGUUGGCGGUAUAGAAGCGGAAGCUACCAUGCUUGGUCAGGUAAAUUAGAUGCUCGUUUGGUCGAAAACUCAGAACUAACUGUCUGAACUCUUUAUGAAACGUUGGUUCUAUUAUAGGGAUGGUUCUCUGACAGUUCAAGUUUAACGCUUUGUUGAAGUUUCUUCUAUUAUAACUGUAGCAUUAAUUUAACUCUUUCAAUGCAGCCAAUGAGCAUGGUCCUGCCUGGUGUUGUGGGUUUCAAGCUAACGGGAAAACUAAGAGAUGGAAUGACAGCUACUGAUUUGGUCUUAACAGUGACUCAGAUGCUGAGGAAGCAUGGAGUAGUUGGAAAGUUUGUUGAAUUUCACGGUACGUUCAUGAAAAUUUGAUAUCAUAUUUGAUAUCUGUCAUUUUUUGUACUUAUCCAGUACCUGACUGAGUUAGGCUAACUCAAAUAUGCAUCAUUGCUUUUUCCAACACAGGGGAAGGGAUGAGAGAAUUGUCUUUAGCUGAUCGUGCUACAAUUGCUAAUAUGUCUCCUGAGUACGGUGCAACCAUGGGAUUCUUCCCCGUCGAUCAUGUCACUUUGCAGUACCUCAAGUUGACAGGCAGGAGCGAUGACACUGUAAGGGGUUGCCUAGGGGAUUAUACAUUUAAGCGUGCUAUUGCUUUUCAUCAGGGUAGUGAUUUGUGAAUUGAAUUUCAGGUCUCUAUGAUAGAGGCGUAUUUACGAGCAAACAAGAUGUUUGUGGACUACAGUGAGGUUAAACCUUGGGCAUUUCUAAUGCUUCAUUUCUUUGUCCAUUUUCAUCUAUCAUAGAGCAUAACAUAUUCUCCACUUGGAAAUUUUUACUCAUCUCAGCCCGAGAGUAAGACAGUAUACUCCUCAAAUCUGGAAUUGAAUCUCGAGGAUGUGGAACCCUGUGUAUCUGGUCCAAAGAGGUACUAAUAGCGAAUAUCUAUAUAGACUUUGUCUAGGUUCUAUUCUUCUUGUAACAUUGAUUCUCUAUUCACAAUACAGGCCACAUGAUCGCGUUCCUUUGAAGGAAAUGAAAGCGGACUGGCAUUCUUGCUUGGAUAACAGAGUCGGAUUCAAGGUUAGAACUCUCCUUUGUGUUCAGAAGAAAAUUUUAAAGUGAAUGCUUGCAGUCCCGAAAGCUUAGUCUGUUGUAAAAAGUUGGCACGUCUAGCAAAUGUUCCUGUGGUUUUGAAACAAUAGUAGUAGGUAUCAUGUUGAGGCGUUUGAGUUAUUAACUAGGUUUAAUUAAUAACUGUGUCCUGCAACACUUUCGAUUUUAUAAGUUAGUCCCAGUUGACAAAAAUUUUGGUUAGUGAUUCUACUUAUCCAUAUGUUUCCAGGGUUUUGCCGUACCAAAAGAAGCACAGAGUAAGGCUGUAGAGUUCAAUUUUAACGGGACCCCAGCACAGCUUAGACAUGGAGAUGUUGUUAUAGCAGCAAUCACCAGUUGCACAAAUACCUCAAACCCUAGUGUAAUGCUUGGCGCUGCCUUGGUUGCCAAAAAGGCCUGCGAAUUAGGACUGGAGGUUUGACUACUGUUCCUUUCUGACCUGCUCCUUUUUGUGAUGGUGUUUUAAUAUGUUUCUGUGCAUUGAGAGUAAUAAAAGUGUGUGAAUUUCUCCAUUAUUAGGUUAAGCCAUGGAUUAAAACUAGUCUUGCUCCUGGCUCUGGAGUUGUAACAAAGUACUUGGCAAAGAGGUACUGCAGAUACAUCAUUGAAUGUGUUGUUAUUCAUUACCUUGUGUUAUGUGUUCCUGAGUUUUCGAGUCUUGCAGUGGCUUGCAGAAGUACUUGAAUCAGCUCGGUUUCAGUAUAGUUGGUUAUGGGUGCACCACCUGCAUCGGAAACUCGGGGGAUAUCCAUGAAGCUGUGGCGUCAGCAAUUGUUGAUAAUGGUAAGUCCUCAAAUAGUUUGUCAUGUAAUGCGUAUUCACUUGAAUAUUCGAAGGUGAAACUAAAUUAUGUUUCAUAUAUGUACAAGACUUGGUGGCAUCCGCUGUGUUGUCGGGGAACAGAAACUUUGAGGGACGUGUUCAUCCGUUAACAAGAGCAAACUAUCUCGCUUCCCCUCCGCUUGUUGUAGCCUAUGCACUGGCUGGCACUGUAUGUUGAUGCUAACUCUCAAACCAUUACAUAGCAAUUAAGCAUUCAAGUUAAUAUGAAGCACUGAAUCAUUCCCAUGAAUGUUCUUGUAGGUUGACAUUGAUUUCGAGACGGAGCCCAUUGGAACUGGUAAAGAUGGCAAACAGAUAUUUUUCAGGGACAUAUGGCCCUCUAACAAAGAAGUUUCCGAGGUACUGCUCGUGCAGUACACAAACAAUAAGAUAUUUUAUAAUUGGAAGUGAUGUCAAAUUCUGUCUCGUUUUUUCAGGUUGUGCAAUCUAGUGUCCUUCCUGAUAUGUUCAAAGCUACAUAUGAAGCAAUCACCAAAGGGAAUUCCAUGUGGAAUCAGUUAUCUGUCGCAUCCGGCACACUAUAUGAAUGGGAUCCUAAAUCAACUUACAUUCAUGAGCCGCCUUAUUUCAAGGGCAUGACCAUGUCUCCACCGGGUCCACACGGUGUGAAAGAUGCCUACUGUUUGCUCAAUUUCGGAGACAGUAUUACCACCGAUCACAUCUCACCAGCCGGUAGCAUCCACAAGGACAGUCCCGCGGCUAAGUACUUGAUGGAACGAGGUGUGGAUAGAAGAGACUUCAACUCUUACGGGAGUCGCCGUGGUAAUGACGAGAUUAUGGCGAGAGGAACUUUCGCCAAUAUCCGUAUUGUCAACAAACACUUGAAAGGAGAAGUUGGUCCCAAAACAGUUCACAUUCCCAGUGGAGAGAAGCUUUCUGUUUUCGAUGCUGCCAUGGUAUGAAUCCCACACACUUUCUUGAUCCUUUAUAAAACCUCAAAUUCUAGCUCUUUGAUCAUGAGGAUUGGUCGGGAUAACUCUAAGCUUUGAAGAAUAGUUCAGCAGCUCAACUCUUAGAGAGCAUACAGCGAGGGCUGACUUUAUAAUGAUGUCUCAAUAGAAUUCUAUUUUAUUUUGGGGUCGAGAAUUGAGUCUUUCAUUGAUCAAGUCUCUCUUGUUUGGCCAUUUUAAAGUAGAAUAGCAGUUCCAUAGCUUUUGUUCGUAUCAAAUUAUUCUCUUGUUGUGUUGUACCAG
rnacentral:lncRNA from 1 species